rnacentral:lncRNA from 1 species
GUUUCAACAAAAUCAAGGAAAAUAAACUCAAUGCGAAAUGUAAAAUUUACACACAACUCCAAAUUGAGUUAAAUAUUACAUUUUCUUGUUUACAUAACUUGAGAACAAGAAAGGAAACGCUCACAUGAGUUUAAUAAUUCCUAUCCCCGUGUAUAUAAAAGAAUAUACAAAGACACACCCAAAACUCAACAAAAAACCCUGCCACUAAGCCUCCAUCUCAACCCUGCUGAUCCUCACCUGCAGGUCUAACCCCUACACCAAGAAAUGGUGCACCGGGUUGUAAACAACACACCCGGUAAGCUAAAAAGCUCGUAUGAGUAAACUAAAGAAAACAACACAACAUUUAUCACAUCCAAUAUUCACAAGAGAGAUUGGAUCAAUAAUUUCAAACCACACAUCAAACACAUUACCCAAGAGAGGUACCCAUGAGUCCCAAAUAUUAAUAAAAUACCUCUCAUGACCUACCACAACACUAUGUGUACCCAUGGGUCCCAGAUACCAUACAGUAUCUCCCAUGACCUACACUGACAGACGGACUAGAGCUCUAUUCCUAACCGCAACCAAUCACCCGGCCAAAGGCUUGGAACCCGGUUUGACUGUCUAAUAUCAAACACAAAAGUGAUAAAUAGCAUCUUAACCGCAACCAAUCACCCAAAAAGGGCUUGGAACCCGGUUUGACUAUUUAUCCAACAAUCAUAAUAAAUUUCACAACAAUAACCUCACAACACAUUAUCACAAUUAUUAUCGUCAACAACAUGAUAUAUCUCACAUUUAUUAUUCUCAACAUCACAAAAUAAAGAAGACUUGUUUUUAUCUUACCUAUGAGCCGUUGGCGAUCAAGCUCAUAUAUUUUUAAAAACAAUUAAAAGAAUAAUAAUAAAACCACCAUCAUCAUCAUUAUCAUUAUAUCAUCAGGUUCAAAAGUGAACCUUGAUGAGAUUUACUCACCUAAGUAUCCAGCUGCAAUUUCCACAACCAAAUUUAGCAAGCGAAACACAACUUCACAACCACCUAAAAACACACAAUUAAAACCUUAGUAACUAAAAUACUAUAGGUUAACACAAUACCCUUAACUAACCCUUAAUUCAAGAGAUGACAACUUUCCAAAGUCGUCGAGCUUAGAGACUCACAAAGGCUGCCUCUAAUUCUCCAUUCCUAACUCAAACCUCCACCAAACCUAAAAUCACACUUAACGUUCUAGCAUGCCAACAUUUCUUAAAAACUAGCCACACUACCACUCAACAAGCUCACAGCAGUAAGGACUACCUAACCACAGGAAACUAGGGCUGCAACUCAACCGGACGCGCCGCCACGCGCCGCCACAGGCGGCGGCGAGUGGGCCUCACGCGCCACCCCAAACUUCCGAAUUUGAGAAAACUCCCAACAGCAAAGUUGAAGCUUGAAGCAAGGGGAACAACUUUCAUACCUGAGACUUUGACCAAAAAUGGCCGGAACCGGCCGGAAACCGCCCCGAACGGUGCCCAGAAAAACAAAGGCAAAAUCUGCAAAACCGGCCUCAAAACCUUAAAAACUUGCUUCAACUAUGCCUAAACACUGCUAGGAGGAAGAGGGGAUCAAUACUCACCUAAACUUGGCCGGAAACGGCGUCGAAAUCGCCGGUUUUCCGGCGGAACAGCAGCAGCUCCGCCGCUUCGUGGCGGCUUCCAGGCGGCGGGACAGCCGGCGGAACUGCUCCAGAAAUGGAGAGGGCUGCUGUGGGAGUCGACUGGAACCGGUGGCGUCCGGUUUGGUGGCCGGAGGAGGAAGAAAUCGGCUGAAGAAAGUGAAGGCUCGGGGAGCUCGGGAGAGGAGAAGAGGAAGGGAAAAAAAAGAGAGAAAAAAAAGUGAGGAGAGAGAGAGAGAGAGAGAGCUGCUUUNNNNNNNNNNNNNNNNNNNNUAUGAACAGACUUGCAUGCCUUAGUUAACAUUGAUAUCAGUAACAUUUAGUCAGAAUCAACAUAUUAAGAACCAAUUAACCAAACAGUUAGUAUUCCAAUGUUUGUUUUGAUAAACAAGCAUACGACAGGGAACAAUUCACCACAAUCAAACUGAUCAAUCUCUUGUUUUUUUUGCUUCAGAUGAUUGAAUAUGGAUCGAAUAGAGAAAAAUUGAUUAUCAAAGAGAGAAAGGAAGAAAUAGACGAUUGCUUCAGACGUACCUGCUGUCUGCUGACGAAUCUGGGAAGAAGAUGGCGACGAGCUUGGCCUUGGAGGUGUCGACGGCCUCGUGGUCGGGGCAGGGCCGAGGGCGUUGAGGACGGAGGGGAUCUGGGAGACGUCGGAGACGGCGCGGGUCAGAGAGGAGGUGAAGAAUGGAAUCGUCUAAGAAAUCGGAGAGGAGAAAAGUUGUGGAGCAGAGAUUGAGAGGGGUGGAAGCAGAGAGAAGGUGAAGAAGAAGAGAGAAGAGUUGUGGAGGUGGGUAUAAAUUUUUUUUUUUCAUUGGGCUGGGCUGUGAUAUAUAUAUACAUAGGGGUUUUUUUGGCCCAAUUUUCGGUUGGGCUGUAGCCCAUACAGCCUUUGCUUUGCUUCCGUCCCUGCAUAUAUGGCUUGAUGCCCUUUAACUCUAAAAUGAACUGGCCUCAGUGUCGAAAGUAUUUAAAUGUGGUGUCUUGUCACUAACUAUCAUUUUUCUUUUAAAUAUAUAUAUUGGCAUGAAACCCUACCUUACUGCUGACACCAUUGGAAUACAUUUUUGUUUUUUUGGUUACAUGACACCCAUUGGAAUAUUGUUGUACUGUCUACGGUCUACCACUUUUUUUUCGACCUCUUUUUUACCUUUUGGGAAUUGUGUUCAAGUGUAUUAUCUCUGGAAAUCAGCAUACACUCGUAUGAAAACAUCCGGCGUUCUUCUGAAGGGAUUUCAAUUUCUUCAUUGAUCGCUUUUUUUUCCACAUUUUCGGAUCCAUCAAUGCAUCAUGCAUGUUACUAGGAAUUAAUAUACGUACCGUAAAUAAUUGAUUAACAACAUGUGCAUGUGACUUGAAAAACUAAUGGUUAGACACAAAAACCAAAACCAAAGCCAAAUGCCUUGUAGCUAACUUUAUGUCUAACCAUAGGUUUUCCGAGACACAUGCUCUUGUUAUUGAUCAAUUAUCUACUGUAUCUAUUUCUAGUAACUUGCAAGAUGGUUUGGCUGAUCCAAAAUAAAGAAAAAGCAAUGAAUGAAGAAUUGAGAUUCCAUUGGAAGAAUGCAAUGUGGGAGAUAGUAUUCCAUGUCUGUCGGAAAGAAAACUAUUAGGCAUUGUUGGGCGCUUACAAUGAACCUUAAGCCAAAUGAAACUAUUGACAGAUACAAUGCAAAAUUGGUCUCAAGGAAUGUGCAUUACGCUAUGGAAUCCAGCUCGGAGACAUAACCGGAAACUAGAAUAUAAAACUACGGAAUCCAUCAAUUCCUACCUUUUAUGUUCUCAGAAAAGAAAAUGCCGCGAAUAGUCUCCUCGGGGACUUGGGCAGGUCGCGGUUCAAGGGCUAAAUAACGCCAGUAGGAGCCUGAAACGACGUUUUAGAGAAUUCCAGAAGGGUAGAGCACGGACCCUUCUUCAAACGGACCUUCAUUCUAUGAUUAGAUUCGCAACCAGGGAACCUAGAGAGGCAGGUAAGGGUGGACCGAACUAGCGCUCGUUUAUGAUGAUUUCACAAUUCUAGCCGAUUGUUCUCGAGUCCUCGCGAUGGAGCAGCAUCCUCGAGCUCGAGAACCCCUGUCUAAUAUGUUCCAAACCCAUAAUAUAAAAAAGUCUAGUCGGAAGGCUAAAGCAGACUGGGGCCAAUUACUCGAGAGUGGGGCUAAGAAAAAAAAUUGGUUGUAACUAAAGUCCUUUAACUGAACUGGUCAUUUAGGCAAAUUGUUCAUAAAAAAAUGUCCUCACACCUCCAAAUGAGCUUCCUUCAACGCCAAGCAAGUCGAACAGAAACCCAGGUUAAUUAUGUACUUUUUUGAACUUGUGGCGAAGUGAAAAUAGUUUCAACAGUAUAAUUCUAUUUUGUAGUGCCUUUUAACCAAAUACAAUUAAAUUACUGUUGAAACUAUUUUUAGUUUAUAAACAAUAUUGUAAAUACAUUUCUUAAUAAAAUUUGACGAUGUUGUUGAGAUCCUAGAUAAAGUGAAUUCAUGUUAAGAGUUGAGACCAUUUGAAUGUGGUGUCAAGUCAUGUUGGUACUGGUUUUGGCCGGUUGAGAAUUCACAGGUGGUAGAUGGAUGUAGGUCCAAGAAAGCCAACCUGCGGCAGGCAAGCAUCGGGUUAGAAACUAACUUGGUACAAUUUAUGUGCUAACUGGUUUCAUGUCAACUUUUCAAUAAUGCAAUCAACCUUCUACUUCUGGUAAGUUCACGACUUGAUAUACAGUCUCCCGCCAACUGGUUAAUUUUACCAAACCAGGUUUACAGGGGCGUACUCGAAUGAUAAUCGAAUCUCACCGACGCCCACUGGAAAUUUGGAGCCUGCAAUGAUGUAAGGUCACAGAUGAAAUAGUUAAUUGCAUAUUCGUACAUAGUGACAUGUAGAGAGUGACGAGAUAUAGGUAAGAGUAUCUUGAAGUCAAAUAUAAAAGGCGCAGUUAAUUUCAUUAGAGACUUGAAGUCAAAUGAUUGUGUUCAUAUUUCAAGCAUUCUUCAUCGGUUGUCAUCCUUGCUACCGAUAAAAGGUAUCAAAAAAUUAAAAGGAAAUCCUUUGGUUAUGUGAUCUAUGAUUUUUUUAUUUAUUUAUUUUUUUAAAAGAUGUCAUCCAUUAAUGAAACUCAACGAACAAUACAAUAAUGAUCUGCCGAGAGGGCCGUCAGAAAAAACCAUCAUGCAGAACAACUAUCUUAGUACGCUCUUCACACAAACAUACCAAAACACUCACUCCAAGUACAUUCACCUUCUACGAAGAUAAAACCAAAAACAAAAAGAUUAAAAACUCCGAAGCGUAAUAAACUGUAACAUCAGAAUUCUUAUCUUCAUAUUGGUCUCCCGAUCAAAAUCAAGCGGGUACUAUAGCAGAAGUGGAGCUCACCCCUUCUGCUACCUCCCUAGCCAUCUCCACUGCAAACGCUUCUGUUGAACAAAGCCCGCAACCAACCUCAAAAGCCAACGCCUAACAGAGAGAAACACUAGCUGAUCCAACCCAGGUCCAAACCAGCCAAAACCCUAGAGGAGCCAAGAAGGAGACCAAAGUAGCCGCUUUCUCCUCAUCUCCGCCGCUGCCACCGCGACCAAGCCGUGUCGCCGGCGUACCCUCCCCUUGAAACGAAGACCAUAAGCCAGCAUCCAUACUAGCCACCUCCACAGCCGCCACUACACCACCACCCCUCCCUCUGACAUCACAAAGAAGGAGAAGAUCUAAUCCAUGGUUGUCGACAUCAGCUUUUCCACCACUGUGCGCAAUGACCCCCGCCCUCCAUCCAAAGCCAUGGCAACCCAACAACAGAUCUGGGUUUGUUAACCACUUAACCCACCAGUAACACUCACAGUAAGAGGAUUAAGGCCAGAGCCUUGGUUUAAGAGAUGUCGUCGAGCUAACCCGCCGACACCACCACAAGUUGAACAAGAGAGAGGAGGAAAAGCUUCCCAUGCAAUCGAAGGUACAAAGUCACCGUCAACCGAGACUGAGCGGCACCGAGAAAACUCUCUUGCGAGAGGCAGAGAGGAGAACAUGUUAUUGAAGUUAUUGUUGUUAUCUUAGUUUGUUUGAUGGGAUGCAUUAAUCGAUAUCUACAAAAAAGCGGGUUAGCAAGCGAUCAAACAAUGACCGAUAUAUAUUGAUGGCGUUCCCAUCCUCAAGUCUCGUUCCAUGCAUGGUAGAAAAAGAGGAAAUUGAUUCGCACUUCUCAUUUUACAAUUUAUACUCAUUAUUUCUUUUGUUUAUUAACUUCAAUCUUUUGGUAAUGUGAUAACAUGUGUUUUGUUCUUUUUAACAGAAAACUGGAACAGAGAGCGUAGAUUGUGAAAUGGAAAAUGCACUUUCCAUAUCAAACGAAAGAUUCUAAUCUAAUGUUGCUAUGUUGCUGAUGAUUGUUUAAUUUUUACUCGAGCAUCGUAUACUGCUCCAAAGAAUGUAAUCAACUUAUUGUCUACUUUUUCAGAAGCUUCAGGUCAGCAAAUUAACUACCAUAAAUCAACAAUUUAUUUUUCUACUCAUCUUUCUGCUGCUUCUGUUAAACGUGAUCUUGCUGCUUACUUGGGAAUUCAACAUAAAACUAGUAUAGGUAAGUAUUUAGGAGUCCUAAACAUUAUUUACUGGAAAGACCCUAUCAAUUUUCAUGACAUAAUUCUUAAAAUGAAGAGGAAGUUAGCUGGUUGGAAAGCUAAUACCUUGUCUAGAGGAGGUAAGUUAACUCUUGUGAAUCCAACCUCACAGGUAUGUCUAAUCAUAUACUUUCUUGUUUUAAAUGUCCUCGUCAUUUUCUUCAUAAGAUAGAUAAAGAAAGUCGACAGUUCUUUUGAGGCUCUAGUCAUUCUAAUGUAGCUUGGAAUCAAACUACGUACUUUACCUAAAGGCUAAAGAUAAAGGGAGUUUGGGUAUACGAUCUGCAGAGGUUUUUAACUGUGCUGCACUAACGAAACUAGGGUGGAAGAUUCUAACCGAACCAAGUAAUUGGGGGGUACAAGUAGUAACUAGAAAAUAUUUACGAAAUACUAAUUUCCUUAAUGUUCCUCGCAAAAAGAAUGCUUCUCUAGCCUGGAAAGGAAUCGACACUAGAGAUGUCCUACUUGAAGGCCUUCGCUGGAUAAUAGGUGAUGGGGAUUCAAUUCUUUUUUAGCCUUUUAAUUGGGUACUCCCAUAUUCUUUGUUCCAUCUAAUCCCAUCCGAUCAAAGACAUGUCUUAGAUUCGAAUCUCAAGGUUUCUGAUUUUAUUGUCAAUGGACAAUGGGAUUCUAACAAGUUACAUACUCUUUUGCUUGUUAAUAUUGUUAGCCAAAUUUGUGCAAUUCCUUUGCCUAUUUACCAUACCCUUGAUGAAUUCGUCUGGGGACCUAGUGGUUCUGGUAAGUUCAGUAUUAAAUGUGCAUCUUCAAUGCUAGAUAGUAAGGCUAUUCCGCAUACUGCAGCUAGAACUCCUAGUCGGAUGUGGAAACUAAAACUACCUCCUAUAAUUCAAGUUUUUGCCUGGUUAUUAUUGCGUAAGAGACUGGUUAUCACGUUUUUACUCUAGUAUCUCUCCCAUUUGUCCUUUUUGUCAUUUACAUAAUGAAUCAGCAUCUCAUAUUUUCCAGCAUUGCGAUUUUGCAAAACAGGUUUGGUCUUUGGCCCAGACACCCACACCUACUUUGUGGGAAGGUUCUAUUUAUUCUUGGUUGGAUCAUAUCUGUUAUUCUACAUCCCCUGAGAUUACUGCUUUAAUCUUUCUUAUAUUAUGGUUACCCUGAAAGCCUGUACAGGUUAUCAACCACGCUCCAUCCACAGGGUUACGACUUGCGAAUAACCAGAAGACUUCAAGCAAUUUCUUCAGAUGCUAAAAAGAGUGGGAGACAAAGAGUAAGUAAACAGACCUCUAACCAGUUGAGAAAAUUGUCAUGGCAUUGGUAGAUAGAUAAAGAUUACUAACCUGAAUCGCACUAGUAGAAAAAAGGCUUAAGCAAUGGGCACUUUCACAUUUCGUCGCUUAAGCAAAUCCUAAGCGACGAAAAAAAUAUCGUCGCUCUAAAUACAUAUUUCAUCGCUACAAUUUUCUGGGGUGACGAAAUGUUUUUGUCGCUUAAAUUUCGUCGCCACAGGUCCCACUAAGGCGACAACAAGGAUUUUGUAGCAAAAGAUUUGUGUAGCGACGAAAAUGUUAACACUUAAGCGACGAAAAUGUUUGUGGUAUUAUAUCCUUCACCUAACCGACAAAUUGACUUUUCGUCGUCUUAGGUUUAGACUAAAGCGACAGAACUUUUGACUUUAGAGCGACGAAAAUGUUUGUCGCAUGAUAUCUUUCACCUAACCGACAAAUUGACUUUUCGUCGUCUUAGGUUAAGACUAAAGCGACAUAACUUUUGACUUUAGAGCGACAAAAAUGUUUGUCGCAUGAUAUCUUUCACCUAACUGACGAAUUAAUUUUUCGUCGUCUCAGGUUAAGACUAAAGCGACAGAACUUUGACUUUAGAGUGACGAAAAUGUUUGUCGCAUGAUAUCCUUCACCUAAGAAUAAUUAUAUUCUUGCAUUCUAGCUAUUUACAUGUUUAGCCCUAGAAAUCCCGUUUAAGAAUCAUUUUGUUACGACUUUGUUUGACAAAAUGAUUCUUGAAUUGUCCCAUUUUUGGACAGUUUGGGAGAACAUGACUUUGAUUUGCACUGAUUUAUGUUAUUGUAGUUGAGUUUUCGAUAGUGAGUAAUUUCGACAGGGUCUCCUGCUACUGCACAUUAGGUAUAAAAAUUGAUGCAUUUGGGGAACUGUAGGGAGAUGCUGCCGAAAUUUUUCCACGUCGGAUUUGAAACCACAAUAACAUAAAUCAGUGCGAAAUAAAGUCAUGUUCUCCUGAAUAGGAUUAGGACCCUAACCGGAGGCAUAAGGUGAAGAAGAAGAAUUGAAUGGAUAUAUGUGCUUAUUUGUUGCUAACGAUGUGCAUUUUUAUUUCUAUUAUGACAGGCAUGUAGAAAAAAUGGAAAAGAGCUGGAUGCAGUACAAGAGGGGACACCUUUUAUAUAUACAGGGGAUCGUAGAUUUUCUGAAAUUUGUACAACAAUACGAUGGUGGAAAGGAAUGGCACAAGUGUCCGUAUAAAAGAUGUUGUUGCGGUAGUUGGGAGACAAUUCAGGGCAUAGAAAAACAUUUGUCACAUUACAACAUUGAUCUAUAUUAUACUACAUGGACUGAACACGGUGAAGUGCUAGUUAAUGAUCCUAUAAUGCCCCAUUUUCUACCAAAUAACUUGCAUGAGGCUGGCUCAUCUAGUGCUUCCGCCAGCCCUUAUAUGGAUCCCACGUUGAACAUGCUACAUGAUGCUUUUCCAUACGCUUCAAGAUAUCAUCAGGAAGAAACUCAUCAUGAUGCACCCCAGGAAACAGAUUCUACUUUCUCGAACCUAAACACUGGUGAUUACGAUAAGUAUAACAAGAUGCUCGAAGAAGCGCAGACCCCAGUGUACGAGGGAUGUUCAGAAACUGUUUUGAGUUCUCUCAUGGAACAUAUGAGUUUGAAAAAGAAGCAUAGGACCUCGAACAAACAUUUUGAUGACUAUUCAUCGUUUGUUAGACGUUUGCUUCCUCCUGCAAACAAACUACUAUCGAGUCAUUACAAGGCAAAAAAGAUCAUGAACGACCUCGGUCUUGGUUAUGUGAAAAUUGAAGCUUGUAAGAAUAAUUGUGUUAUGUUUUACGGAGAUUACAAAGACAUUUAAAUGUCCCAAGUGUAAUGCGUUGUGGUGGGAAGAUACUCUUUCCCCUAAAGGGAAUGAAUGUGCUUCGUUAUUUCCCGUUGACUCCUAGGCUGCAACGUCUCUACAUGUGUGGAAAAACUGCUGAGGAUAUGAGAUGGCACGGUAUUCCGAGGGAAGAUGACAAUGCGCUGAUACACCCCGUAGAUGGGGAAGCAUGGAAAUCCUUUGAUUUAUCAGUUACUGAUUUCGCUGCAGACGUUCGAAAUGUAAGACUCAGACUCUCAACAGACGGGUUUAAUCAUUUCGGAAACAUGAACUUGUCUUACAGUAUCUGGCCUGUUAUUAUUGUUUGUUACAACCUGUCUCCCUGAAUGUUAAUGAAGAAGGAAUAUAACAUGUUGGCUUUGUUAAUUCCAGUACCAAAGUCUCCAGGAAAGUUUCUCGAUGUGUAUUUGAGACCACUGAUUGAUGAGUUGAAUGGGUUAUGGGAAAAUGGAGCAUUGACUUUUGACAAGCAUACCGAUACUUCAUUCAUGAUGAGAGCAUCACUGAUGUGGAUUAUUAACGAUUUUCCUGGUCACGGGAUGUUGUCCUCUCAUCCCACUAAAGGGUACAAAGCUUGUCCACUAUGCUUAACCGACAUCAAUUCUAGUUGGCACACUAAUAGGGUGUGUUAUAUGGGAGCUCGUAGAUGACUUCCAGAUGAUCAUGAGUGGAGACUUGAUGUAGUUAACUUCGAUGGGAAACAAGAGUUUGGUCUGAAACCCCGAGAAUGGAGUGGCGAUGAAAUUUUAGAUUUGUUGAACUCCUUUAACUUUGAAAAUCUGAGCAGUGAUCGUGAAGUAUUGGCUCGGGAUCCUAAACGUCAUUCGUAUCUUGAUAAUUGGACACAUAAGAGUAUAUUCUUUGAGCUGCCUUACUGGUCAAAGUUAAGAAUAAGACACAACCUAGAUGUUGUGACGACAUCGUUGGAACAAUUCUGGAUAUAAAAGAAAAGACCAAGGACACUAUCAAAGCACGGUGCGAUUUGCAAAAUAUGGGUUUACGCCCACACUUGUGGGUAAAACAAACCGGCUCUAUAGUUGUUAUGCCUAUUGCACCGUACCAGGUGAAGCCGGCUUUGAGGCCUAAAGUUUUCAGCUGGAUUCAAGAUGUUAAGUAUCCUCAAAGGUAUGCAGCAAAUAUAACUCGAUGUGUUAAAGUGGGGGAAGAGAAGAUAAUUGGAAUGAAGACGCAUGACUGUCACGUUUUGUUGUAGCGGCUCUGGCAGAAGUUAUGCAUCGUGAUUAGACCAUAUAUGCAUCGUGAUGUUGUGGAGCUAUUAGUAGCCUUGUCCCGGUUCAGGCAAAAGUUAUGUGCUCGGGAGUUGAAAAAGUCAGAUGUCCUUAAAUUAAACAUCGUCUGCAUCCUUUAAUUUGCAAACUGGAGAGGAUUCCCCCCCCCCCCCCCUUUUUUUUUUCUAUUAUGGUUCACCUCAUGAUCCACCUGCCUGAAUAAGUGUUGUUUACCGGUCAAGUACACAAUACCUGGAUGUUUCAUAUGGAAAAGUAAAUUUACUAUUUCCUAGCACUUUAUGACUUUGAUUUAUAUAUUAUUAACGAGCUCAAUAAAUUAACUCUGACCUUUUAUUUUCUUUAAGACAACUCGGCGGAUAUAAGGGGUAUGUUAAAAAUAUCGUCCGGAGGGGUCAAUAGAAGAGGCAUACAAGAUACAUGAGUGUGUAACCUAUAGUGAAAAUUAUCUCCAUAAAAAACAGAGCAUGUCGGCAGUGAGAUUACACCUAGGUUCAACUUUUCAGUUGUUUCUGAUGAUAUCUGUUUGUUUGGGAAAUUAUCAAUUUCUGAAAGAUUCACCGAUGAUGAGAUUGUUGAGGCUCAUUGGUGGGUACUGUGACACUGUGACCAAGUCGACAUGUUUAGACAUCCACAUGAACAACUUUGCAAAAUUAAAUAUGGUGACAGAUGGGAAGAGAUGCAGAAGAAGACAUUUCCUAAAUAUUACACAAAAUGGGUGCGUUUCUGUUUCAUUUUUUUACACGAGAAAUUAACAUGUUUUGAUGUUUUUUCAGGUUUGUGAUUCCAAAAAUUAACAUGUUUUGAUGUUUUUUCAGGUUGCAAAGUUGCAAGAAGAAAAUAGUGUACAUUACAAACCCGUGUUGUCUUAUUUGGCUGGUAAGCCGCAACAUGUGAAUAUAUAUGCUGCUUGUGUAGUCAACGAUAUUAAGUUUUUGACAUUGCAUCGAGAUUAUGGUUGAAAGACACAAAAUAGUGGCGUGAUGUGUGUGGGUACGGAAGACAGAUCUGAAUAUUACAAGGUCGUUGUAUCUGUUGUCGAGCUAGUCUACGCAACUGGUAUGCCAGUUGUAUAAUUGAAGUGUAGAUGGUUCAACGACCUAAAUAUACUGAGGAGUACCAAGAUGAAUCAUGGUCUGUUAUCAGUGAAUACAUGCACAAGCUGGUAUGAGAAUCAACCGUUUAUUGUUGCCACAAUGGCAAGACUAGUUUUUUAUCUUGAUGAUCCAAAAGAGGGUGGGGGUUGGAAAGUUGUUAACGUGAUGUUACAUAGAGGUAUUUACAUUGCAACUACACUUGAGAUGUAUAUUGCAAAUAGAGAUAUUGAGAAUGUGACUUUUGAACUAUAUUAACAAGCCUCGACAUCUAAUAUCCCCGACACGGAGACUAUUCACAUCAACAACGACAUCCACUUCCAACCCCGUGAGCGCGUUCCCAUUUCUAAUUUAGAGUUUGACUUUGAUUCACUUCCAUUCAUCCCACCAACUGAGAACUUCAUUGACGACGAAGAGGAAGACUCAAACGAUCAUUCAUAUGAAGUGAGGGUGAUUUAGAAGACGGGGACUAUGAUGAUAGCGAUUCAAAACUCAUGAUGUGUUAAAACAUCAAAUUUUCGAUUUAAUUAUGUUAUGAAUUUAAUUAUUAUAUAUGUAAUGAAUUUAUUCUAUUAGUUGUGAUAUGUACUAAUUUCCGUUUGAUUUAGUUUUAUACUUUACUAACAUUUUAUGAGCUAGUAUUAAUUAGUAAAAAGUGAAAUAUAAAUGAUUUUCCAACUUAAGCGAUGAAUUUUGUCAUUUCCGUCACUUUAAAACGUAUAUUAUUUGGUGAAAAAUCAAAAACUUAAGCCACUUAGGCAACAAAAAAGAAACAGAUCGUCCCUUUGACCCAAAUAUUUGGCGAGCUGCUUUUCAUUCCCAAAUUUUGGCCUAAAUUUGAACGAACUUAAGUGACAUAAGCCAUAAAGGUAUUCGUGGCUCAUUUGUUACUGUCACGCCCCAAUUUUCGAAAGAUAAAUUUUCAAAAAUUUGGGCAUGAUAUAACACCAAAUCUUAAAAUUCCAAAACCUGCUCAAACAACUUCCGAACUAAAAACAAAUACUGGAAUUGUAAACGUCAACAAACUCAUCAACCGAGUUAAACAUUACAUCUCCUUAAUUACAACAACUUCAAAAGUCUAGUAAUAAAGGGUCGCUCACAUGAGCUUAAAAACAACCGCCAUGAUAUACAAAAAAAGUACAUCGCCUAAAACCCAGCUCCUAAGCCACUGCCUUAACCCUGCUGAUCAACACCUGCAGGUCUAACCCCUACACCAUAAAUUGAUGCACCGGGUUGUAAACAACAAACCCGGUAAGCUUAAAAAGCUCGUAUGAGUAACUCUCAAAAUAAAACUCAACAAUUUCAACAUCACAUAAGAUAACACUGGAAAUUCCUGCAUUAAUAACUUAGUUCAGGAAUCACCUAAAAGCAAGAGAAUUUAAAAGAACUAAUUAAGAGAACACAACAAUUCAAAAUCACUCAAAAUCAUAAAUGAAUCCUGCAAAAAAACGUAGUUCAGGAUUCCACUAAAAAUCACACAAAUAAAAUUAAAGAAUCUCCUACAUUAAGCAUAGUUCAGAAGAUAUUUAAAACAAGGAAUUUAAAUGACAACAUAUGAGAACAUCACACAAUCAUUUCUCAACCCUUACUUAAGAGUUCGUCAACACAUAGUCAUCCCUCAUAAGUAACUAGACAAAGACGUACUCAUGAGUUCGUCAACACAUAGUCAUCCCCCAUGAAGUACCGACAGACUAUAACUCUAUACUGACCGUAACCAAUCACUCGGCCAAGGCUUGGUUCCCGGUCCACCACGAAAGCUCCUAAUCUAAUGCACACAAUCACCACUAAAGCACACAUCCACAACUAAUACACACAAUCACCACUAAGGCACCAUUCCACAAUGAAUGCACACAAUCACCGCUAAGACACCAUUUACAACUAAUGCACACAAUACCAAGGCACCAAUAAUCACAAUGAAUACACACAAUCACCACUAAGGCACACAUGCACAACUAAUACACAAAUAACCACAUCAAUAGAACCAGACAAGCGACACCUCACUAGAAUAUACUUUUUCACGAAGGGAUAUAUAUAUACACAAAUAUAGAUUUUCUCACAAGAAUAAUCUACCAAGAACUAAAAAUAUUGUAGUCACUAGAACCUUAAAAAUGAUCAUUUAAAAAUGAAAAUUUGUUUUCUCUUACCUAUGAGCCGUUGGCAAUUAAGCUCAUAUAUUUUAAAACAAACAAAAAGGAAAACAUAAUUUUAAAUUAUUAUCAUCAUCACAAUCAUCAUAAUCAUCAAUAUUUUCAUCAACAUAAUCAAUAUCAUCCUCAUCAUAAUAAUCAUUAUCAUCCUCAUCAUAAUUGUAAUACCCUAGAUUUUCAUAUAUUAUUCCCUUAUUUAAUGAAGGAUUAUUUAUGAAAAUUCUUUGGUUUAUGCGAAGUUGAAGUUUCAGGAGUUUAUUUUAAGGUGCUUUGAUUUUAAGAGGCCAAAAGUUGACUUUAUUUUCUGUAAGUUAUCUUCAAAAACUUCCUUCAUGAAAGUUGUAGAGUUUGUCGAUACGAGUUUGUAGACAUGAGGCAUGCUUGAAACGGAUGUCGUAUGGGAAAGUUAUGGUCAAAGGAAGUUAGUUUUCGGGUUUGGAAAGUGUAUAAGUAGAAAAAUGUGUGUGGGUUAAUUUUUGGAACCCUAAAAUCAGCUCACUCUCCACACUCUCCUCUCUCUCUUCUCUCUCUUCUCUCUCUUCCUCUCCCGAGUUCCCCCGAACUCCCUCUCUUUUUCGGCCGAGUUCUCGCUCCUCCGGCCACCAAACCAGACGCCACCGGUCCCGUUCGACUCCCACAAGUGCUCUCUUUAAGGCUGGGCAGCUGCUACUCAGUGUGGCGCGUCGGAAUCAGAGCUCUGUUGCUGGAAAGAGGGCUGAUGUGCCACCGGUCGGAGCUGCCGUAUACGGCGGCGACAAGGGGAAACCAUAUGUGAGUUUUGAUCAUCUCCUCCUCCUGGUAGUGUCUAGGCAUAGAUUAAUCAAGUUUUGAGGUUUUUGAGCCCAGAUUUGCAGGUUUGAAGUUUGAUUUCGGGUUAGGGUUUCGUGGCGUUUUCCGGCCGGUUCCGGCCAAAAUUGGUUGAAGCCUCUGGUAUGAAAGUUGUUCCCCUUGCUUCAAGCUUCAACUUUGCUGUUGAGAGUUUUCUCAAAUUAGGAAGUUUGUGGUGGCGCGUGGCAGCGCGUCCGGCUGUGGUUUUGGCUUAGGUUGCUGUGUUUUAGCUAGCACUUGUUGUGGUGAGCUUGUGGAGAUGUAGAAUUUCUAGGUUGUGAGCAAGAUUUGUAUGUUAGGACUUUAAGGUUGUUAUUAGGCUUGGUGGGGGUUUGAGUUAGGAUUUGAGGAUUAGAGGCAGCCAUUUUAGGUCUCUAAGUUCGAUGACUUUGGAAAGUUGUCCUCCCUUGAACUAAGGGUUAGUUUAAGGGUAUUGUGAUAACCUAUAGUAUUUUAGUUACUAAGGUUUUAAUUGUGUUAUUUUUAGGUGAUUUGUGAAGUUGUGUUUGGUUUGCUAUUGUCGACUUGUGGAAUUUGCAGCGGGAUUUUUAGGUGAGUAAAUCUCACUAAGGUUCACUUUUGAACCAAAUGUUAUUAUGGUCAUGUGAUGAUGAUAAUGAUGAUGAUGUUGGAUUUAAUAAUAUGCUUUUAAUUGUUUUUAAAAAUAUAUGAGCUUGAUCGCCAACGGCUCAUAAGUAAGAUAAAAAUAGAUUUUCCUUAUAUGCUAUUUCUGAGAUUCAUGUGAUCAUAAUUUUAUUUAUUAUUGAUAGAUUAUUCUUGUGGAAUAUCUAUAUUUUGUUCAAGUAAAUAUAUCUAUGUGCAAAGAUAUAAUUUAUGAUGUAAUAUUGUGUUGUUGAGGAUAAUGUUGGGAUAUUGUGAUUGUUGGAUAAAUAGCCAAACCGGGUUCCAAGCCUUUUUUUGGGUGAUUGGUUGCGGUUAAGAUGCUAUUUAUCAUUUUUGUGUUUGAUAUUAGACAGUCAAACCGGGUUCCAAGCCUUUGGCCGGGUGAUUGGUUACGGUUAGGAAUAGAGCUCUAAUCUGUCUGUCAGUGUAGGUCAUGAGAGAUACUGUAUGGUAUCUGGGACCCAUGGGCACACAUUUUGUUGUUGUAGGUCAUGAGGGGUAUUUAUUAAUAUCUGGGACUCAUGGGUACAUGUUAAUUGAAAAAGUGUUGGAUUUGUGGUUUUAUUUAUUGAUAUAAAUUGCUCUUGUGAUAUAAUUGGUGUUAUUUUGAGAAUUACUCAUACGAGCUUUUUAGCUUACCGGGUUUGUUGUUUACAACCCGGUGCACCAAUUCUUGGUGUAGGGGUUAGACCUGCAGGUGAGGAUCAGCAGGGGUUGAGGCGGAGGCUUAGUAGCAGGGUUUUUGUUUAGUUUUGUUGUACAUUGUAUAUUUUUAUAUUUGGGCUAGACUUUAUUAAAACUCAUGUGUGUAGUUUCAUUUUCUUGAUUUUCAAAUUUAUGUAAACAAGGAAAUGUAUUAUUUAACUCGAUGUUGAGUUGUGUGACUUUUACAUUUCCAUAUUAAGUUUUAGUUUCUUUGAAGUUGGUUUGGAAACAGGUUUUGGGACAAUAAUAUCAUGCCAAAAUUUUUGAAAAUUAUCUUUUGAAAAUUGGGGUGUGACAAUAAUAAUCAUUAUCAUCAUCAUCAUCAAAAUAAUCAUUAUCAUCAAAAUAAUCAUUAUCAUCCUCAUCAUAAUAAUCAUUAUCAUCAUCAUCAUAAUAAUCAUAUCAUCCUCAUCAUAAUAAUCAUUAUCAUAAAACUAAAUAAUUUGGGUCCCAAAGUGAAAGUUGGUGAGAUUUUACCCACUUUAACUCCUGCUGCGUCUUCACACAAACACAAAAGAAAGCUCAAACCAAGCUCCCGAUAACCACCUAUUAAUAAAUUGUUCACUUUAGUAACCAACAUGACCAAAACACUUCCCCCUUGAACCAAGACUCUACCCUUGACCCAAGGUCUUGUCCUUCAAGACAACUCUUCUUCCGAGACCUCCCAAGAUAAUAGGAACCCUCAACCAACCUAUUGAAAAAGGUUAACAAGAUUUUCCACCAAAGCUUAACAACCUCUCCCGAUUCUCAACUUAGUCUUAAACCUAGGAUGCAAAACUUGAUCAUAACAUAACCUCAUGACAUGUUAACGUGCUCGUAUCGAUGAGCACAAGCUAACAGUUACUCCUAACCUCCCAACCCCUACCGGACGUGCCGCCACGCACCACCAAAGACGGCGGCGAGUGGGCCCCACGCGCCAUCCAAAAACUUUUGAAUUUGGGCAAACUCAAAACACGAAACUUGUAGAUGGAAGAGAGAGAAGCGUCUUUUAUACCUGAGGUUUUGCCCCACUCGGCCGGAAAACGCCGGAAAACACCAGACUUGUCGAAAAAGUUGGAAUCCACCACCAUCACUCUACACCAAGAGUCGAGCUUCAAGACCACCUGAAAUCGAACUAGGACGCCAAGGAGCUUCAAUCUCGACCAUUUCCAAGCCGCGUCGCCGCCGCCGGAGGUGGGAAUCCCAACCGAUCUCCAAGCAUAACUUUCGAGCUUCGGUUACCACUUCGGGACCAAAUCGGCGUGACCCAGCUAGAGGAGAACGAAGGCAAGGAGAAGAGGAGUCGAUUCGGGCCGGUGGCACGGUCAGGCGACAUCGGACGGCGCCGGAAAGUCCGGGUCGGGUCAACCGGGUUCGGGUCGGGUCAGACAGAAAACUUGGAAACCGAAGGUGAGGCGCGGGAGAAGAAAGAGGAAGGAAAGUGAUGCGGGAAAAAAAAUGAGGGAACCCAAUAACUUUUUCAUAGUUAUACUAAAAAUUCCCGAAAGCCACAAACUUUUGCUGAUCAUAAUUUCCACAUACGAAGUCCGUUUUACACGUACCACAUGUCUACGAAUUCGUAUCGUCGUGCUCUACAACUUUCGUGAAGGAAGUUUCUCGAGAAACCCAACGGAUUAGAAAGUCAACUCUUGACCCUUCAAAACCGAAAAACCGUUUCGGGUAAUUGAUGCAUCCGAACACUUUUUUUCUUCUUUCGAACCUCAAAACACAAUAACUUCUAACUCGAAAAAUUCUUGAAUAAUAUUAGAAACUAAUAUCAAAUUUUCGGGGUAUUACAGUUACUAUAUAUUGUUUCUGCAUCACUGAUCGAGAACCCUAACAUUGCUCAAUCGAUCCCAAACUCCCUCUUCCUCCUCUUGCCCAACCCCUUCCUGCUGAUCGAAAUCCCAUAAUCCCACUUCGUAAAAGCUCAGCCACCUCCAAUCUCUAAGCAACUAAACCCGAUUAAAAUCCCAAAAUUUGUCCCCCAACUCUCUUCCAUGUAAAACCUAGAUCCCUUCCUCUUAUUCGAAAUCCCUAGCUCUCGGAAUCCCUAAUAAUAUCACCUCCACUUCCUCCACCGCUCACAAAAUCCAGCCACAUCUUCCUCUGACUACCUAGAUGCCAGCGCCGCUCGGGAAAAGGAAAGCUCGGGAGGAGGCAGAGGAGCGUUUGCGACUGGAGUGUGCGCAAUAAUAUGGCUCUUCUUUUGCAGGAUCCAACCAAGCCACUCCGACGACGGCGCCUCUAGGAUCCCUUGCUGAUUUGGCUCCCCUUCUAACCGACGAUGACGAGUCAACGACCUAAAUAGCAGAAACACCGUCUAAGGGUGCACCCAGGGUUUUCAGCGCUCACCGUAAACCUAAGAAAAGUGGAGGACCUCCCCAGAAAGGCAACCGUGGUGUGGUGAACAACGCAAAGGUGUCUGAUAUUGUAAAAAACACGGGGAAGAAGAUCAACUUGGACUUUGAUUGGGACGUUAUUGAUAGACCUCGUAAUUUUGAUGUAUGCAAUCUGUUUGUCAAUAGUAUUGGAAGCAUCAUACGAAAAAAGUGGCAAUGAAGAAGGAAUCGUGGUAUGAUUUAGACAAGUCGGAGAGGCAAAAGCUUUUUGACGGUCUCACUGUAAGUUAAGAUAACUUUCAGUUCUUUUUUUUGGUAUUUUGAUUCCAUGCAUCAUUGCAAUUUAAUUAUAACUUGUUUUUUAUGUCUUGCAAUGUUUUUUUAUCAUUGAUUUUAAUGAUAUAAAAUCGAUUAAAGGAAUCAAUAAAAGGGCGGCAAGUGUAUUCCGUAAAUAGAAGCAUGAUUUGUCCGAGAUUCACAAGCUCGGGGGGAGAGACGUGAUUCCGGAAGAGCUUUUGCACAGGAGGGAUGAGUGGGAGUGGUUUUGCACGUAUUUUGUUUCGGACAAGUACAAGGUAUAAAUUCAGUUUUGGUUAUGAGAUAGAAGGACAAGUACAAGGUAUAAAUUGAGUUUUGAUAUAAGAUUCUAGUUAUGAUUACGUGGUAUGAUUAAAUCUUAGUUUGAAUAAAUUGAGUUCUGGUUACUGCAUACAGUUGAGAAUUUUGAUUAAAAUUGGAUAUGAUUGUUAAGUUUUGGCCUUGUGUUUGUGGCAAUGAAGUUGGUACUUUGAUUGCUAAUUUAGUCUUAGUAGUAUAUAUGUAUAUAUAGGUAAUUUCAUAGUUCUAUGAUUGAACUUGGUUUGAUCAACUGAUAGGUGCAUUUUAUGCAACGUUCUUAAUGUAUUUCUGACCCUAUUUAGCUAUGUAAUUCCUUUAAAAAUAUUGAUUUUAACUUAAUUUUUGUUUUUAGGUUGCAAAUAAAGCCAAGGAGCACAAAAUAAGUAGAAGAGGAGAAAUCUUGAAGGAAAAGGAAUCCAUAUGGCACAAGGAAAGAAAUCAGAAAAUCUGCCAGGAAUAGUCAGUCAACUUCGACAGAGUAUUGUGAUCAGCUCACAGUGAUCCAGAAGAUGAACCUUAUAUCAACGGAAAGCUAGAAGAGUCUAGUUUCCAGAAAUCUUCGCGGAUCGUCAAUAGCUAUUUUAGAGAAGAAGUUAUGACCGUUUGAGUGGCCAAAUGUCAGUCUGCCCGAAUUUCUGAUUUGGACCGGAAUUUCAAUUUCAAGGCCCAGACCACAACGGCGAGCCCAUGGACGAAAAUUGAGGGUUCUCUAACCCUAAUAGCAGCUGUUCAUACGUUCCUUAUACAUAUGAGGAGUUGGAGACGUGAAAUGGGUCGCUCUUUGCGGCAGAAAAAUAACGUCCCUUUCAUCUCCUUCAAAAAUUCCUCUCCAAAACUCAAGCCCUAGUUUAGGACUUCUCUUGACGUUCCUUCUCCUUUGUAAUCCUCGGCGUAGUUCUUGUCUCAAUACCCAAAGUGUAAUCUAAAUUCAGACCUCAUGUUUUCUUUUACUAUCUAUUCAAUUACUUUAGUUUGUUUCCAUCUCUCUUGUUCGUUUGUGUUCAUGAGUUGGAUUUUUGAUUGAGUUUGUUCUUAUAAUAAUGUUAAUCAGAUAUGUAUAGUUGAGUUGUUGGUGUAAUUGAUGAUGCUUUUGAUGAUCUAAAUUGUGUUUAUGUGUGAUUGACAACUUAUGACUUGUACGUUCUCAAUCAAUAUGUGUCAUUGUUUGUGUUAAGUCCGCAUCGAUAAACAUGAACUAUAAUGGUAAGGAGUUAUAGGUUGCAUGCUAGGAUGUUUUUGAAGUCCGCGUCGGUGAAUUACAUUCUAACAUGUCCAAGUUCUUCCUCUGAUCUAUUUUAGAUGUGAAGUCCGCGUCAGUACAUAUCUAUGAGAAGUUAGAAGGGUUUUAAGUAGUUAAGUCCGUGUCAGUAAAUUACUUGAAAGAUGGAAUUUGAUUCGUUUCUCCAUAUGCAUGAUUUAGGUUGUUAGGGUUGAAAUUGCAUAGCGACUUGGUUAUAUGAAUCUGAUUUAGUGUUUUCUUGUGUGCAAAGAGACGAUCACAUGUAUAUAGUAGGUUAGGUUUUUGUUUCUUUUUAGUUUAUGAUUUUCGUCACUCUUCUGUUCCCUGUUUUCCUUUAUUUUAUUUUCAUACCAAAUGAUCUCCGAUCCCCCUAAAAAUCUAUACAGUAGUUCGUCAGUGUGUCUAGUAGGCCUCUGUAAAUUUUCAUAUUUUUCUGAGUAGUUUAGGUUAGGUUUUUAAUUAGGUUUUCGACUACUGUUCUAUGGAACAGUAGCUACUUUUGUAAAUUGUUUAAAGGGUUUAUUACUUAUCAAUAUUUGUUAUGUUUUACUAACGCUUUGUUUUGCAAGGUACUCUCAAUCCCCGGCCCUAUAUGAUACUCUUAUUUACCUUGUGCUACUAACGAUGAAAAAGAUUUAUUUGAUGCAGGGUUUGCACCCGUCAGCAACCAAGAUAGAAACUUGUGAGAGCUUGAGGAUCGGGUUUGAAAGGGAGUUAUUUUUACAUCCUGUUAUGAUUAUGUGGUAUGAUUAAAUAUUAGUUUGAAUAAAUUGAGUUUUGGUUACUGCAUAUAGUUGGGAAUUUUGAUUAAAAAUUGGAUAUGAUUGUUGAGUUUUGACCUUAUGUUUGUGGCAAUUGAGUUGAUUCUUUGACUGCUAAUUUAGUCUUAAUAGUAUACAAGUAUACAUAGGUAAUUUCAUAGUUCUAUGAUUGAACUUGGUUUGAGCAACCAAGAUAGAAACUUAUGAGAGCUUGAGGAUCAGAUUUUUAGGGAGUUAUUUUUACACCCUAUUUCAUCAUGUACUUGGUCUUGUGCAGAGACGAUCGGUUGCCAACUCCAGCAACCGUGGUAAGGAGUUGGAGCACCACUCAGGGAGGAAACCUAUCAUUUACCAGGUGGCUGAACUUAGGGUUAAGGGUGCUUCAUUACCGGUGGUUGACGUGUACCCGGUGACAUACGACAUCAACCAGCCUAAAGCUAUUGAGCAUUAUAUAAGUAUCAGUACCUAAUGCCUUAAGGAUAAUGGCUUAGUGUUUAAAUAUAAAUGGUUUUGAUUCAAUGACAAAUAAUAAUGGUUUGGGUUUUGGUGUAUUUGCUCUUUGCUAUUCAAAUUUAUAUGCCAUAUGCAUUUUCUGCUUUUCAUUUUCACAAAAUCAUUUGAGAAUCUGCAUUUUCAGAAAAUCUAAAUAGUCUUGUAGUAGUUUUGUGUAUUUGUGUUGUACUUAAUGUUGAAAGUAAUUCAAUGUUCAGUAGGAAAAAUUUUGAACUUUGAAUUGAUAGUUUUGGCUGCCUAAUUGUUGCUACUGUGUGUAUUGGCUAGUCGACAAUACGAUGUUUUGUUUCCUUGUUCUUCAGUGUACUAUGUUGCUUUGCAACAUUUGAGAUUCCAUUGCAUAUGAUCUACUUGUUAGAUAUUGGAAGUAGAGUCCUGAAGUUUAGUGUGUUUCCAACCUAAUGUUAAACUUUUAUUUCUGGAUGAGUGUUCUAUCAAUAAGGUUUAUCUAAAUACAUUAUACUAAGAGGUUCAUGCCAUUGAUUAUGUUUAUGUCUGCAUUUGUUUAGCUAGUUGUUAAUCAACUAAUCUUUCAACUUUACUCCAUAUCUUAUUUUGUACCUAGGACAUUUUCAAAACCCACUUCUCAGACAUUUAUUUAUAAAUGGUUUGUUGCAAAUUUACAACCUAUUAGUAUUCAAGAGUUAGUAUUGCAAGUUUUUGUGCGUUGGUAUUGCUAUUUGUUCUGUGUGCUUGCUUGUUCAAACCUAUAAUAUAAACCAAGCAGUUUUCAUGUUGUAUAUGGUAUAAAAGACUAUUUUAUCAUUAGUUUGAAUACUUUGAUUUCAAAUACAUAAAUUUAAGUGAUAUAUAUCCUGAACAUCUGAAUCUACAAAAAUUUCAAGUGGUUAUGCUUGCAUCUGAGUUUCAUAGAUUACAUUGGAUGUUGUUUCUGAGCUUAGCUAGCAGCCUCAUUGUAUCUUAGUUUCAUACAUCAUUUCCAGAAAUAUAUGUUAUCUUUUUCCAAGUAUAUUUAUAUGUUAUGGCUAUUAUAACAUAUAAGAUAAUAAUAGAAACAUAUGAGUCUGUUAAGAAAUUGCUUGUAUAACCUGUGCACAUGCAUUCUUGUGUGUGCAAGCACAUAUAUUAUUCGUAUGGGAUUUGGUUGAAAUUUCUCUACAUUUGUUGUUCUUUUCCAAUUCUACCUGCAAUAAGGGAUCAAUUUAAAGUUAUUCAUUUACUCUCAUGAUCCACCUGUCUUUGGUGGGUAAUUGGCUGCAGCAAGGCAGGAUUUUUGCUUACAAACAUGUAUAAAUCUCAUCAUGAUGAUAAGAAAGAUGACAUAUGAUUGUCCUUUGAUUUUCUUUCUUAUAAUGUGACCUUCUCAAUGUUGACGCUUGUAUAAUGUUAGUUUCAGUUGACUUGGUCAUUUUUACUGUUCGCUGCUCUUUGCCAUAAAUUUAACAUCAUAUCCAUUACUAUAUUCUUUCUCAAAUUACCUAGGACAUUUAUAAAACCCACUUCUCAGACAUUUGUUUAUAAAUGACUUGUUGCGAAUUUACAACCUAUUAGCAUUCAAGAGUUAGUAUUGCAAGUUUUUGUGUGUUGGUAUUGCUAUUUGUUCUGUGUGCUUGCAUGUUCAGACCUAUAAUACAAACCAAGCAGUUUUCGUGUUGUAUAUGGUAUAAAAGACUGUUUUAUCAUUAGUUUGAAUACUUGAUUUCAAAUACAUAAAUUUAAGUGAUCUAUAUUCUGAACAUCUAAAUUUACAUACAUUUAUAAAUGACUUGUUGCGAAUUUACAACCUAUAGGAGACGAGAAACUCUAAUAAGCUAGGUGAAACAUUAAAACCCCAGACAACAUUAAGAGUAAAGCAUGUGUCUUACCCCUCCUACUUGUAUGAGAAUAAACUUAGAAAUUUAGAUUUAGUUUGAUGGACCUUUUAUUACCUGGGAAGCAUAUUCCUUAAGACAGAUGGGAGAGUUUGGAUGUGUGCUAAAUUGAUGUGUUCUUCAGUAAUUUAGGUACCUUACCUUGCUCGCCUAUUUGAAAAAGUGGGUAUCAACUUUGACGGCCAUAAUCCAAAUACCAUUUGUUGUGUUAACCUUUUCAAUUCAUGUUUGGUUUGAGCUGCUGUGUUCUGUUUUUUGAAUCUCUCUGUCAUGAUUACUUAAGGCUUUGUGUUAAUGUUGGUAUAUAUGACUAAAUACUGUGUUUUGUUAUGAGUUGAACUUGUAUGUAUAUUUUCGUAUUGAUUGAGAACGAUCUCUGAAUUACUCCACAAGUGAACUUUGAAUUGAUAGUUUUGGCUACUGUGUGUAUUGUCUAGUUGUUUGAUUUGUGAAGUGAGCUACUUAGGGGUGGGCAUGGGACGGGAUAGGAUGGGAUAUAGCUAAUCCCACGGCCCGUCCCGGAUAUUGAAAUUGGGACGGGAUAGGACAGGCUUUGCGUUUUUUAGAUUUCAUCUGACCCGGGCCCUAUCCCGGUCGGGAUUGGACGGGUCCAGUCCCGGAUAAAAAAAGUUGAAAAUAAACUUGUAAGCAAAAGAAAAGGUUUCAUAGUUUUAUAGUGCUUUUUACUCUAUUAAGUAUAAACAAGUACUUGUAACAUAUUUACAAGUACAACACGGUGUAAUAAAAGAGUUUAUAUUUCUUACUUUCUCUAAACUUAUCAUCACUACUAUUGUGCAAGAAGAGAGUCUACAACAAUCAACAAAUUAAAGUAUUAAACAUCAUUGUUAUUGAAUUGGAGACAACCUAGUAACUUAAAGAAAUAAAGAGCUAAGAUUAAAACACUUAAAUGAAAGGUUCAAAUCACAUAUUAAUUAAUAAAAAAUCAAUCAUUAAAAUAGUCGGGACAUGACAGACCUAAACGGGACUUGAAUUAUCCGUCCCACGUUCCGUCCCGUUGUCUAAGGAUGAGACAAGACGGGACGGGACGGGACGGGCCUGACAUUUUGAGAUUUAAAUCCCGUCCCGUCCCGACAAAUUUCGGGACGGGUUCGGGAUUACGAGAUUUUAUGCCCACCCCUAGAGCUACUGCAUGUGUAUAUUGUCUAUGGUGUAUAAUAUUGAAAAUAACAAGAUUGUUAGCAUGCAUUUGGUAUCUCAACAUUAUAAUUUGAGUUGUAUAUAUUAUUUUAUAAUUGUAGGAAAAGUUGACGAAACAGGCUGCUAUUGCCAAGAUUUUAUUGAGCACUCAACACCCGGACAUCCCACCGGAUCAGCUACCUCUUUUGGACUGGCUAACUCAACUAAAUGUUGUGAAAAACGCUAUGGGAGAGAAAAAAAAGGGUCUUACCUUCGUGGUAUUGGACAAGCAGGCGUCCUAGAGAAGAGCAAAAUGUCAACAUCUUCCCUUUCACUCUCUCGACUGACUAAUGAGGCAAUGACAUCGAUAGAGGUUGCUAGAAAGGAGGCGGCUGAGGCACAAGAGAGGGCCCAAAAAGCCGAGAAGAUCGUUGAGCAGUCUGCUGCAGAUUAUCAAGUUUUGAAGUUGAAAAUGGAUCAAAUCAUGGCUCGAAUAGGGCUACAACCUAUGUGUUCACCCUCGGUCCCAAGCCAACAACCUCGAGACAACGAUGAUGAUAGGGGCCUUGACACUUCUCCGAUUAGUUUAGAAAAUCAAUAGAUUUUUCUAGUUUAAAUAAUUGUACAAACAAUACUACCUAGUAUUUCUUUUGGUCGGUACGAUAACUUUAUUAGUAAUAUAAACAUUUCCGUUAAUUUAUUUUGAUUUUACAGUAAUUAAUUAUUUACUUACAGUAAUAUAUUUUUGAGUUAUUAUAUCUCUUAAUAAUAAAAAUAAUAUAUAUUUUUUUUUCAAAAAACUAAAACCUAAAAGACGAAAAUUUUGUCUUCUAAGAUGCUUAUUUUUGUUGCUUAAGGGUAAAACUUACGCGUAAAAAUUAACAGGCCAAAAUAGUGUUCUGUCGCAUAAGGCUAUAGCGACGGAAAAUUUUGUCACAUUAAAUCUAGUGUCAAAAACAAACUCGUCUCUAAACUAAAAAGUUUUGUCGCUUAACAACAAACCGACCGGAGAACAUACGUCGCUGAACAAUUUAAGCGACGACAACAAUUCGUCGCUUAAGUUAAUUAUUCGUCUCAUUAAACCUAGCGAUGAAAACAAACUUGUUGCUAAACAAAAAAAUUUCGUCGCUUAACAAUAAAACGACAGGAGAACAUACAUCGCUGAACAACUUAAGCGACGAAAACAAUUCGUCGCUUAAGUUAAUUAUUCGUCGCCUAGGUCUGUGGCGACAUAAACAAUCCCCGUCACUUGUUCCGUUUUCUUAAGCCACGGAUAAUAUGUUUUUGUCACCUAAGUGCCUAUGAGAUGCUUCAUAUACGACGAAUUUUAAGCGACGCCGAUUUCGUCGCUUAAGUCUUAUGGCGAUAAAAAUGGGCACUUAGCCGACGAUUUUUUCCUCUCGCUUAAGCCUUUAUUUCGACUAGUGAUCAUAGACAAGCAGUAGAUAAAGAUUGGCAACUUAGAACAUGAGCCAUACUUCUGUCCCCUUUGGAUUGCUAUGAAACAAUAAGUAGAACAGGUGACUAACAAGGUGAUAUAACUAGAAAAUAGAUUCACCAGUUUGAGAAAUGUGUAAUAGCAUGGGAGAUGAUAUUGAUUACUGACCAGAAUCAUAGACAAUCAGGAGUAGAUAAAGAUUGGCAUCUUCACACAUGAAAUAGAAUGUAGUACAAGUGACUAACAAAGUGAUAUAACUAGAAAAUAGAUUAACGGUUGCACAUUCCUAUAAAGAAAACAAAUUUAUAAUUAUGAUUUAAGUGCAUUUUCAUUUGAAGUGUUAGGCAUAUAUAUACAUCAGUAGUCGAGAAUAUUAAAUUGAUUUUUUUUUUCAUUAGCAAUACAGGGAGAAUCUUAAGAAACUGUACUACCACCCAUCCUAGCUAGAAGAAGAAGAAAUUAGGUUGAUGAUUUACAAGGCUUAUAAUCAGAUCGCACAGAGAGCAAAAAUAGACCCAGACAUAUGGUGGAAAGUUACGCAGAGGCUAGGGAAUCUAAGCACAUAAAGAGAAGAACAAUUCUACAAACAAGUUUGCAAAGACUAUCCAGGGAAGUACUUCAAUAAUGGCCAAGGUUUUGUCUAUUAUUAUAAGGACUGCUUGAGCACUUAAAUGAAAAAAUUGAACGACACAAUGCACAAGUAACUACCAUAAACGAAAAAGACAAAGAAGAAGCUGCAGAAAAAGCUAGGGUAGAUGCUAAAGCACAAAGGAUUGAAGACAUGAAGAUUAUAGAAGAAAUGGCUGCUCUAAAUAUAAAGGGGCGGCAAAUUGAGGACAUUGAACCUAGACGCUCAUUGGGUAAAAUGGAAUGGAGAGCUUGUUCUCGGGAAUCGUACUCAAACUCUAUAUCUUAAUGGUAGAAGAGAACAUAUAGUUCAACAUAGAUGGAGAGGAGCUGGGAAUACCAAUGCAAGUAAAUCCAACCCCCGUGCCAAUGACAAUGGAUGCCUACUACAUGGCACAGAUGAUGAUGUACGCCAAGAACGAGCCACAAAUGAUGAUGCAUGUCUUCUAUGGGCCACAAAUGGCAACGAAUCCUAACUUAGCGCAACAGAAGCAAGCUUACUUGGCGCACCAGAAGCAGCAGGCUUACUUGGCGCACCAGCAGCAGUAGCAGUCUUACUUGGCGCACCAGCAUCAGCAAAGGGCUUACUUAGCGCACCAGUAGCAAGCUUACUCGGCACACGAGCACCAAUAACACGUUUAUUCGGUGCACCAGCACUAGCAGUAGGCAUACUUGGCACACCAGAACCAGCAACAGGUUUACAUGGCGCACCAGCACCAGCACCAGCAGCCGUUCUUGGCACAGCGGGUGUAAGUGUGUCUCCUAAGAGGCUAAGAAUAUCAAUGCAUCUAUUAUUCAACAUCGACCUAUUAUUGGUUUUGUUUUACAAGAUCAUUUUGGAAAUCUCCCAUAUUGCAACUGCAAUGAAGAAGAAGCUCGAAGAUACGAGUGUUGUUGUCGCUGAAGCCACUGCUUUACGUGAAGGUCUUCAUACCACGUUUCUUCAACAAAUUUCAGAAGUUUUUGUCAAGGGUGACUCAAAAUUAAGUAGCUUGACUUGAAAAAGGUCUCACUCUCUUGGAGAGAAGUUUUGAAAGAAAGCUAUCUCUUUAACCUAAGAGAGAUUCUGGAAAGAUCAACGUUACGAUAUGAACUCUAAUUAAAGAAGAAUCUUUCUAAAUCACUUCGGGUCAGCAAGCCGUUCAAAGGAUCAAAAAAACACCAGGGUUGUAAAUGAUAUAGCGUUCCUGAUGACUCGGUAAACAUCUUUCAUUUAUGAAUUAGUUUUCUAUUUCUUAAUUAACUUUUACACAACAAAAAUGAAUUUACAUGAACCACGGUGGUCAAAUUGGUAAGAGCCUUGGUGUGGAACCCCUAUACCUAGGUUCGAAUCUUGCUGACGUUAAUAGGAGUUAAAUCCCAAUUUAUUCUUGGUGACAAGUGAGAGGAAGCGGUCUGACAUGAUCUCUCGACGCGGAUUAGUCUUCCAAAAAUCAUUUGAAAAUCCCGUUGAUACUUAAAAAAAAAAAAUUUACAUGGAAAAUAAACUAAAAUAAAAAUUUAAAAGCCUUAUCCAGAUGGCUGGUCUCUUAAAGUGAUGAACUUUGUGUAAACAUCUGAGUAUUUGUAUACAUCAACAAUCUAACUUCAUGAUGUAACCUUUCGAAAGUUAAGUUAAUCACUAAAGAUUAUCUCUACAAAAUGCAUUAUGAAACAAAAUCGUUUUUUUAGUUGGUAUUAUUAAACAAAUGGGCCAUUGAUUAUGAGAUUACUAACUUUCACAACAACCGUUCAUUUGUUUGAUACAAUUGAAUGAGUAGAUGUUUUUGAUUUGCAUCCAUUUUCUGCAAAAAAAAAAAAAAAGAAUCUUGAAUGGUUGUUUUAAUGUUUGAACAAAUUUAAAAACAAAAAACAUAAACAAUUAAAUGACUAUUUCAUCGUCUAUUCUCGAAAUCAUGUAUUUUCAUUUCCAGAAGUAUGUAAUUAGAAAGUGCUCGGUCGCAAUUAAUUUUUCUUAUCUACAUCCUGAUAGAGAUAAGUGGUGACAUGAGUUGUAUCCCUUAUAUUUUUUUUCUCAUAAACUACUAAACUACUUCAGUAGCUAAACAUUAUCACAUCUAUUACAUGAUGAUAAUUCAUUCGUUAUCAAUUUUAUUAGAGUUGGCGUUGGGAAAUUUUCAUAUGGUACUAUUUUCUUCUAUUUCGAAUGUCAUACUAAGUUGUGAGGUGAUUUCAUCAGUGUGGUUAUGAAAAUUAUGAUGAAAAAAAAAAAAAUCAAGUGUACCAAUCAUACCAGUUGGAUGUUGUCUGUGGAUUGAAAAUGAGUGAAAGUUCCAUGGGCAUAGAAAAAUCUAGGUAUAUAUGAUUGGUUGGGCUAAUAUAUGCGUAUGUCACAUCCAUUUAACUUGUUUUAAUCUAUAUCGUGAACAUCUCAUUUUAAUUGAGAACGUGUUUUAGCUGGAAUUGCUUGAUUUGGUUAAGUUCAACAUUUAGCUUACAAAAGUGAAUUAUUUAAGCAAGCUUUGGCUUUGUUAUGUCGGUGAGCCGUACUUUGGUUGGUUAAAGAGUUUAACUGACAGCUUUGAGGUCAUGGGUUCAAACCCUCAUUGACAUAUAUAGGUGAGUGAGUUAUUAAUAAAAAAGUUUUAUUUUAUUUUAUUUUAUUUUUUAAAAGGCCUUGGCUUUGUUAACCAUUUAAAUUAUGAAAAUAACUUCUAAAAGAUAAACGAAUGGUCAACCUUACAUAGAGGUUAUGGUCAUCCAUCUGUUUGUACCUAUUUUUUACAUGUCGACCUACUACGCCGAAGUAGUUGGUUGCGAAGAAGCCAACAACAUUUAAUGAUAAUUAUGGCAAUUAUUUCGUAUAAUUAUCAUCAACAUUAAUGAGAUUUGCCGAGAUUCAUUAUUUGGUAUUAACACAAAUACAUACCAAAUAUUGAAGAAGCCAACAACAUUUAAUGAUAAUUAUGGCAAUUAUUUCGUAUAAUUAUCAUCAACAUUAAUGAGAUUUGCCGAGAUUCAUUAUUUGGUAUUAAAACAAAUACAUACCAAAUAUUGAAGCAACGGCGAUAUAUGGCAACAAAAUAACAUUUACGGCUAAUUAGAAGCAUUGAAGAACGAUAUUUCAAGAUAAUUAGUGCAAUUCCAACGAAGCCGCAAGAGGAAACAAAUAACGGCGAUAAUUAUUGCCGAGAUUUAAGUGAAUUUGAAGGCAUUAAAGAUGAUAUUGCACAAUUGAGAGCAAAUUGAUUCUAACGGUGCUUCAAAAAAGAAAGUAAAUAUGGAGUGAUUAAGAAAAUAAGUGGAGCAUAUCUUUAUUCCGGUCAUUAAGACCGAAAUUCAAAAAAUAUUUGAUUGUAUUAUAUUUCCUUAAUUGGGUGUACGUACUUGUAUAUAUUCGACCCCCAAGCUCAUUGUAAAUGGUCCCCGACCAACACACACAACUCAAUACAAUCUCAAACACUUCAAAUUCUCUACGAAUUCUCUACAAUAUCAAUCUUUUUAUCCAUGUUCUAGCAUAGUUUUUUUCUUCUUUUUAUUCGUUUUCUUUACAUUCCGCACUUUAUCGCUUUCUUUAUAUUCCAUACUUUACUUUCAUGCAAUGUCUCUUCUGCGUCUUUAAAUUCAUGCACUUUAAUUUAUCGCAAUUACUUCAUGCAAUUUACGUUUCAUGCAAUUUCAAUUUUCGCCUUUAGAUUUUUGUUCAUUUACUUUUCGUACUUUAAUUCUCGCAAACUUAUACAAAAAUCACAAAAAAAGAGGAGCAACAUCGGUGAAAACGCCGAAAGUCCUUGCAACAAAGGCAAGAGAACCCAAAGGCCGAGACGGUUCCUUCCUCAGUUAAGAUCCGUCGCCUAAGUGUGGUGAGGUAGACACUUGGGCGUCGAAACCUAAAAUUCCGUCGCCUAAGUGGUUCUUAGGUUAGGCGACGGAUUUUAUUUUACAGUUAAAAAAAAAUUAUCCACUUAGGAGACGGAAUAGUUGAAUUCCGUCGCUAAAGGUUGAAAAAAAAAAUUUUAAAAAUAAAUAAAAAAACCACCGCAGGUUUUUUAUCCACUCACUCUGACCGCCUCAAAUACCACCACCACCGCAGGUUUCAGAAGUCACAACUAAAUGUCUUGAACUUCUUCUCAUUCUGCAUAUAAGUAGUAAAAACUUGCAUUUAUAAAUUGCAUAUGGAAAAAAUAAAAUUUACUGCCCCCCAGUAAACUUCUACUGGGGAUCAGUAAACUUGUAAAAAAUAACUCUCUUUCUAUUUCAGGGGCACAACACACAACAUAUAUCAAUUCUUACCUUAAUAAACAACUUUAUUGGCCCCUAAUGAACCCAGUAGAAGUUUACUGCCCCCAGUAAACUUCUAAUGGGGGUUAGUAAAAUUCAAUACAGUAUCUCCUUUUCAAUUUCAUGUCAAUUAUACAUAACAGAUACCAAUUCUUACCCUAAAAAACAAAUUCAUUGCCCCCUAGUAAAUCCAGUGGAAGUUUACUGCCCCCAGUAAACUUUUAUAGGGGGUCAGUAAACUUCAAUACAAUCUUCCUUUCAAUUUCAUGCUAACAAUCUGCCUCAAAUAUACCACAUGUUACACCCAAAUUUUCGAAAGGAAAUUUUCAAAAAUUUUGGCAUAAUAUCUCUUAAAAUAAUAUAAUCCCAAAGCAUGUUUCAACAAAAUUUCAAUGAAACUAAACUCAAUGCGGAAAGUAAAAUUUACACACAACUCCAUAUUGAGUUAAAUAUUACAUUUCCUUGUUUACAUAAACUCGAGAGUCAAGAAAAUGAGACGCUCACAUGAGUUUAAUAUUGUCUAUCCCAAUGUAUAUAUAAAAAUAAGUAUAUACAAUGAACAACCAAACCCAACAAAAAAAAACCCUGCCACUAAGCCUCCACCUUAACCCUGCUGAUCCUCACCUGCAGGUCUAACCCCUACACUAAGAAUUGGUGUACCGGGUUGUAAACAACAAACCUGGUAAGCUAAAAAGCUCGUAUGAGUAAACUAAAAAAUAACACAACAUUUAUCACAUCCAAUAUUCCACAAGAGAGAUUGGAUCCAUAAUUAAAGAAAAACACACAUCCAACACAUUACCUAAGAAAAGUACUCAUGAGUCCCAGAUAUUUAAUAAAAUACCCCUCAUGACCUACAACAACACUAUGUGUACCCAUGGGUCCCAGAUACCAUACAGUAUCUCCCAUGACCUACACUGACAGACGGACUAGAGCUUUAUUCCUAACCGUAACCAAUCACCCGGCCAAAGGCUUGGAACCCGGUUUGACUGUCUAAUAUCAAACACAAAAAUAAUAAAUAGCAUCUUAACUACAACCAAUCACCUAAUUAAAGGCUUGGAACCCGGUUUGACUAUUUAUCCAAAAAUCAGAAUAUCACAACAUUAACCUCAACAACACAAUAUCACAUCAUUAUUCUCAACAACACAAUAUCACAUUAUUAUUCUCAACAACACAAUAUCACAUUAUUAUUCUCAACAACAUAAUAUCACAUAAUUAAUUCUAUCCUCUCACAUGGAAAUAUUUACAUGACCAAAAUAUAGAUAUUCCACAAGAAUAAUCUAUAAAUAAUCAAUAAAAUCAUGAUUACAUGAAUCUCAAAAUAGCACAUAAAGAAAACUUGUUUUACCUUAUCUUUGAGCCGUUGGCGAUCAAGCUCAUAUAUUUUUAAAAGCAAUUAAAGACAUAAUAUUAAAACCAACAUCAUCAUCAUUAUCAUCAUCACAUGACCAUAAUUAAAUUUGGUUCAAAAGUGAACCUUGGUGAGAUUUACUCACCUAGAAAUCCUGUUGCAAAACCCCCAACACAACUAAGGCAAGCCAAUCACAAAAUCACCUAAAAUCACACAAUUAAAAACCUUAGAAACCAAGGUAUUAAAGGAUAACACAAUACCCUUAAACUAACCCUUAGCUCAAGGGAGGACAACUUCCCAAAGUCGUUGAACUCAAAGACACAAUAGAGCUGCCUCAACUCUUCAAAAUCUAAACUCUAACCCAACCAAACCAACACCAAUAAACUUAAGUCUUAGCAUGCCAACAUUUCUUAAAGACUAGCCACACUACCACUCAACAAGCUCACAACAGUAAGGACUAGCUAACCAUAGGAAACUAGGGCUGCACCUCAGCCGGACGCGCUGCCACGCGCAGCCACAAGCGACGGCGAGUGGGCCCCACGCGCCACCCCAAACUUCUGAAUUUGAGAAAACUCCCAACAGCAAAGUUGAAGCUUGAAGCAAGGGGAACAACUUUCAUACCUGAGACUUCGACUAAUUUUGGCCGAAACCAGCCGGAAACCGCCACGAACCGUGACUAGAAAAUCAACUACAAAACCUGCAAAAUCGGCCUCAAAACCUCAAAAACUUGCUUCAAUCUAUGCCUAGACACUACUAGGAGGAGGAGGAGAUCAAGACUCACCUAAGGACGCCCUUCGUCGCCGCCGUAUACGGCGGUUCCGACCGGUGGCACAUCAGCCUUCUUUCCAGCAACACAGCUCCGGUUCUGGCGUGCCACACCGAGCAGCAGCUGCCCAGCCUUGAAGAGAGCACUUGUGGGAGUCGAACGGGACCGGUGGCGUCCGGUUUGGUGGCCGGAUGAGGGAGAACUCGGCCGGAGAAAGUAAGAGUUCGGGGGGAGCUCGGGAGAGGAAGAGAGAGAAGAGAGAAAAGAGAGGGAAGAGAGAAAAUAGAGGCUGACUUUGUUUUUAGGGUUCCCAAAUACAUCCCACACACAUUUUUCUACUUAUACUCUUUUCAAACCCGGAAACAAACUUCCUCUGAACAUAACUUCUUCAUACGACAUCCGUUUCAGGCGUGCCACAUGUCUAUGAACUUGUAUUGACAAACUCUACAACUUUCAUGAAGGAAGUUUUCGAAGAUAACUUACGAAAAAUAAAGUCAACUUUUGGCCUCUUAAAAGUCAAAGCACUUUAAAAUAACCUCCUGAAACUUCAACUUCGCAUAAAUCACAGAAUUUCCAUAAAUGAUCCUUCAUUAAAUAAAAGAAUAAUACAAGGAAAAUUGAUAUGAAAAUCUAGGAUAUUACACCACCGCCACCACCACCACCGUAUCAAAUAACCGCCAUGCCACCAUCGUCAUACCAAUCACAUCCUAACCAAAAUUAAAAUCAAAAUCAAAUUAAACAAAAACACAUAAAUCUAUCACCAAAGCUAAUUAAACUAGAAAAAUUGAAGAACUUACCUUGAUUUCUUACCCUUUUGAAAUUUCGAGGGACGGUGGUGGGUUGGUGGAAAGGCUUGGUAGAGAGAGAAAGGUGGCGGUAGCAGCGUCUGUGGUGACCCAGAUCUGAGGCUUGGUGCAAGAGAAGGGGACGAGGAGCUUGCUGGCGACGGACGGGUGAGUCAGGUCGGGUCGAGAGGGAGAGGUUGUUGGCUCCGAGGAGGGUGCGAAGGUGGGCGGGUGAUGUUGAAGAGGGUCUUGACAGCAUUAAGAGUGGUGGCGUUUAUGGGGACAAAGUCGAUGAGCGCGUGGCNNNNNNNNNNNNNNNNNNNNNNNNNNNNNNNNNNNNNNNNNNNNNNNNNNNNNNNNNNNNNNNNNNNNNNNNNNNNNNNNNNNNNNNNNNNNNNNNNNNNNNNNNNNNNUGUCUCCUAAGUUCUACUUAGGCUACGAAAUGUAGUUCCGUCUCCGAAGUGAUUCAUAUAAAUUUUUUAAUUUUUAAUUUUUCAAAAUGUCGUCGUCUAAAUAAAAAUAUUUCGUCGCUUAAGUACCACUUAAGCGACGGAAUUCCGUCUCCUAAGUCGUUCUUAGGAGAUGAAAUCGAAAUAUUUUGUCUCCUAAGAACAACUUAGGAGACGAAAACUGUUUCGUCGCCUAAGUAGAAAAUUCCGUCGUUUAAGUACCACUUAGGAGACGGAAUUUUUUAAUUUCGUCGCCUAAGUGCUAUUUUCCAGUAGUGAAAAUGAGUUUAACUUCACAUUUUAGAAAUAUAAAAAGCAAUUGUGGCAAAUCAUGAUCACAUAUUUUUGAAAUUAAAAUUUACGGGAUUAACUUAAAUUCAAACACUCGUAAAUUAAGGUUUCAUACCAUUAAAUGAGUCAUAUUGAAGUUCGAGAGACCCUCUCUCUUGCUCUUCUAUUCUCUUACUUUCAACAUUGAGACUGCCUCUCUAGUACCUCUAGGUUUUUAAAAAAAAUUUCUUCUCCUUUGUCCGAUGACGCAUCCAGUGACGCUGUUGUCUGACUAACUAUGUUGGAUUUGGGCUUAUGUUUUGACCUCUAGUGUGGGAUCGGUGGUAAGUGAGAGGGAUAUCAAGGUGGUUGGCAGGUGGAGGUUCCAGCGUUAUUGGCAAGGUUGGUUCGGAGUCGUUGAGCGGUGGUGGGUCGGUCUUGCUAUAAGGGUGAUGACGAGUUGUGGCUUUGCAGGUUUGGUGGCGGAUUGGAGGUUCUUUGGUCAUGGCAACAUGGUUAGGCUCAGAUCGGAAUGAGUUGGCUUGCGUGCUUGAGACUUUGGUUUUCCUUAGGCUGUGACGGGGCUGGUGGAAGCAUGAUGUCGGCGUUUCAGCUGAAGAAGAGUGAGGGUGUUGUGGGUGGUUCUCUAGCGGCGGCAAGGUUGGAUUGGGUUUGGCCGACUGUGAUAGAGCAUAUUCUAUCUGUUUACUUUGUCCAUCAUUUAAUCAUAUUUCUUUUUGUAAUAGGCUAACACUACCAGAAGAAAGGUUUUAGCCGACGAAAAUAAAAAAACCAGGCCGACGAAUUAUUUUUUCAUCGGCUAAAGUCCACUUUAGCCGACGAAUUUCCCUUCGUCGGCUAAUUUAAAAUUUUCGUCGGCUACGGUCCACUUUAGCCGACGAAAUUUCCCUUCAUCGGCUAAAGUAUUUUUUUCGUCGGCUAUAGUCUGUAAACUUAAGACGACGAAAAUAUAAAAGUUUAGCCGACGAAAUUAAAAUGUCGUCGGGCUAAAGUGCCUUAUAUUUGUAGAUCUGGAUAGCGGCUCAUCUGGGAAAAAAAAACGGGAGAAGAAAAAACGGGAGAAAAAGUUUGGGUGUUGCUGAAAUCUGUCCAUAAUUAGUCUGUGGAGCUAUAUAUAGGUACGUAUAUGUGUAUAUAUGUUGAUUUUGAGUUUUAUUUGAGUUGAUCGGUUUUGAGUUUUAUUUGAGUUGAUCGAUUUUGAGUACGUUGGAUGUAUAUAUAUAUGUGUUGAUCGAUUUGGUUGAUGAUUUGAUAAUAUAUAAGAAGUUGUUGUUAAUAAGUAGUAGAUAUAUAUAUAUAUAUAUGUUAAUUAAUUUAUAAUAUUGUAUUGAUGGUAUGAAGUUGUUGACGAUAUGAGUUGAUGAUGAUUUUGUGAUGAUGUUGAUAUAUAAUACUGUUAUGUAAUUAUUAAGUAUAUAUAUGUGUUAAUUAAUUUGUUAUUAAUUAGUUGUAGUACGUAGAAUACUAAAUGAAUUGAUAUUUUAUAUAUGGAAUUUAAUUAAUAAUUAGCUAGAGUUAUACAUAUAUAUUUUGUUAUAUUUUCAGGAUAUGGAUAAGAGUUGGAUUUCGCUUCCAAAAUGGGAUAAAAGAUAUGGUAAAGGAGUUAUGAGUUUUCUGGAAUAUACGCUGGCUAAUGCUAACGGGAAUACAAUUUUCUAUUGCCCGUGCACGAAAUGUCAGUUUCGCAGCGAUAUGCAUCGAUUUGCGAUUGAUAAGUAUGGCAGCACCUGAAGAGUAACGGGUUUUGGGAGAAGUACACAUGUUGGUUAUAUCACGGUGAAACAUCAUCAAGGGGUCCGCAUGAUCAUGGCCAAUUUUCUGAGACGGGCAGUACACCCAACAAUGGCCUUUAUCAACGACAUGUUUCCUUAUGAGAGUGGUGUAUGCGCUCAAGGACAGUAUAUGCCUGAACCGGUGCAGCCCUUCCCUAGAGCUGUCAACAUUGCUAGUGUUGACAAGUACAACAAACUGCUUGCUUUCCAACAGACCCCUGUGUACCCCGGUUGUCAGAAGACCGUUCUUGAAUGUGUGAUGGACGUAAUGAAGAUUAAAGUUGAGACAAAAUCGACCGUGAAAGCUGUUGAUGAUUAUCUACAAUACACUGCUUCGAUGCUGCCCCACGGUCAUCGUCUUCCUACCACUCAUCAUAAGGUCCGAUGUAUCCUGAAAGAUCUUGGGCUUUCCUACAUCAAGAUCUAUGCAUGCAGAUAUGACUGCAUUCUCUUCUGGGGUAAAGAUCCAGAAGGGAAUGACCUUGGUGGCCUUGACGCAUGUCCGGUAUAUCACACUGACAGGUAUAAGCUGACUCCUGCAGUCAAUAGGAAACCUGUGAAGGUACUUCGGUAUAUCCCGUUGAGGGAUAGGCUGGAGCGGUUGUACAUGUCUUCACACACGGCCGAAGCUAUGAGAUGGCACGCUAAUAGGGAAUUGCAUGACGAAGAUACCUUUAUACACCCUACUGACGGGGAGGCUUGGAAGCAUAUAGACAGGGAGUUUCCUCAUUUUACGUCAGAGGUCUGAAAUGUGAGGCUCGGGCCCUCAUUCGACGGGUUCAACCCUUUUGGCAACAUGAGUCUUCAAUACAGUGUAUGGCCGGUGAUUUUGGUACCGUACAACCUUCCUCCAUAGAUGUGCAUGAAGAAGGAAUACAAUAUGUUGAGUUUGUUGAUUUAGGGUCAUAAUUGUCUCGAUGUGUAUUUGAGACAUUUGAUUGAAGAGCUUAAGUUUUUGUGGGACGUUGGUCAUCCCACUUAUGACGAGUACAUGCACGAGAUGUUCUAGAUGCAUGUCAUGGUUGUUAGUACCAUCAGUGAUUUUCCUGCCCGUGGGAUGUUGUCGGGCAACAUUGUUAAGGGAUACAAAGCUUGUCCAGAGUGCCUUAGCGAUGAGGAGAGCAGCAGUCAUUGCAACAAGAUAUGCAAAUUGGGUCACCGUACUCUCCUUCCAUAUGAUCACGAAUGGCGGUUCGAUGCACAUGCAUUUGAUGAGACCGUAGAAAACGAUGUGCCUCCCAGAAAAUGGACGAGGGAAGAUAUUUUAGCAGUGCUUAAUGAGUACGAUUUUGGGCAGCUCAGCAAUCAUCCCAAUAUUGUGGCGGCAAUACCUGAAAGACCUGACUUAUACAAAUUCUAGACACAUAAGAGCAUAUUCUGGGAACUCCCAUACUGGAGUAAGUUGUUGAUCAGGCACUACCUAGAUGUGAUGCACAUAGAAAAGAAUGUUUGCGACAGUGUGGUGGGCACAAUGCUGAACUUGGAGGGGAAGACGAAAGACGGUCCUAAAGCACGCAUUGAUCUAAAAAAAUGCUUAUAAGAAGACAUCUGUGGUUGAAAGAAGGGAAGAAAAAAAUGCCUCAAGCUCCUUACACCGUGAAACCUGACCAAAAGAACGUAAUUUUCAAGUGGAUGAGUUAUGUGAAGUAUCCUUCAGGCUAUGCAGGAAAUAUAGCCCGGUGUGUGAACUUCCGGGACAAUAAGAUGUACGGGUUGAAGAGUCAUGACUGUCAUAUCUUGCUACAACGUCUCUUCCCUGUUUUCAUUCCACCGUUCUUUCCCCGUCAGGUGGUGGAGCCGUUAGUAGCGUUGGCAAGAUUCUUCCAGAAGUUAUGCACACGGGAAGUGAAAAAAUCUAACCUCCGGGAAAUGCAAGAGGAUAUCAUUUAUAUCAUGUGUAAAUUUGAGAGGAUAUUUCCUCCAAAUUUUUUUGACAUCAUGCCUCACCUGAUGAUCCAUCUUCCCGAGCAAUUGUUGCUUACCGGUCCAGUACACCACACUUGGAUGUAUCCUAUGGAAAGGUAUGUUUUUUACACCUGAAUUCCUCAAUAUAUAUACAUGUUGAAUAAUCAUAACACUUUGCAACUUGAUUUAUAGGCAACUUGGAGACUACAAAGAUUAUGUGGCUAAUAAAUCCGCGGCUGAAGGAUGUAUAGCUGAAGCAUAUAUUACGCACGAGUGCGUCACCUACAUGAAGUUGUAUUUAGGAGCGUUGAAGGAAACUCCGCAAACCAUACCGGUAGAUGUACCGAAGUUCAAUCUUUCCAUACUCUCCAGUGAUGUUGAAGUUUAUGGAAUUUUGCCAGACUCCUACAAGUUGCAAACACAUGAGCUAGUCAUUGCCCACUGAUGGGUAUUGAUUAACUGUCCAAAAGUUGAAUACUGGAAAGACAUCCAUCUAAAUUAUCUAGACAUUCAAGGUGAUCUCGAUUACCACAACAGGGAGUUCGCAAACUAUUUUGGCAGCUGGGUACGUAAUUCAAUAUUUCUGUACGUGUUUAUAUUUAUUGCAUAAUUAUCCAUAUUUACAGUUGAAUGGUUGGUUGCAGAUGAACCAUAUUCAAUUUGAUGGUCACCCAAAUUGGUCGCACGAACUAAGACUUCUAGCGAUGAAGCCGAUAAUGUCAAGAGUUUAUCCGAUGUGCAAGGUGAAUGGCGUGCAAUUUGUAUGUGAACAGAGAGACAGCAAACGGAGAACACAGAAUUCUGGGGUCAUAGCGCAUGGUGGGCGGAAUGGAGUUGACUAUUAUGGUGUUCUCCAUUCAGUGGUGGAACUUAUUUAUGGGCAAAGCAUGACAGUGCACCUCUUCAAGUGUAGAUGGUUUGAUACUAGGCCGCAGAGCAUGAAGACCGAUUAGUACGGAAUAUUAUCGGUGAACACUGCUACAAGUUCUUCCGAAGAUGACCCGUUCGUUUUUGCCACAUCGGUAAAACAAGUGUUUUAUCUUGAUGACCUUGCUAAGUGUGACGCGUGGAAAGUAGUCAACUUUGUGCACCCUCGAAACAUUUACCGGGCGGCUACACUUGGAGAGGCCGAAGACGAGGAAGAAGAUGUUGCGUAUCAAGAGCCCAUCGCAAUAGCCAUUCCUAACUCCUCUACCGUUCGCCUUAAUAAUUUUAAAACGGGUCGUUCGGUGCGAAUUCGUGAUGAAGAGCCUAGACUUAUUGAUGUUGAUCCAAAUCAAGAAACAGACGAAGAAUCUGGCGAUGAGGAAAGACAUAGAUUACCAGAAAUUAAUUCUGACACCGAAGAAGAUUCAUCGGAUGAUUCCGAUUACGAGCCUUAGUUUUAAUUCCGAUUACAUUAAUUUAAAAAAGAAUGUAUAACCUUUAUAUUUUAUAUAUGUUGAAUUCAUAUUUCUGUUAUUUUAUAUGAAUUUUGGUGAUAUAUGAACAGAAAGUUAGCAUGGUUUAAACCUUCUGUUUUUUUAAUAUAUUUUUUAUACUUUAGCCGAUGAAAUAUACCAUAAUUCGUCGACUUAAACCAUCUUAACCGACAAAAUUUUCCAUAAUCUGUCGGCUUAAACAAUCUUAGCUGACAAAAUACACUAUAAUUCGUCGGCUUAAAUCAUCUUAGCCGACGAAAUAAGUCAUAAUUCGUCUGCUACGAUGUGGUUAGCCGACGAAUACCCUAAAAUUUUUAUAUGACUUGUUGGGUCUCAUCGGUUUGAAACUAUUUUCAGUUGAAGGUCCGGGCAAAAUACGUAAUUUAGGCGGUGCAAUGACCUUCUCCGUGCGUUUAGGGGUUUGACUUACGGAAUUGACCGUCCUGAUCGAGCCCUUAACCUUGUUGGAUCAAGUUGAAUUUUUUCCCAUACAUGUAUUUUAUCAUGAUAUUCAGAUCUGAUGGUCAGAUUUCCGUUUCUCAAGUUUGAUCAUCACAAUCACAAUUUGUCGAAUGUAUAAAAGGUACUUUAGCCGACGAAUUUCAAGGGUUUAGCCGACGAAUUUCAAGGGUUUAGUCAACGAAUUUCAACCUUUAGCCGACGAGAUUUUCUUAGCUGACGAGAUUUUAUAGCUUUAGCCGACGAAAUAUUUAUUUCGUCAGCUAAAGUUGUCGGGUAUAACGCGCUGCGCUCGACAGUCUCCCCAGUCUGCGAGACUAAACCCUAAACACCACCUCCACCUCCUCGCCCGCCUCGCCGUGACACCGUCGCUCCACAUCCUCCACCGCCUCCUAGCAAAGCCCAAUCUCUCUCUCCCGGUUUCCCUCUCCCUCUCCCGGUCGCCGCCCUUUCCCUCCCCCGAUCGCCCUCUACGGCUCGCCUGCUCCAGCUGCUCCGGCCCUCCCUCCACCUCCUGCUGCUCCGGUCCUCCCUCCUCCUCCUUCUGCUCCAACCUCGAGCCCUCCCUCUUCCUCGAGUACAUUUCUGUUUCACAUUUCAUUUUGUGUUUGCUUUGAUUUUCCGGUCAAUUGCAAUGUUGUGAUGUUGUUAGGAAGUGUAUAAUUGUAUUUAGGAAGUGUAUAUUUGUAUUUAGUAUUUUGUGUUUGUUUUGAUUUUCCGGUCAAUUGCAAUGUUGUGGUGUUGUUAGGAAAUGUAUAUUUGUAUUUAGUAUUUUUAGGAAAUGUAUAUUUUUAUUUAGGAAGUGUAUAUUUGUAUUUAGUAUUUAGGAAGUGUAUAUUUGUAUUUAGGAAGUGUAAAUUUAUAUUUAGGAAGUGUAUAUUUUUUUUUUUGUUGACUAAUUGAAUGAGUUUACAUUGUUUGAUUUUGUGGUGUUGUUACGAAUAUGAAAAUAAGCAUGAAACUGACCUCCUCUUCUUGUCAUGAAAUAUAAAUCUAAAAGUUAGGAGCUUAAAAAAUUAAUUUUUAAAAGUUACAAAUGUAAAUUUUUUUUUCAAAAGGCUGACGCCUUGGUGAGGCUCUCGCUCCAUAACCUUAGCUACCCCUUAGCCUUUUAAAACAUUGGCCUUGAUUCAAAUUAAUAUUUUAAACAGGAUGAGCGGUAAUAUUAGAUCGACGAAGGGUUCGAAGGGCCAAAGGUCCGAAUCGUCUGAGGGAACCUCUAGCAACCCUCAAACGUCGUUUCAGGGCCCCACGACAGCCAGACGUGCGACCCUUCUGGAGACGGCGCAGAGGCAACUGGAGGUGCCCCCUUCAUCGAGGCAGCAGGGCGUCCCUCAUUCCUCGAGACAGCUAUGGCUUCAGACCCAGACGGAGGUGUUUGCACCCCGUAUGCCUGAGAUACACCGAGCGCCCACUCUGGGUCCUACUUUUUCGGAUAGUGGGUCAUCUAGGGUACAGAUGUCGCCGCCUCAUCUGUUCCUUCUGCGGAUGAUAUCGGCCUUACCUGCAAUCGAUGGCUCAGGGACGCCGAUUUAUCCACUACCCCCGCCAGUGGCUCCAUCAGCGGCGUACCGGUUCGUGCCUUUUAUACGCCUCUUAUUUUCGCGAGGGUAUUAUCAUCGGCUACAAAGACGGAAUCCGUCGCGUCCGCCGCAUCGCCCUCAGGUAAUGAAAGAUGAAUGAUUUGUUUUCUUAUAAUUCUCCGAUUUUAAUAAUCAAUUUGGUUUAUCAUGUGACAGGCACCGUCGGAGCUAAGCCGGCAAAGAAGAAGAGAGGCCCCGUCACAUGGAAGGCUCUCGAGAAGAUCGUCGGUACCUCAGGGAGGAUCGUCAUCCGUACUGACUGGGAUGGCGACAUAGUAUCGGGCGGGAAGUCGAGGACGUACUCCGGCCGCGUGGGAGCGCUCAUUAGGGAUAGAACCCCUAUGUUGUGGUCAGACUGGGGCGAGGUCCCGUAGGAGGUUAAGGACAUGGUCCAUAACGCGAUGUCGGUGAGUUUACAAAAUGCCUCAAUAAUAUUGUGUAUUACAUUGUUGAUUUUUCGAAAAACUAAACUAAUAAACGGUUAAAUGCAGGUGUGGUUUGAGGUUCCCGAGCACCUAAAGAGCAGCUGGGCGGACGUUGUGCAUGGGGAAGGUACGUUGGGAAGUUAAUGAAAAAACAAAAUUGUAUGUGAUAUUAAUAAUAUUUCUAAUAUUUUUGUUGUAUCUGUAGGUACAAGGAGUGGAAGAACGAGUUGCGGACCCACUGGACUACGCACGGGAACGCACGUUCUGGUACCCCUGCUGAGUUCCAGUACAGGGAGUACGAGUGGCGUUAGCUUCUGACAUCAGAAUUCAACAACCCUCGUAAACAGGUAUUUAAAAAAAUUAAUNNNNNNNNNNNNNNNNNNNNNNNNNNNNNNNNNNNNNNNNNNNNNNNNNNNNNNNNNNNNNNNNNNNNNNNNNNNNNNNNNNNNNNNNNNNNNNNNNNNNNNNNNNNNNNNNNNNNNNNNNNNNNNNNNNNNNNNNNNNNNNNNNNNNNNNNNNNNNNNNNNNNNNNNNNNNNNNNNNNNNNNNNNNNNNNNNNNNNNNNNNNNNNNNNNNNNNNNNNNNNNNNNNNNNNNNNNNNNNNNNNNNNNNNNNNNNNNNNNNNNNNNNNAAGGCUGUUUCCUGGGCGAACGCUCAGAACCGGCAACGCAACACAAGGAACCAUCUUGCCGAUUCUAGACCGUUCGCUGUCUUCAUGGACGAGGCGGCCAGGGAACAUCCAGAAUUCAACCAGUACGUCUCUACGUACAAGAAGGCAUAUCCUGACUCUCAGGAGGAUAUUAUAAGUAAUCUUACGUUUUAAAAUUUUUAAUUUUACUUAUAUAUAUGUCAAAAUGUUAAUUAACCAUUUUUUCCUAUCCAAUUAGGUGAAGGUGAGGGAGGCUAGUGACGAGAUGAUGAGUACUAUAGUGAGGGAGACAUGGCCGGACACGCAGGAGGAAGAGAUGUCCGAAGCCAUGUCCCGGAUCGACAUUUCGGAUCUGAGGGUUGGGGCGAGGAUCAUGGGCACAGCUUUCCCACCGUGAGCAAACAACUUCUACUGCCGGGGUCUAGGAAAGAAGGGCGAGGGGGUCCUGAAGACCACUCCAGGAUUUCAACGAAAGACAGCCUCGACCAGCAGGAGGACCUUGACCACCAGCAAGACGACUCAGCUAGAGUCGGAAGUUCAGAGACUACGGGAACAGCAAGCUGCUUAGGCUGCUUAUAAUGCCACGCAGACAGCCUAUACUGCCGAGGUAUAUGCCAUCCAGCAAGCCCAGCAGCGGUAGAUGCUCCAAUACAUGUAGGAGUUUAUAGCUGCCCAGCUUCAGGGACUUCCGACUCCGCCCAUGCCUACGCUUAUACCGCUACCUCAGCCACCGCAACCUCCGCAGCAGCCCCCAGAAACGGAUAUUAAUUUAGACGAUCUAGAUUUUGUGUAGUUGAUACAUUAUAUAGUUUUAUGUGUUUAUUGUUGGUUAUAUGGAAUUGUUUUGGUGUAUUUUGCAACUUGCUUGGAAUGGUAAUUUAGAAAUUUUGGUUUUUUUUUUUUUACUGGAAUGGACUUGUAGCCGACGAAACAUGUAAAAUAUUCGUCGGCUAUAGUAUUUUUAAUUUUUUUAAUAAGGUUUGGCCGACGAAUUACGGCCCGUUUCGUCGACUAAACCCUCUAAAACCGACGAAACAGACUAUAUUUCGUCGGCUUUAGUUAUUUUUUUAAUUUUUUAUUACACACUUUAGCCAACGACUAUCUAAUUUCUUCGUCGGCUAAAGUCUGGGAAAAAGAGCCGACGACUAUCUAAUUUCUUCGUCGGCUAAAGUCUGGGAAAAAAGCCGACGACUACAUGAUUUUUUCGUCGGCUAAAGUCUGGGAAAAAAGCCGACGACUUGUUUUUCGUCGGCUAAACUCUAGAACUAUAGCCGACGACGUCAUUUUGAUUCGUCGGCUAAAGUCAUCGCCGAUGACCUUUUCCCAACGAAAUCUUAACCGACGAAUUAAGCUAACAGGCCGACGAAACUUUUUCGUCGACUAAAGUGCUUGUCCUAGUAGUGUAAGCCCCAAACUUGUUGUAGGAACUCAAGGCCCAUUCGGCCCAAGUAGACAGAUAUCAAAGUAUAUUCUCUAAAAGCGAUAAGUAAAGUGCAUAUAAAGAACAGAACAAGAAAAAUAGAUUUCUUCAGAUUUUAGAAAUUUUAAAAGUUAUAAAAUUACUAUGAUUUCGAAACUUCAAAAAAUUACAACACAUAAUCAUAUAGUCUUUCGAAAUGCUACUUUUCAGCCUAAUCAAGUUUACCAAAGAGCUAUUUCUGCUACUAAAUCUGACAAGCAUGCUAAUAUUGUUACUAACAGUAAUGUUUUCUCAAAGCCAACGUACAUCACCUGGUUACCUCUGGAGAAUGCGUAGUUAAAACUAAAUUUUGAUGGUUCUAUGAGGCAAGGAAAAACAACCAUGAGAUGUGUGAUUCGUGAUACCAAUGGAAACCCUAUCAUCUCAGCAUGUCAAGCCAUUGGAGAAGUCGGUGUCUUGGUAGCAGAAGUUAUGGCUUUUCGAGAAGGUUUAAAGACCUAUUUUUUGAUUACAUCUUGACAUCUUAUCCGUUCAGUUUUUAAGUCUAUAUGUGUAGAUCAACCCUACAAAUUUUUAGCCAAAUUAGCGAUCGUUAAAGUAAUAAACUAGAUCAAAUUAAUAGACGAACCAAAUCUGUCAAACAUGAACCGUUCAAAUUUAUAAUUAGUAAAUCACACUUAUAAAUGUCUUAACGAUUUUCAAUAUGACUGAAAAUUUACAUAAAUAAUAUACUCAUAAAUACUUAUAAACUGAACGGUUAAUAUGUGGAUAUAAGAUCGAAAAAUGGGAUAAACCGAAAAAUCUUAAACUAGUCCUCAACAGUUCUCAACUUAAGGAUUAUCAUUAGAAAGACUUCCUUUGGUUUAGUAUUCUGCCUACGACAGGCAAAUAAUGUUUUCUUCUUUGACCAACUCAAUGUCUCAAUGUCGAUUGCAGCAGGGGAUUUUCCAUGUAAUCUACUUUAUUUCUACAGCCAAAAAGAAGGAAAUAAUGUAAUAUUGAGAUAAGAGAGAGCCGGGAAGAGAAGAAACUUUUCAAUCAGCCAAUUAAGAACAAAACAUUUAUAUGAAUUGUGUUCUAUUUUGCUUGGAAUAAAUCUGUAGACAUUCUUGAACUAAUUAUUCAACAUCCCUGUAUCCUUUUCCCUGUCAAACCAGGAAAAUUAGCUAAGGAAAUAAAUGUGCGCUCUAUUCUCAAUCAUUCAUCAGUAAUACAAAGCUAUAAAUUACAGUACACAAUUCACCUUUGGGGAUAAGAACUCUUCAGUCCCCCAGCUAUCCCUCCGUGGUGUAUGUCCUAUUUCACUCGCAACCAAAUGAUCGCAUGGUUAGUCAUCACUGGAUGUGCUGUUUCCGCUGCUUUCAACCCAGUACUGUUUAACAACAACCAGUACCUUCUCAGGUACAAGAGGUCCAUCCUCAUGGUCCAUCAUUUUGGUAUCCCAUCUCAUGGCCCCAGCGAUCUUCUUAACCUUGUUCAGGACAUUGACCUCGUCCCUUAAGAUGACUGUCCCUUCAGGCCGCAAGAUGCGGUCCAUCUCCAAAAGGAUGUCUUCCACUUUGCACCUGCUUACAUAUAUAUUAGGACACUGGGAAAUGCUCCAAAUAGUGUUUUAAAUUAAAGCAAACCCUAUCUAAUAACUUUUUUUUUCUUAUAAGAUCUAAUCACAUUAUUUAUUCUAUUAAGAAUUAAAGGAUUUGCCUUGUUACGUGUGCAGAAAAUUGACAACCUACUUAACUUAUCGAUAAAAAAAAUUAAAAAAAGAAUUAUGAAAGAAACCUUCAAUUUUAAGUAAGUCUCUAAAUCUUUAUUAAGUUUGCUUUAUGAUUCACUAUUACCACAAACUCCAGCAUACUAGAACAGCCUAGAGAAAAAUAUUGUUAAACAGAACUUCUGGAUUGAUGAAUUAAUAACCUUCUAGUUUUUUAAAUAAUUAAUAACCUUCUAGUUUGAACAGUUCUACUAGCUAAAAUGAUUGCAGAAAUAUUCAUAUCAAGAAUAUUAACUCCGUUGAUACAAUUUCUGUAUCAUAAGAAAAAAUAUCACGUUUGUAAUCACAUUGGAAGACUUACUCAUUCCUGUACAAGCUGAACACCCCACUAGCAUGGAUAAGGUCAUAUGUCCUUGGAUAUGUAGAGAAACCUUCACACCUGAGAUUGAGAAUUUUGUUUAUGAAUUAGUAACAGGCAAGCAGAUAUCAUAUGUCCUUUGUUAUAGAGGAAUAAGCGCUUGGCGUUAAAUGACAGUGCUUUGCAUGAAUAAAUCCCCUUUUACGCUAAAUUUUCUAUUUUGAAAAACAAAGAAAAAAAAUUUCAAUGUUGUUUGAAAUGUUGAUGACGGAAACCGAGUUAGCAUUAGCAUCAAUAAUUAUAUGUCAUAAAAAACCAUUCAAGGUUUAAUAUGUCGUGAUAGAAACUAUGCAGUUAUAAGUGGAACUAAAAAUGCGACCGAAAGGAGCAGAGAUUAACAGUACCAGUCGUGGUAUAUGCCAAUUAGACCUCUCUCAUAAACAACACCUAAAGUGUUCUUUGCUAUUGAAGGUACGACAUUCAUAACCCAAGAGUUCUUUGAUUCAAGGGCUGCUGCAAAUCCUCCAAGGCCAGCAUUCAUAUCCAUGACAUUCCGAUAUCUUGUAGUGCCAAUUAAUUUGUUGAUUCUUUUGUAGGAAUUAACUCGCUUUUUCCAAAGCUUAUUGUCUUCUUGGUAAGAUUCAAUUGUCACCCCUGCAACUAAUCCAUUGGCUAUUCGAGGAGGGACUGCAUAAAGCCUCGCGGGAAACUUCAACUGCCCUACAGCUACAUCAUUUGCACUGGGAGGGGUUACACAUGUGUCCAUUUUCUUGUACCUGAAUAUAUGACAACAAGCUAAGAAUUAGGAAGACAGUAUGAGAACUUUAGAAAAACAGAUUUAAUAGGAGGAAACAAAACAACAAAAGAAGUUUAUCUUACUAAGAACCAAAGUAGAUUUUUUUUCAAAGAUGCUUGAAAUGGAUUGAAUAGGACCAUAAAGUGAGUAGAGUACUUCAAAGAUGCUUGAAAUGGAUUGAAUAGGACCAUAAAGUGAGUAGAGUACACCAGUAGUAGAAAAAAUAACAAUAAAGAAGCAAUCCCAGUGAACAUGACGCAAGAGGAUUGAAAAUUGUAGAUUCAGGGUAGACUUUUAACUUUUUAAGUUCAGGAGCAACCAGACUUAUCCAUGACAAUUUAAACAUGAAAGCAACCUGUUUAAAAAGUUAACAAAAAAAAAAACAAAACAAGGCUCAUUGAAAGGAUUACGAUAAUAGAGAAGUAAUCAAGAGAAACCACAACAACAAAGGAGACUCAUUCAAUGGAUAUAAGAGUGGUAAUUAAAGAGAUACCACAGUGCAUAGUGACAUACCAGACAUCAUCAGCAUCCUUUGUUCGGCAUAUAUUGGCAGACUCCCUUUGGCAGGAAUUGGUAUUAGCUUUCUUCUUCCAGAUAGCAAUAUCUCCUUUCUCGUACUUUUUCACCCAGCACAGGCUUUCAGCUAGUUCUUCAAUCUUCCUUUGCUCUGCCUGGACAUCCUCCUUGGACCUCUUCCAUGUUUUGUAGUAAGUCUUCCAAUUAAUUGGAGGUCCAGACAAGAUCCAAUAUCCCCCAGGUCUAAGGACCCGAUCAACUUCUUUAAGGUACAUCCCAUCUGAACAAAAAACAUUGACGUUUAAAUUUAAACUUCCAUCACUUUCAGUCUUUCAGAGACAUUUUUGCAGACAUCAAGAAAUUUUCAGACAUUUAAAAACCCAACUACAAUCAGAAGCUCACUAAGUCUACAGGUAGUGAAUGGUUAAUGAAUUCAAUCAAUCAAAAGAAAAUUUCUUCUUAUUGGUCAAUAACUAGAAAAGAAAAAAAAAAAUUGGAAAAUGGAAAUAUAAAGGAUUCCUAAAUAGACCAACAGUCAUCCAGAAGAUGCCAACAGAUAAUCAGCGUUAUGUUAUUUAAAAUCUUGGGAAAGAUAUAGACUCGUUGAAAUAAAUUUAUCAGUCAACACUGAUACAAAUAAAUGCAAAUAAAACUUUGCAUAUCAGUUAACGCUGAUACAGAUAAAAUGCAAGUGUACAAGUGGACCAAAAAACUCUGAAGAUAUAUCAGUGGUAAAUUACUGAGACCUCAGAUUAGUUCAUGACAAUUCAUGUGACCAUAUCAUUUUUAAUAUGAAAAUAUAUGCAUAUGCUUAUCUAUUUUCUAGAAGUCAUAUUCUUACAUAUAGAGAAGCUAAAAAAUCAAGAUGUGAGUUCUCAAUCUCAUAGUUAGUUACUCCAAUAUCUUACCAUUUGCAGUCCAUGGAAUCAGACAUCGAGAGCACUGAGACAUAUCAAAGGCCCUCGAUGGGUAUGGAAGGCGUAUUGAUCCAAGAACACCAAUAACUGCAGGUACACCUCGCUCCAAUGCAAACUGAACUUGUGCUUCAUGAUUGUCCUUCGGUGCAAAUGACAUAGCUAAUACAUUUCUCUUCAGCAAGUAUGCUCCCCAGCUUGCGACCUGUGUCAUAGUUGAUCUCAUUAGGACAACAACCAUGACUAAACAAAAGAAUUUACUGUGUGUGAACAAAUAAGAGAGCUCACAUACAAAAUCUAGUUACAUAAGCAUUAUAUCCGCAGAGACAUCAAACCACCCCAAAAUGCAAGAGCAUGUUUGUAGAUAUACAUCCUAUGUGUAAGCAAUAUUAUAUCUACUUAAAUAUUGUGUGUUUGGAAGGAGUAGGGUCUUAAAUAAUAUUGGAGGAGACUGAUAAGAACACCUUUGGAUGACUGAAGCGAGUCAGAGUCAAACUAAUUACAUACAACUGAUUGCUCAAAUGAAGGAAUGAAACAUCCACAUGCAAGAAAUAACAGAACCAAUGCAGUAUAAAAAAAAACCAACAUACCCCACAGCCAGUAUCCAAUGCUGUUCUCACAGAGCCAUCUUUAAUGGGAAUAACUGAUGCAAGUUCAUCAAUAUAUGCAUCGGCACCGUGAGGGAACAUUGUUCCUCCACCUGGAAAUUUAAAAACAUCACCCUUAAACUCUACCCAGUUCUGAACAGCUUUCUCAACUGCCAGGUGUCUGUAAGGGACAUUAGCAAAGUGGGCAUAGUCGCGACUUUUAGGCCAGGGAAAAGGAGUGAUAUACCCUUCCGGUGCUGGAAUAAGACAGUGCAAUUUUUCUUCUUCUGUGGGGCAAUGUCUUUCUCUGUAUACCAUAUUUUCCCUUGGGAACUUCAUCGCUCGGUCUUGCUCUUGGCAAGGAGUAUAAUCCCUGUACUUAGGAUCACAAGGCUUGAACUCCUCAACUUUCGGUUCAGAGUGUUCAAUUAUCUCCACGUCAUUGUGAUGAGGUUCAAAAUUCAAAUUACUACCAAAGACAUUGCAGUCUGUAUGCCUGGGUACUUCGAAUGCUAUCUUAUCUCCUUUGCCAAAACCACUCUUUUGCCAUGCUCCAAGAAGGUAGAAGAAACAGCACAGAGCGAUCACAACAAACAUAGACAAUGUGCGUCUUGUUCUGUUUCCUGGAGGAUUCUGCUUAGACCCCAUAAUAUUGUCCAGAAAAUUCCCUCAAACCUACACAAAUAACAAGUAAGUUAGAGGGAUCAUUUGAAGCAUAUCAGGUGUGAUGUAAUAGUUAUUUAGCUGUCCAAGAGUCUGAUUUAAAUAUUAAAAAAAGAGAUAAAUUUUGCCACUUGAGUAAUUGUUUCAAGUAUGGUGUCCAGUCUUUAUCUCCCGACUUAAAUGAGUUACAUCCGAAAUAUCUUAGCACUAGAACUAGUCACUAUGAACAUCUGAAUGGUUGUCAAAUACACGCACAGAAAAAGCAAACACCAAAAGAACACUUAAGAAAAAACUAUGUAGAUUCCAGAACAUUAUUUAAUUUUUUCUAAACGUACAGUGGAUCCCUUUCAUCUACCUGGCAACAAUCACAUAAGCUGCCUUCUCUAAACCUAUAGCUCAGAACUUGUAAUCCGUAACUAGAUUUACUUGCAGAGAAUUUUGAACUCAUAACUGGAUAAGAUAAAGUAAUGAAGGAUCAAAUCCAUAUCAGUUAUUUAACUUUGUAGAUUUGCUGGGAAAAUAGCUGAUUGAAUUAUAUCAAGGAAUAAUCUUUACCAGGCAAAUUUUACAUUUUUUUUUUUUUACUUCUAAUCAGCAAUUCCAAUUUGGAAUCAACAAUUACUACCUCAAAGCCAAAAAUAGAAAGAUAGAUGAUCACCCAUUUCCUUAAAGCUAGCUCAACUCUUGGAUCAUUAAUGUCAAGUCCCUCCCCCACCCAAAAAGGAAACCUCUUGAUUUGGACCCAGAUUUAAUUACAAACAAAGAAAUCCAUGCCUAAUAUUCAAAACCCAUCAAACCCAGAAAUACAAAAACCAAAAAACCAAAGCAAAGAUCACCUCUUUCCCACAAAAACCAAACACAAAAACAAUGCAAGCACAGAUCUUGAGACACAGUACCCAAUGGGAAAACAAAAGACAGCAUUUAAAGACAACAUGGAAAGAACAUAGUAACAUAUAGAGGGAUCAAGAAUCCAAACCUGAAAUGGGUGAGGGAGCUAAGCUCUAGCUUUGAUUGGGUUGAGAGAGAUGUGUGAGUGCUCAAAAUGGGUCUAGUGGUAUAUGAAGCUCUCUACUAUUUCACUCCCCAACAAGUGAGAGAGUGCGCGUUUUGAGCAGGAAGAGAAUUAUGGGUUUAUAUACACGUAAGAAGAAAUUUAGAUUUUCAACUGUGGGUGGACUUGGUUGGUUGAAUAAUCCGCCGACAGAGGCAGUGAUGCUGUACGCACUGGAGCAUGCAAAUGACCUGUUGCCUUUGGGGAUUAUUAAGUGUUAAAGAAGGUAAUAAAUUAAUAAAGGGACAGAUCUAAAAGGGGAGAAGAAUAAUGAUAUGAGGAAGAACAAAGGUGAACGAGAACGAGCGACAGACUAGAGUCUGAGAGUCACUAGGUAUAAGACUGAAUUCAACUUACCGCGUUCACGUUGAUUGACGUAUAGUUUCAACAAGAAUAUCUUCUUGUUAAGUUGUCUAACUCAUAUGGAGUUAUGAUCAAUCUUAAGUCGCUAGCUAAUUUGGAUAAUAGGUGUGAUUUUUAUUAUGUUUAAACUAGAACAGGAACAAGUGUGGCUUGUAAAUCAUCAUUGUAACCACCUUUAACUCUCAUUACGUUAGGAGACGUAAUUGAAGAGGGACCCGCUCUGAUACCAACUAGAACAGGGACAAGUGUGGCCUGUGGAUCAUCAUUGUACCGAUACUGUCCCAACUUAACCACCUUUAAGGUGUUGGGUUUUAAUCACAAAAGGCCUCGGUACAAUUGGAUAUGAUCCAUCCACUUAUAAGUUGUAUUUUAUUUAUCCCUUUUCUGAUGUGGGAUCUUUCCUCUCCAACAUUUAAUAUAUGAGAAUAUUCAGUCCAACACUAACGAUAAAUUGUAAGUUAUGAUUUAUUUUAUCAAAGACAAGACAAUAAGAAUGUAAACAAUUUACUGUAGAAUAUAUUAAAUAUAUUUACUUUCCUUGUAUGUGUAGGUUGAAUAUUAUGUAUAGGUGUAGGAAAUAUUUUCCUAUUAGCACUACAAUUGUAUCUCUAUAUAAACCUCCUAUAUGGAGAAGAAUAAUACAUCGAAGCAUACCAAACCAUAUUGAAUCCUUAUUUUCUACUUGGCAUCAGAGCUUGCCAGGUUCGAUCCUUUCAAUUUACACCUAAAACACCAUAAAUCGCUGUGUACUAAAAAUCUCACAAAUCACACACAAAUUCUCAAAUCCCAAGACCAAACCUGAAUCCCGAAUCACACUACAAACGAAUCGUUACAAACAAAAUCAUAAUUCCUGAAUCCUUGUAUCUCAAAAACCAAACCUUCAAAAUGGCACACCAAAUCAACUACCAUACCACCACACCAUGCCGGUCUCCAUGCAAACCAAAUUCAUAUGCAAACUCAAAAUGUCCGCUAUGUGGAGUAUUAGGUCAUAGCAAGCAACGUUGCUUUGAAACAAUGGGUACCCGGAUUGGUGGGAUUUCACCCUGAAACCCCGAAAGAAUCAAGCAAAAACUGUCAUAACCACUACAGAGGAAGACCAACCAUCCAAUGCCUCCAAUGUCACACAGUCAGGUAUGAGUGGUAAGGUAUCUAUGAAUAGGUCCUGGAUUAUUGAUACAGGAGCAUCAGAUCACAUAUGUAAUGAUCCUAGCCUCUUAAAAAAAUUAAAACCCUCCUCUCAAAAUAUUGUUUCUACUGCUGAUGGUACUCCAACUCUGGUUACCGGAGAAGGCUCUAUUGUCCUAUCAAACACAUUAACCCUUGAUUCUGUAUUAGUCGUCCCUUCAUUGUCAUACAAUCUUCUCUCAGUUGGUCAAAUCAUUCAAGAAUUAUCAUGUAUUGUCACCUUUUAUCCGUCUUUCUGUGUAUUUUAGGACAUUCUGACGCGGCGGAUUUUGGGUUAUGGAGUGAGAAAAGGGAAAUUGUACUACCUAGAUCUGACAGAGACAGGAGAGAAACAUAUGCAGUCUUUGGGUCAAGCUAAUCAGGUCAAUAGACCUGAGAGUGCUAAGAAAGAUGUGUGGCUUUGGCACCGCAGGUUGGGUCAUCUAAACUUCGGUUAUCUUAAGAAGCUACAACCGCAAUUAUUUUCGGGUGUCGACUAUUCAGAUUUUCAUUGCGACAUAUGUGAACUAGCCAAGAGCCACCAUAUUUCAUAUUCACCAAGCCUAAAUAAAAGUCUUGUUCCAUUUAUGAAGAUUCACUCUGAUGUGUGGGGUCCUGCAGAAAUUCCUUCUCUCUCUGGCGCCCGAUAUUUUGUGACGUUUAUUGAUGAUUGUACCCGUACGACUUGGGUGUCUCUAUUGAAAAACAAGAGUGAUGUUUAUUCUAGAUUCAAAGAAUUUCGCAAGAUGGUGUCCACACAGUAUCAACAGGAUGUUCGAGUUUUCCAGUCUGACAAUGGCGGAGAAUAUAUUAAUGGUCCUAUGCAAGAGUUUAUGAAGUUACAUGGAAUUCGACAUCAGACUUCAAAUACUUAUACUCCUCAACAAAAUGGAUUGGCAGAGAGGAAAAAUCGGCAGUUGCUUGAAGUUGUCCGUGCCUCUUUGUUUGGCAUGAAUGUANNNNNNNNNNNNNNNNNNNNGGAGUCAAAUAGUAGACCUUGCGAUGUUGGAAAGGUUUGUAAGUUGAAGAAGUCUCUGUAUGGUUUGAAGCAGUCUCCUAGAGCUUGGUUUGGAAGAUUCUCCAAAUCAAUGAAGACAUUUGGUUAUCGACAAAGCAACUCAGAUCACACUUUGUUCAUCAAACGUAGUCAGGGGAAGAUCACCGCUCUGAUUGUGUAUGUUGAUGAUAUGAUUGUUACAGGAGACGACCCAAAAGAGAUGGAGGCUCUACAAAAGUACCUUUCAAAAGAGUUUGAGAUGAAGGAUCUUGGACAGUUGAAGUAUUUUCUCCGAAUUGAAGUUGCAAGGUCAAAGACGGGGAUUUCUUUAUCCCAACGAAAGUAUGUACUUGACUUGUUAGCUGAGACCGGAAUGCUUGACUGCAAACCUGUUGAGACACCAAUUGAGAUGAAUCACAACCUUGCCAUCUAUCCGAAUCAAGUUCCAACUGAUAAAAGAAGGUACCAACGUCUAGUAGGGAGACUUAUUUAUCUUUCUCAUACUAGACCUGAUAUUGCUUAUGCUGUGAGUGUGGUUAGUCAAUUUAUGUAUUGUCCCAGCGAAGAGCAUAUAGAUGCAGUGUAUCGUAUUCUAAAGUAUCUUAAGACGGCACCUGGAAAAUGCUUGUUAUUUGAAAAGAAGGGUGAAUCAGAAGUUGUAGGGUACACAGAUGCUGAUUGGGCUGGUGAUAAGACUGACAGACGAUCUACAUCUGGGUAUUUUACAUUUGUUGAAGGAAACCUUGUAACUUGGCGUAGUAAGAAACAAAAAGUACGUUGCAAGAUCAAGUGUUGAAGCAGAGUUUCGAGGUAUGGCACAUGAAGUUUGUGAGAUGCUAUGGAUUCGUAAUGUAUUGAAAGAAUUGGGUUUCAAACUCAAGAAACCCAUGGAAUUGCAUUGUGACAGCACGUCUGCUAUUGAAAUUGCUCAUAAUCCUGUUCAACAUGACCGGACAAAACAUGUGGAGGUAGAUCGACAUUUCAUUAAGGAAAACUUGGACAGGAAAAUCAUUUGUUUCCCUUUCGUGUAUACGGAAGAUCAAUUAGCAGAUGUUCUCACAAAAGGAGUGUCAAGGAAAGUGUUUGACAACUCGGUUGGCAAGUUGGGCAUGAUCGAUAUCUAUGCACCAACUUGAGGGGGAGUGUAGAAUAUAUUAAAUAUAUUUACUUUCUUUAUAUGUAUAAGUUGAAUAUUAUGUAUAGGUGUAGGAAAUAUUUUCCUAUUAGCACUACAAUUGUAUCUUUAUAUAAACCUCCUAUAUGGAGAAGAAUAAUACAUUGAAGCAUACCAAACCAUAUUGAAUCCUUAUUUUCUACUUUUACAACAUAAGAUAAUCGAAAUUGUAAGUCUCAUUUUAGAAAAGUGAUCAUCAAAGAAGACAUAGAAACAAGUAGACGGAAAUCAUGAAAUACUGUUAACAAGAGGUACGAUUCAAGCAAAAAAAAAGUCUUAAUUAGCAACCUUCGGGCAAAGUUUAAGACCAGACCAAACUACUAUAACCAUGAAACUGUCUCUAUUUCCACAACACAACUUGACUUUGAAUGUGAUGAGGAAUCAAGUAUCAUCUCUAUAAAUACAUAUCAACGAUAGAAAAAAACUACGAACGGUGUCUUAAAUACUUGUGUCUUUCUCAAAACUUAAAAAAUUACUCUAUUUAGACCUCACUCACAUUGUCACAUAUCCUAGAAAAACCAACGGACGUGUACUUGAACACAUGUGGCCACAUGACCCCUAUACAUGAGAUCUAACCCACCGCAACAUAGAGUAAUUGUCCAUGUAAUGUAAUUAAGGUAGGACCAAUAUAUGACAUACACACCCUUCUUCUUCUUUAAUAAUUUGAAAUGGAUGCAUAAAAUGUAGCUGUUAGGGUCAUGAUCUGAUGGUCAUGCCAUGAAAUCAUUCCAUACAAUUCCAAAUAAACAAUAACUGCAAGGACGUUGGCAGAUGGAUAUAUCCGGUGCCCUUCACCGUCACUAAACCAGUACCGACACAUUGAUAUUAGUUAUCAGGUCUCUCUUUGGACUAGGGUUUGGCCAGUGUUUGCCGGUGGCCCUCUUUCUUAUCCAGUCACCGGUGCCGGGGCGUCAUAUACUGACAUGGUUUGGUUUCAUAUAGCAGAACGUAUGGAUAACUUCAUAUACUGGAUUUGCUAUGAUAUGGUUUUGCUGUAUUUUUUCUAGUCAACUGGCUUUGGUCUACUACGGUUUCUUCUACCGUGUCUUCUAAGCUCAUAUUGAGCUCCGGCAAAAAUACCUAUUCGUUUUCAUUUAAACACCAAGGCAAACAUAAGAAAACCAAUUUUAUAAUUUUUACAGUUUACUGCACACCAGACACCCUAAGGAGAAAGUCCUAACUUAGUUACAGUGUUGAUCACUUGAAAGAAAAGAUGAUAGUGACAAACGUCGUUCUGAAGUCUGAACUACUGAUAAGCAUGGUUCACCCACAAGCAUGGGUUACAUAUUCUUGCUACUGAUAACAUCAGGUCAACGCAAGUAUCUGAUAGUUUACUAAAAUGAUAAAAAGGAGUAGAAUAAGAAAACAGAAAUGCAUCAUAUUCACAGUGUAUGAAAAGUACAGUGGAUGAACAAACUUGUCAUUUCCAUGUAUUGCCGCCAGCCCUCGUUCAUCUCUGAUGGUUAAUCAAACAGAAAGUAAAACCGCUAUCUAGAAUCCAUUCCACUAUUUGGAUCUGAAUGAUGGAUAAAGAUUUAAAGACUAGCCGGGCUUGCCACUGUAUCACAUUUAAUCAGACAUUGUGAUCUAAAUUGCGCUACAAAUUUACAGUUUACAAUGCUUCUCCUAAUGAAUUACCGUACAGAGACAAAAUACCAUGAAUCACCUUGCCUGAUAGAAUUACAGUCACUGUCUCAACAUCGUUGUAUCAAAAUUCAAUUGCCUUUGGUCUGUAAGAAAAGUGGGGGUACAAAACACAUCAAUUUCAAUAGACUGAGACAAACAAUAAUUUCGAAACAAAUUAAAUGAGCAUACCAGGUGCAAGCUGGGAGUGAGAAUUAAUUAGUUGACGGAAACAGGUAAACAAAAUUAAAUCAAAAAUAAAUUAUUGUUCAACACUUACCGGCCUUAAGUGAAUGGAGAUGUUGAUCCGGACUUCUUUCUGUACCUUUGCUGGACUUCAAUUUGCUAGCCUCACCCUUUCUACUUUUCCUUGAAGAGCUCAGAGAUCCUUCAACUGCACAAAGCGAGAGUCAGCAAGAGAGUGGAGUGCACAGAACAGGUGGUCUCAGAACAAUUCAAAACUUCCUUUGUUUCAAGAAAAGCUCACAGUUUCACAAAUUAUGACUUUGUUUCAAGAAAUGUUAACAUAUAAGGCGACUAUUCUAGGACACCCUAUACACAUGAAUAGAUGACAUCAUUUCCACCUUCAUACCUUGCCAUUCCCAUACUACUUUUGAUUCACCUUUCACCAAUGUUGGAUAACAAUCCAUGCGGGAAUCUUCUCGAACCAACUCUUCAACCUGUCCAGAACACAGAUGAAGCAUGUUCAACUAUAUUGUUACUAUUAUUUCCAUAGGUAAUAAUUAAACCAAUAAACUAAUUCAGGCUAUGCAAAGCGGACAAAAUUUAAGUUUGCAAUAUCAUAUUUCUUACGAUGAACAAUGAUACUUCAUAGCUUGACUGCAACUUGUUUACGCAAUUGAAUACAAAUAUGUUUUCACGUAUUAUUAUGGACGAAUGGCACAAAUUAAUUCCAUAUUUACACCAACUAUAUUGUAGGGCUUUACCUUGUAGGCCUGGAAAACUAGUAAAAAUUGAUUGCAACAAAUGCACAAAAUAUAUACAUAAAGUUAUCAUCAUUGGUCCAAAUGACCCGGCCCAACCUACCAAACCAAAACCCAGCAGAAGCAAAGGUCAAUCACUCAAUCCAAUGGGUCCUCAGUUAGGAUCUGGUUUUCCUUUUCUACCACUAGGUUUUGUGUACAAUCUUUUGUUUUCUUUAUUUUUCAAAAAAGAAAAAUGAAAUUCAUAAACAAUAAAAGCUUUAUUUCUUUAGGGAAAAAUAGUAAAGACAUCAAUCAAAGGUCAAUGUUUUAACGUCAAAUUCGAGUGAAACUGGGGCAAUAGGAUCAACUUCUCAAGCCAUGAAAGUACGCUGAUUUACAAGCCCAAAAUGUAACUGGAACAAACAACAAUGACAUAGUUGAAUACACUCAUAAUACUCUUCUGGUUUGGUUUGGUAAAAGAGUACUGCUUGGAAUACAGAUAGUACAUGAAAUAUAUAGUAUCCAUUAGUACGUGAUCAGUCGGACAAGAAAGUAACAUUUGAAGCGGAAAAUAAUAAAUUACAGGCGCCAAACAGGGAUUAAAAUACCUUUUUCCAUAAUUCAGGGUUCUUCCUCUCUUUCAGGGAAAGAAGAGAAUCACGCAAUGUAGAGGCAACAACCCAUGGUUCACAUUUCUCAUUCGCUCUAUUCAUCAAGGCUUUCUCCUCGAGCUCUUCACAUAUCUAUGUAAAACAAAAAAACGUCAACUCCAGUAUAACAUUGAUUUUAACAUAACAAUUUUACAAGAAUGUGUCUGUUUGUUAAGUUUAUAGCAAAAAUCUAUGGCAUGCAUCAUUGAACAUCACUCUAGUAUGAUAUAAAUCUGAGGUAAUAAUUUACAUCAAUGUGCGUCAGUAUAUUGAGUUAGUGUGACAUAAAUUUACAAAGCUUGAUUGGGAGUUCGAUUGUAAAUUUUCUAAACGUAAGCAGAGUGAGGUUGUGAUGUAUGUAGAAUAUCAACUUCUAAGAAGAGUAUUAAUCGUGACCAUAAAAGAACAAAGCUUUGGCAUCCCAGUUAAUGAGAUCAUACAUAUCAAAUCUGACUCUUAGUCAAGAAUAAAGUAUGCUGACACCACAUAUAGGAGCACCACUUUUUUUUUUUUUCCUUUUUCUUUUUUCUUUUUUGUCUAGAAGAGGCAGAUAUAAUAUUUCUCAAACAUUCAGAUGCACGGAAACAUAAAAAUGUAUCAGUAUUAUAAGUAUGUAAAUGUAACAGGAGUUACACCUCAGUAUGUCCGACUACCUAAACAUAACAUACAAAAACCGUUUGCAGAAGUCCCUUACAAUCGAAGGAAAGAUGGCAACAUAAUACCUGUUGGUAAACCUCGUCAACUCUAGUCGAAAGAUACUGCCUUUGGUGGAAUUUCCGAAGUAACAACGUGAUUCCCAGAAGCUGGAGAUCUCAAUACGGUCAACAAGCUUCAAAUGGUGAUACUAAAACAUAAGCAUUAAAGGUUGCCUUUUAGAAUGGUAUACCGCUGCACAAACGGGAAAAAUAAGUAAUGCAUGCUCAGAGAUCCAUUGACUGAUGCGACAGGAAGAUGGUUUAUAGUGUUCUGCUAGCAUGUCAGGACACUUAAACUCUUGGACCCUACACAAAGAGAGUAAGCAUCAAAUAAGAUAACCACAACACAUUCAGUAACUGGACACGCAUCCCUCUUGAUGAAAUGACAUACCCCAGAGAAUUUGUCCUUCUGUCCAACAUUCCACUGAUCAUCUCCAUUGCCCUUUGUUUCGCAUACAUAAAAAUAGCAUUGUCUGAGCCAACAUGUUCUGCCAGCUCAUUCUUAUCAAAGUCAUUCCAUAUGUCAUUCUGUUCAACCUGUCAGCGCCACACAAACGUCAAUAAAAAUAUCCACAUGAACAUGAUCUGAUCAAGUUUGCAAGUUUUGAAAAGUAUUGUACCCAAAUUGUUCCAAUCCCAUGGCACAGAUACUCCGCAUAAGCUUCACAAAGACGAAUCUCUACCAUUUCUGCCUGCAUAUUAAAAAUUCUAAAUAAGGAACAUCUACAUUCUACAUAUGUAUAUGCUUUAACCUAUAUGUAUAGUAACAUCUACUAGAAACUCAGAUAGAGCAAGAUUUUCAGGACUCACAAGUUUCGUAGCUGUGUCCUGAAUAACUCCAUCUUCUACACAUAGCUUCCCCCGCUUCGUAUAUCCUUGAUCACACUGCAACUGGCCUUCCUGGCAUCGUCCAUGACUCGGACACGGCUCACAAGAAUCUGUAACAAAUCAGUCCCAAAGUAUCAUCACUAUAACCAAAUACAUCACGCCGACAACUAUAGCUCAACAAUACAGUUGCAACACAAUGCUGCUUAUGCAGCAGCUAGAGCUCGCACUAUAGCAACUGGAAUGAGAAUUCUAGGGCAUUGAAACAGAAAAAUGAGAAUGGGAAAUUGAGGUGGGAAAGUGAGAAGAGAAGUAGAAUUACCGGAGAAGAAGUCGAGGGAGGGAUCGGGGCCGUCGCAGAAGGGGUUAGAGCGGGGGUUGAAGAGGAAAUUGAAGGAGAAAAAGACGGAGGUAGCGAUGGCGAGGACUGCGAGGAGGCGGAGAAACUCGGCCUUGGUGGGGAAGAGAGUCUCGGGAGGCUCGAGGAGUGAUGGAGAGGAGUUGGGGUGAGGCCUGGGUUUGGGUUUGGGGCGCUUCUGUGGAGUCGAAUACAUUUUUGAUGAAAAAAGAGAGGGAGGGAGCGAUGAAGAAGAAGAAGGAGUUGGAUCGACCCGAUCCACAUGCGCUUUGACCCGUUAAGAAUUUGGGUUUUAGACUUUUUAGACUUUUUUCUUUUCUUUUUUCGUUUUCUUUUUCGUACAUGUAUUUGAUCACAUUUUCGGCCAACUGAAGUGAAGAAGUGACAUAUCUAUUACUUUAUUUUCAUGUAACUCACUCCGAUCUUAUAAUGUUUGUGAGUUUUGAACACAUGAUUAUUACGAUAUCAGUGAAGCUAGCUAACCAACAAGUCACGGUUCACCAACGAAACAUGUAACAUUCUCUUUAUUGACAAAUCUAAUUCAUUUUUAGUUUUAUAUCAAUGAUCAUAGCCAAAGCAUUCAAAUCAUACGAGAGAAUGAGUUUUUAAAUUUCGUUUUCUGGCCUAUAGGAGUAAUCAAAGUUUGGUAUCCAAGAUAUAGGAUUUGCAUGAUACAUUCACAUAUUGCUCUUUCUUUAACAAUUUUUCAGUUUUUGAUCUCGAGAGGACCUCUGUAUAGAGGUUUUGUGCCUAUUCGAAUAUGUCAAUCUCAAUAAUAAUUUUUUUUAAUUGAGCCAAAACAAAAGCGCGCACCAAACUCAAGCUUUUAUUAGUUGCAUAACACACAGUAUGACAGUAAUAUGUAAAAUCAAAUGGAAAACGUUUCCCAUGCAUGGACUCAAACACUAUAGCAACAGCAAAUAGCGCUAGUCACAGUCUAGUUUUACCAACACUCGUACAACUUCACGUCAACUUUGAGACGGAAAUAGACAUCACCCUCAACAUCAUCACCCAUCAAAGUAGCAAUCCCUCUAGCCAUGAAGAAGUCACCAGUUCCACCAACAACUGAAAUGUCUCUAGUCUUAGCCGCCGUUGGAUCAGCCCCAACACAGUUGAUGCUUCCUUUGUGUUGGGUUGAGUUGAACACGAAGGAUAUCCCGAAAAAAGCAGUGAAUGCAACUUUCCUGUCGUACAAGUAAAAGCCUUGCGCGCGACCAACCGGGGUCGAGUGCAAGUUGUUGUCUGAAGUGAUCGGAUCGUCGAACACAACCACAUCCCCGAAAUGGUUGUCCUUUGCCAGUAUGGUCUUGUUGCCCCAAGCGGGUGCACCCACGAUGGCUGAUGUUGCAUUCUUUGAAUUUUUGCCGUUGUAGACAAUAUCGUGGAGAUAGAAAACGAGGCGUUUGCAAGGAAGAGGAUGAUGAGGCUUGGAUUUGAGGGUGGGGGAAGCUGCUGAGGUUCCAAAGAGGAGGAAGAAGAGGAAGAGAGUUGAAGCUAGAGAUUUUGACUCCAUUGCUAUAGUCUUGUAUAGACUAAAGAGAACUCCAAAGUGCUCUGUAAGGGGUUGUGAUCAUGGGACCUUAUUUAUAUAGGAGUACUAGGACUGUAGGAGAUUGGCGAAGAGGCAUAGUUGAACUAGUUUAUUUUUUUAGCUUCCAGUCUAAGAUUUGCAUGACUUUGAUUGCCUAACCAUGCAAGCCAACCGUAAAUUAUUCUAAUUAAACUGAUAUUAUUAGUGUACUGUAUACCGUCCCUCCCUAAACAAAUGGAUCUAAUUACACUUUACGCUCUAAAUUUUUGAUAAUUGAAUAUCAUUCUCUGAUUACCGCCUUGCUGUACCGAUGGAAGCCCUUCAACAACCCCAUACCUGUAUCAAAACCCCAAGCGGUUGAUGGAAUUACAACCUCAAGUUUGUAUCUCGCACAGUUCCACUCCCUUAUGUGGUUCUUUGUGUUAAUGAAACACAAAGUUGGGGAGGAGGAGACCUUUCACUUUUUUCUUUUUGUCUCUUCCAAAUGCCUCUUUUCUUUUGGAAAGAAGGUAUGCAUUGGAAUUGAUCGACUUGUGUGCGUGUGUUUUAAUCUUGUACUUCUUUGUUUGAAAAAAAUUUUAAUCUACUCUUUUAGAAUAAUGCUAAGUGAAUCAUCAUUUGAGAAACCACAGCCCACCAUAAAUAACAGCUUAUGUGACAUAGCCAACUCAUCAAAACCUAAUUUCAACUCUUUUAUAUUUAUAUAUUUCCUUAAUUACAAUUUUUGUUUUUUUCACUUUUAUGAUUAUAUCUUUUAACCUUAAUUCUUUUUCCUUCUUCUCUCUGAUGUAAUGUCUGUCAUCUUCGGAUGGUAGAUUUGUUAGUAUUGUUGCUUUUAUAUUUUCGGAUGUAAGGUUAUUGGUCCAUAGUUUAGCGAGCUGUCAGAUUCCUCACUCUUUCUAUUUGGAUCAAGUUAGAGACUUAUGCUCUUUAUUAUUAGUUUUCCAGCCUUGUGUUUACAGGUUUGUAAUUUAGGUUUGCUUUUGAUUAAUGAAUUAUUCAUUUUUACUUAAAAAAAAAAAAAAAAUCGUCUCUCUCUCUCUCUCUCUCUAUCUCUCUCUCUCUCUCUCUCUCUCUCUCUCUCUCUCUCUCUCUCUCUCUCUCUCUCAACCAGCAUCAAUCCUAUCGAGCUUAGUUUAUAACAUGACGCAUAUUAUGUUUUCAUGGUGAUCAUUGUUUUGUUCCAUGGGGUCGUCGUCUAGCAUUUUCCCUUUGAUAUCAAUGUCAUUGUGAUUUCUCAAAUGAGAAAUCCCUCCUGUGAAUUUGGAUUUCGUGUUGAAUUCGAUUGUUCACUCAGUGGGGUUGAUAAUUGAUAAUGAGCACUAAUCUCUUCCCCCUAACAAGAUAUCAUGCACUAACUCUGGGACUUCUCUCACAGUUUCACGUCCAAGUUUCGCCUUACGGUUGGGAGAGCAUCAAAUUAUACAAGUCAAAACAUGUGAUCAGUUUCAUGAACAUUCAUUAAGUCUGGUACGCAUAUACAAAUUAAUUUUGUUCCUAACUCAAGCAAAUACCCAGCUUAUACUUAAAUAAUCAAGUAGUUAACAUGUAAACUACCUUCAUCUUGAAGCAAUAUCAACUGCGAAUUUCUACUACACUGAUUGAAGGUAUAAAGUUCUGGUUGAACUCAAAGCGUUCGCUUUCUGCUUUCAUACAUUUAGACCAAUAUCUCAUAUCGAUCAACACUACCAAAGUACCAAUAUCUAUACCCAUUUUAUUUGUCCCCUUAGCCCCUUUUCUAGUAAUAAGGAGGAGAGAAUAGAAUUCGAGACGUCUGAUGGAGUGAUGGAGAUGAAGAUAGAUCAGAUCAGCGAGAAGAAAAAGAAAAUAGGGUUAAAAGAUAAAUUUCUGUAGUGAAAAUAGAAAAAGGAAAUUGUAACUAAGAAAAAAAAUCAGAAUUAGGCUUUGAUGAGGUGGCUAUGCCACAUAAGAUGCCACCUAAGAUGGGCUCUAGAUGGUUGCCCAAAAUGGUGGUUCACCUAACAUUACUCUUAAUCUUAUACUUCAUAUAAAACUAUAAAAGAAGAUGGUAGAUCAUUGAGUUAUGACAAUGAAGAUGUAGUAAUGGUCCUUAAAAAAAAAAAAUAGUAGAAAUGGCCAACCACAGAAGAACAAAUGCAUUGCCUCAACCUGCAAGUUUUUGUAAUGGCAUUCUGGUUUUGUAACAUCACAAAAUCAGAUUCCUAGAAAAUGGUUAAACUGGAAACUAGCAAGUACAAAAGGAAUGUUUGAUACCAUGCAACAUCACAACUCAUACUAUUUUUUCCAUAAGUUGAUCUAAUAGAUAAGUGGACAACAGAAUGUUCUUUGUUCGUACAACAAAUCUUUGAGCUUGGACGAAGCUCACCCUUGUUCUCAAACUAUUAGCUUACCAGGGCAAUCAAUCAUACACUCACACUCCAAUGUAAGAUCAGAGUUCUAAGAAGUAAGAACAUUCAAAUGCAACAAAGUCAGGCAAUAAACCUGUAGUCAUCAACAGCCAACUAGAAUCCUGGCUGUUGGAUAUAGCAGCCAUAUAAAAAUAUUAUCACUCCAACUCCAAAUCCUAAUCCAUUCUAAAAUGACUCGACAAAUUUCCCUUACCUAUCUGCCUCAUCAUCGCACUCGACUUUUCCAUCACACCAAAUUUCAACUACAAAAAAGCUGCAUUGCCAAACCUACCCUCUUAAGUCAUUACAAAACCUCUAAUCUUAGCUGCUAUUUCUUCCCCCAAGUUAAAUGAUUUCAUGUAGCCUAAGAAUUAAUCAGACUACAAAGUGAAUUUUCAGACCAAAAGACAAAAAGAAAAAUUCAUCUCAGCUCAAAUAUUAGAGGCAGUUCAUAAUUCUCAUUAGGAUUGGCUCUCAUAAAGCUGAAAACACAAAAUCAAAAAGUUGGGUCCUUAAACUUAUCACGUAAAAAUCUCACUGAAUUCUCAUUGCAAGCUAAAAUCAUCAGUUCUACACAAACCCCACAAAUUCAGCAAAACCCUAACUUCUCAUAAACAUGAAAUUACAGCAAAUUAAACCUCAGAAUUCCACAAAAGGCGCUCAGAACACCACGCGGAACUGCGGCGCGUCGGAGCCACUCGCGGAGAGGAUCUCCCAGCGGCAGGGCUCGAGCUCCUCCGAGACGGGGCAGUACCCGGCGAGAGUGACCUUAUCUGCGGAAGCGGCGACCGACCCGAACUCAAAGACGGUGACUUUGGCGGCGGGUCGGGGAACCUCAACGGCGCCGUUCAUGCCCGGAACCUCGACCGGUUUCGGAUCCGGGUUGUUGGGUUUGGAGUCGCCGCCUUUCCACCAGGAGAGAAGACCCAUGACGACUAUCAAUGUGGAUUGGCUUUUGCUGCAUUUGGGUUUUAAGCAAAGGAGGAAUAUAUAAGUGGGCUUGUAUUUUGGAGAAAUUACGGGUGUGCCAUUAGGCCUUUUUAAGGAGAAUUGAAUAGAAACUGAGGGAGAGAAGAAUUGUGGAGGGGUUGUAUUUGGCGCUAUUGCUGUUCUCUGGAUCAAGGUUGGUGUUCAAGUUUAAAUCUUUGAGGUUCUUUAUUUUAAUGUUGGAUGGGUUUUUGUGAUUUUUGAUUAUUGUGAUUCAGAUUGUGAAUUGGGUAAUGUGUUUUGUUUAGUUGUGUGAUUUUGGUGCUUCCCUUCAUUCCCAUGUUUAGUUUGUAGAUUCUGAAGCAAUCUGUGAUGCUUGAAAGGUUAAAGAUCAUGAAGUUUUAUAGUUUGGAUAGUCAUUGAAUUGCAGAUGCCAUGUUUUGUUUUAGUUAUUAGUUUCAGAUCAUUUGACUGAUGGUCUCUGUUGAGGAAAUGUAUCAUUCUGUCAGAGAAACCAGUUUAUGAAGUUGAUGGGUCAGUUGACUGAAAAUCAUAUUUCUGCUAGUAUUUUCGAGUAAUACACAAGGGUCAGUUUUAGAUAUCAGAAUAGUUGAGGAAGAAUAUCAGUCUACCUUGGAAGUUAUAAUCCUCAUCUUCAUCAUCCUCGUACUGUUCCUAUUCAUACUCUCAAUACCAAUUGUUAAUAUCUUCUUGUAAUUUUGAAUCAGGCGCGUCUUUGUUGUGAAAUUUUUGUUUAACAACCAUGAAUGAAGACCAACGCUCACUCCUCCUCAGCUCCUCAGCUCGCUUCCCACCUCCACAAGGUUCACAAUUUCUCUGACACAUUUUAUGUAAUGUCAAUAAAUUAUGUUUCCGGUUAGUCAAUUAUGGAACUCUGAAUCAGGAGCGAAGCUAUCAUACGGUACGGCUGGGUUCAGAGCGGAUGCCUCGAUUCUUCAAUCCACGGUUUACAGGGUGGGAAUUUUAGCAGCCCUUAGAGCAGUCAAGACCCAAUCAGUGAUCGGGCUGAUGAUCACGGCCUCUCACAACAAAGUCUCUGAUAAUGGAAUCAAAGUUGCUGACCCUAGUGGUGGAAUGCUCUCUCAAGAUUGGGAGCCCUUUGCGGAUACACUUGCCAAUGCCCGUGAUCCCCAACAACUCGUACAGGUCUGUCUUUGAUAUCAUCAUUGCUUGUAUGGGUGCAUGCAUGUUUUUUGCUUCCUCGUUCCAUUUUGGAGAUACUCACAACGAAUGUUUAAUAACAUCUGACAGUUAAUAACUGAAUUUGUGGAAAAUGAAAAAAUCACACUUGAUGGAUCCAAGAAGGUGGAGAUACUACUGGCAAGAGAUACAAGGCCCAGUGGGGAAUCUCUGCUUGAAGCUGCUAGACAGGUAAAUCUCUUUCAAGAGGCUUCAAAACAUGCAUAUUUUAGAAUUUUUUUUAGGAAUCUUGAUUUACAUUUGCUCCGUGAAGGGAAUCAGUUCCAUUAGUGGAGCGGUUGCCCUUGACAUGGGAAUUUUAACAACCCCGACACUCCAUUGGAUGGUUCGUGCCAGAAAUAAGGGUGUGAAAGCAUCGGAAAUAGAUUACUUUGAGCAGCUGUCCAGCUCAUUCAGGUUAGUUUUCAGCUAGAGGUUGGUGUAUAGGCUAGUUUGUUCUAAAAACAAGACUCAUGGUGUUUGAAUGCUUUCAGUUUAAGAACAUUGUGUGGUUUUUUAGGUGCUUAGUUGAUCUGAUUCCUAGUGGAUCUAACACCAGAAAUGAGGCAGAUAAGCUGGUUGUAGAUGGGGCUAAUGGUGUUGGUGGAGAAAAACUUGAAACUUUGAAGAAGAUGUUUAAUGGCUUGGUUAUUGAUGUUCGGAACUCUGGAAAAGAAGGAGGUGUACUCAAUGAAGGGGUUGGUGCUGAUUAUGUGCAGAAAGAGAAAGUUGCUCCAUCUGGUUUCAGUUCACAAGAUGUUGGGAUCAGGUCAGCUGUCUUUUGAUUAUAAAUUUAAUUGUGAUUAUCAAGUACUGUAUGCCCAAAGCCUUUACAGUUCUUUACAAACUUGCUUAAAAUGCCUGCAUCAUAUGGAUAUUACUAGACAAUGACUGAAAAUCAUAAUUUCUACAAGUUGUUUCAAUAUCUAUGCCUAGAUGGUUAUGGAUGGAACAAACAUACUAGGUCAAUGUAAGAUAUUGAAGAAACUGACAGACUGUGGUGGUUUAUUGGCUUACUGAUGUUUUCCAUGAUAGCAUAACAAGUGAACUGCUCUUGAAUACUAGAAUUUUGAUAUGAGUUGAGAUAACUAAUUGGAGUCUUAGACUGGUUUUCAUAGUUGAAAUGAUGGUUUGCUUGGAAACAAGUUGUAGCUUUUAUUUUUUCAUCAUAUCCCUCUCUAAAGCAUUUGGGUGGUGAUGCAGGACAAAUAGCGCUAACUGUAGAACUAGGCUUAAAGAACAAAAUUAAGAAAGGGAUAGGUCUACUAGCAUCACACCAGUAGGUUCUCUAGAUAUCUCACCUAAGGUUAGGCUGCAUCACACAAACCUGGAUAGAAAGCAAAGCUCUCAAACUUUUAUUUAUUCAACUCUGGAAUCAAAAGACUACAAAACACCUCUAUAUAUAGAGAGGAUAAAACCCUAGAAACCCUAGAUCAAUUAGGAUCAAGUAACCCUAAUAUUCUAGAACUUAAAAGAUUCCCUAAUAACAAAACAAAUCCAAAAUAAGAAAGAAUUCAGAAACUUUCCCAAAUCGUGACUUAAGAUAUUCUGUUCCUAUUCUCCAUUAGCCGGUUUGCAAGAAUUGGCGUGUAAUGCAUUUCUCUUGGGGUGUCAAGUAGGUCAACAUCGCCAUGUUCAGUUAGUUAAUGUUCAAUUGUGUAUGAAUAAUGUUUCGACUUGCGCUGGAUUUAAUGAUGGGAGUGGAACUAACUGUUGGAUAACGUCUUGUUUUUCAGGUGUUGUAGCUUGGAUGGUGAUGCUGAUAGACUUGUAUACUUUAUUGUGCCAUCUACAAGUAGUGGUAGGAUUGAACUUGUUGAUGGGGACAAGAUAUUAUCGUUGUUUGCUGUAUUCAUCAAGGAGCAAUUAAGCAUCUUGAAGAAGAAAAGAGAUGUUAAUGUGAAUGAUGGUUAUCAAUGCUGUCUUGGUAUUGUGCAAACUGCUUAUGCAAAUGGAGCAUCCACAGAUUAUCUCAAACAGUUAGGCCUGGAAGUCAUUUUCACUCCUACAGGUGUGAAGUACCUGCAUGAGAAAGCAGCACAGUAUGAUAUUGGGAUAUAUUUUGAGGCAAAUGGCCAUGGCACCAUCUUGUUCUCAGAACAAUUCUUACAGUGGUUAGAGGCCAAGAUUGCUGAGCUUUCUGAUGUAGCUAAAGGUUAAAACCAGAGAGUUUUGAUUUAUUGGAGGUUUGCUGUUUCAUUCUGUAUUAUGUAUAUGAAUGAUGGACAUUGUUUGUUUAAAUCAGGUUCGGAACCACAUAAGGCAGCUAUGAGACUCUUGGCGGUCACAAAAUUGAUUAACCAGGCUGUUGGGGAUGCUUUGAGUGGGAUGCUCUUGGUUGAGGCCAUUUUACAACAUAUGGGAUGGUCAAUAGAGAAAUGGAAUAAGCUUUAUCAGGAUCUACCAAGUAGGCAGCUUAAGGCAAGUGUCCUUGAUUACCUUUUCAUGAGAGAAAGUCUUAUGCUUAUAUAUGGAUGAUUGGAUGCUUAUCAUCUUUGUAUUUUACCUCAAGGUAUUUUAUCUUUAUAGUUUUCUAUUUCGGAUUUGGUCAUCUGUUCUAAAAAAUAGUUCAGUUUUCUUAUUUUCGGGCAGCUUUGCACAUAUUGUGCUUUUGCAUUUUUAAGUAUAAUGAUGUGCCCCGUGCUUUUAAGAAACUAACAGUGGCAAUUAUCAGGUCAAAGUUGUAGACAGAACCGCUGUUGUCACAGCAAAUGCAGAAACUGUGGUUGCGAAGCCCCCUGGCAUUCAAGAAGCUAUUAACGCUGAAACUGGUAAGCAGCCUAUGAGACAUUUCUUAUUCCAUUACGUCUGGUAUACUGCACAUCAUCUUUUCUGUCCACAAUAUACUUGGUCAUUAUGAUUAUUGGUCAGACACUCAGACCCAAGAAAAAUGUCCCUUUGAACUUGUUUUGGCCUGAUUCAGUGUCCCUUUGUGAUCUGUGUUCUUUACCAAAUAGCCAAAGAAUACUAUGCAACAUCUUUUGCAGAAAUUUCUCAUGUUACUUUUAAGAUUGGCACUUUUCCUAAAUUCUAUUUUUGGGUAUAUUCACAGUACAAACAAAUUUCUCAGUUUUUCAUUUUUUUUAUCUUUUUUAUAUUUUUAUAAUUUGCAGCUAAGUACCCUAGAGGCCGGUGUUUCAUACGACCAUCAGGAACAGAGGAUGUUAUACGAGUAUAUGCAGAGGCAUCCACUGAGCAUGCAGCAGACAGCUUAGCCAGUUCUGUGGCAAAACUUGUAGACCAAAAACUGGGGUCUGGCACUUGAUGAUCUCCUCUAGCUUGUCCAACUGGUCUUUCCUUUCAAUUUUUUUUUUUGGUCGAGACUUUCCUUUCAAAUUAGGCUGUCAAAUUUAACUUAUAGAUGAGAAUUAGGCCUAGUGCCAAAUAUUAACAACUGGAUAGAAGACCAUUAAGCUUUUGAUUAUAAGUAUCUUCAUUCAUAGAUAACUGGUUUCUUUAACUAUAAAUUGUAGUUAUAAUAAAACAAGAUAUAAAAAAGUUUCGAUUGAGAAGAUAAGAACGUCUCUAUUCGAUUAUUGAGUCAGUUCUUGCAGGGUUGGUUCAUGUUGAUUCAACCCUCUGUUAUACUACAUCUUGCAAAUCACAUUCAGGCUUCACUGGUCCAAUACCGUGCAUAUAUCAAUUAUCAAGAACAUAAGAAGCUUCAUAGUGUCACCAACUACACAAAGUUACAUCACACCAUUUUCUCCUUCCCAAAAAAUACAACUAAACAAAGUUAAUGGAGCAACUGUAAUAUUCCCAAGUAAACUUCUCAAUUAGCAUUCCCAAGUAAAGUUUUGCAAUUGUAAACGAACUAGACUGUUUGGAAAAGUUUCCAAUCUGGUAGAAAUCCAAUAUGCGAUCAAAUUCUCACGGUAAAACUCUAGCUCAGGACUGUCCUCAUGGUGGUUUCAUAAUUUUGCCAUGGAUAUUGAGGCACCACAUCUGCAUUAUGGGGAGGAACUGCCUCCAACUAGAUUUCCAAGACUACCAGUCUACCUCAUGUCCAAAGACCCCUGUACAAACUGUGGAUCACAGACGCUUUGCCUAGUAGAUUUCUGUCACCCAGUUAGCUAUAGCUUUGCUGAUUUAGGAGACCAAAGAGUAGGCCUUGCUCUUGCUCUUGCAGGUAGUGAGAAAAUGAGUUUUCUUGUGACAACAUUCAAGUAAAAAAUACGUAGCAGCAUACUGCCAUCCUCCAUCUAUUACGAUCCUUUGCCUCUGUUGUGCGCCUUUGUGCUGUACCUUCACAAGCGGAAAAUAUACUGGAGAGGAGCUUUGCCAACCGUUUGGAGUCCUUCAAUUUGCAUAUUGCUGCUCUGGGGUUAUUGGACUUCUCUUCGCUGUUCGUUGUUUGUGAUGUAUAAAUCUAAAGUUAUGUUUAGUUUUGCUGUUUGCUAUUAUCUUUGGCUAAAUAAUCGAUUCUUCAGUAAAAGGCAGGAAGCAGGAAGCCCCUGACAACAUUUAGAACUCACAAAAAAGCCGUAAGUUCUGUAUUGGAAUUGAUGUCAAAAUCUUUUAUGAGGUAAACCUUAAAAUCAGACGUCUUAGGAUCACAACUGAAACAUGAACUUUUAUAAUCCGGAGUCAAAUACACUAUUCUAUGAAAACUAGAGUGGCAGUAGAAGCUGCCGAGCAACCAGAUGAAAAGUGGGUGCUGCAUUGGCUUGAAAUUCCACAAGUGAAAGCAUGACAUGCGGCAUCAAGAAUGUGCUUGAAUGAUCUCAUAGGCCUCUGCAACAAGAGAACAGGUAUAUUAAAAGAAAAUAGGAGGAAUCCACCCAUAGGAGAUAAUAUUUCCAUAGAAAGGCUACUUUAAACAUACUACUGGAAAAUAGGGUAAGGGUGCAACAGUAAAACAACUAUUAUACAAAACUCAUAAUGGAACCGAGUAGUCCCAACUACUUAUAUAAUCUUCUAACGAGAUGGUCUGUUUGAACCUUUGAUCCUUGUCUACAAUCCAAAAAUUACAUUCCACUGAAAAGCUGUAACUUGCCAAUCUAACAUUUGUAACUCAGAACAAAGGGAUUGGCUUGGAUGUCAAUGGAAAGUAGAGAACCAAGAGAAAGAAAAAGAUACGACGAGAAAAUUUCUAGGUUUUUUUUUUUUUUUUUUCUUUUUCUGGAAAUAAAACAGAUUUUGUUAAGAACAAAACAACUACAAAGACGAACAGUAUACAAGAAGUCCACACAACAGAAGCUCAAAAGAGAAGCAGCGAAAAAUCAGUAACCCAUAAACCUGCUCCUUUCAAGUCCCUCAAAGUACAAGAGAAGCUAUAAGCUCUAAAGGCCAUAGAAACUGAUGCACAAAGACCCAGCCAAAAUCUCACUCACUCCCAAAGCUCCUCAAUCUCAGGCCCUCAAUAGACUUACAAAAAUUCUUCUAUUUUUCCCAUCCACAGCACCCUAAACACAGCCAAGAUACUGCAGCCUCACAACACUUUGGCAUUCAUUCCUUUCCCAAAACAUAAUUGUUUUGAGAAACCAGAGCAGAAAUGUGCAUUGAAUACUGGCCAAACCUAGUCAAAUGGUUAAAAACUGUUCCCAUGACAUGAGUAUCUGGCUUAUGAGUCACGUCUCUUGAUGAAGUACCAGGGGAAAUGAAGAACUACUUUUCUUUGUUCUCAAAUCUUUAUUCUGUUUCUUUAUAGGAUACUUGCUUACUUUCACUCAUAACCAAAGUAAACUAAACUGGGGAUAAAAAGCAUUGCUCAGGCAAAUACAGCCAACGGUGAAGGGUAAGAUUUCAAAGUUCUCUACUUUCAAUAGAUUAGCAUAACUGGAACUAUAGUUAGAUUUCAACGUCCUUAUUUUGAAGAGUAGCUGUUCAAAGCCACUAAAUUCCUUUAUAUUAACAACUUAGAUUCACGAAUAAACAAUUUCCAAUUCCAAGCUUGUUCCUUCUUAUUCACCUGCUUCAACCAUUCAAACACCAUGCACACAUAAUCAGAUAUCUCUGAUUGAAUCAGUCUCACAACCCCAAAAAAAGUCAACAGCAGGAUGAGACUAGCUACCUAUACAUACCGUAAUAUAUAUAUAUAUAUAUAUAUAUAUAUAUAUAUAUAUAUAUAUACGGCCUAUAAAAUCCAAGAACUUCAUAGUUCUCUAAUUUGAUGGGAGAGGCCCAAUUCCUACACACAAUGAAAACCCCUAAAACCCCAACCAAGCUACAAACAAAAGAAGACAAACAACACUCUCCAAACUCAUAUUCAUUCUACAACACCAAAUCAAAUCUAAACCCCAUUCUCAGCUACCUAUACAUACAUAUAUCACCAUAGAAAAUACAAGAAUUCAAAGUUGUUACUUUCCUAAAACCCUAAACCCCUGAAAUUCAUAAUACCAUUUCCACUUCAAUCUCUAUAUUUGAAAUCAAAACCCCUAAAUUCUCGAAUUCUCCGAAAUCACGUACCUGACUUUCUUGAUGAGGAUGGCCUUGAGCUUGCGGGCGAGGUCCUGGGACUUGAGCUUACGCUCGAGAAGCUUGCGUGCAAGCACGCGCUUCUCGGAGUUCUUGAUGUGGUGGGUCUGCUCGCGCUUGAUCAUCCUCUCGAUCCCACUGGACUGCAUCUUCCUCUGCAUAAACGUCAGCGCUUGCUCCAAGUUUCCGUUCAGCACCUUCACCCGGAUCCCUCUCACUUGCUCCUGACGGUGGUGACUCAGUGACUCCGCCACUCCCUGACUCGUUGGCCGUCGGAACAAACUCCACGCGCUCCUCGCCGCCGGGUUCAUCUUUAAGCACAGACUCAAAAUGGGAACAAGUUUUAAGUGUCGAGGAGACAGUGCGGUGUUUUUUUACUAGUGCCUAGGUUUAAUCGGUAAUUAUCUUAUUAUUAUUAUUAUUAUUUUUGGUCGGAAAAAAGAAAAAAAAAAACAGGUUUCAACUUUCAAGUAUGUCCGACUUGAACAUCACUAUAAACGGGUAAUUAUCUACAUAUUUUACCAACAAAAAACCCUAAAUCCUAAAUGGUCCAAGUAUGUCCGUCUAUUUGUGCGUCCGGACUCUCUCUUAUCUAUAUAUUUUACCAACAAAGAUCAUAUCCUGCAAAAAAUCAAUGUAAACAAAAUUCGUUUGCUCAGCUGAUUGCAUUAAAUUGACUAUUCUGUUGAAGAUUAGCAGUCUCAUUAUCAACUGUCCAUUUAUUUGAUACAUUCUGCUGAGCAAACGAUCUUUUUUUAUAUUGACAAAAAAAAAAUUCAAAUUUUAAACAGUUAAGAUUAUGAUUUACAUCGACAAAAGUAUGUAAAUAAAAAAGAGGUCGGACACACACGUACAUAUUAAUCCGGACGUAAGUUUUUUCCUUAUUAUUUGGGGAGUGUAGAUUUCACAUAUAUUCAUUUGAUAAAUCUAGAUUAUUAUUUUUUUUUUUUGAAUGUCCAUCAUGUCCGUUGAUAAUAUGCUGUCAAAAGGAAUUGAAGAGCGUUUGUGUGCUUUUGAUUAUAAGUAAAGGAAUACGGAUGAUGCUAGUUUUCAAUAUUGAUUGCUCAAACUGCACAACAGUAUACGAUCUUUUCCCACUAGUGGAGGCGGAUCAAAUGUUCCAAAUAGUGUACGGAAAGCUUGUAAUCAGAUCCAGCACAAGGCAAGAUGAGCUUUUGGAACGUAAUCGGUUUUACUGUAUAUGUCCCCUCUGCAUACCCCUUUGGGAAUUCUCAUCAUAAUUCUAUUCAAUGACUUCCCUAAAUUCCUCACUGCUCAUAUCGUUUUCUUGCUCACUCCACAUCAUUAUUUCAUCGUUGUCAUCUGCAGUAGAAACAUCACUAUAAACGGGUUCUUCGUCUUCCUCCGUUACAGGACUAAGCAAAGAAGGCGACCCUGGAUACCUUGAGGACUGCAGCAUUAAGGGUGAAUAUAUGAGAAACCAAUACUACGAACAUAAAUUUGCUAGCAGAAUAGCAACAAUCAAAUCUGGUAAAAAAAUUGACCAAUGAUGCAACAUAAAAUCAGUUGAAGCACCAAGUAAUAUAAAAAUGGUUCACUGGAACCCGCAGUGAUUUUCAGAGAUUGAGUCCUCCGUUAAGUGAGGAUCUUUUGAGCAUAUAGAAAUAGACAAUCAGAAUGUUAUGAUGCAUCUAAUACAUACGCCAAUUUAAGAACAUUGGUACCAAGGCAAUAUAAUGUCCCACAUUAGAGACUUAAUAUCAGUAUUUAACGCUCUAGUCCCUUGACUCCCUUCAUGAAUGAAAGAAAUACAACAUGAUAAAGGUGGUGCGAGACGUGAUAAGAAGGUAAGUAAAACUCUAUUUUACAUGAAGAUGUAAAAUGAAAUGUCUAAUGAGUCUGGCUGGAGUGGCUGUUCCCCUUUUAAGUUGAAGUUUCUAUAAUAGAGUGUGUGUGUAUAUAUAUAUAUACACACACACUUCAAAAAAAAGUCGAAGGAUUAUUCAAUAAAAAAAAAUGGUAGAUAGAAUUUGUAUCAAAUAACAUGAUAAAAAUCAUAAGAAAAAUUCCUACUUGCUAAAAUCUAACAAAGACAGCUGCUCAUUUUGAUCUGGCAUUGGUUCUGGUUCUUAGGAGUUCGUUUGCUAAUUUUCGAGUUUCUUACACACUCGGUUACUCUCGAACUCCUGGUGGGCGAAUCACCUCUCCUAGGUGGUCAUACCAUCGGUUACGGUUAUUGUUACAGUUACUAUCACAUUUACGCUACUAUCGUGUUAUAUCACUUAUAUGCAGCUAAGCGAUGUCGUUCGGCAUCAAGUCACGUCCUGGUUACUUCUCAAUAUAGAUGCGUUUGUGCAUCUGGUUAUCUUUUAUUGCUUUUUUAUUAUAGAUGCAUCUGUGCAUCUUGUUAUGCUUUCUUGCUUUCCUUCGAUGCGUUUGCAUCAUGCUAUGUACUUUUCAAUUAUUAUUAAUAAACUUUCGUCCUUGAUAAAAAAUAAAUAAAUAAAUAAAUAAAACACAAAGACGGUUGAAUAAACAAUAUACUGAACAAACAACUCAAAAAUAUAGAAUUCAAAAAAUAUAAUGACAUUGCGGAUCUUACCCCACAAAAGGAUGCAUUAAUCUCUGAAUAAGUCCCCGUGCCAGGAAUAGCAGCUAAACUGCCAAAGGCAUCAUAGAGGCUUACUGACAUCUUGCAAUCACCAAACUUGUAUCCAUCUCUCUUGUUCCUAGCAAGUGCGGCUUCCUGCAAAGACAAUAAUCAAAAGAUGAGGUGACAAUAAAAAUACCUCCGUAAGCAUGAUUUUACUAGUACACGACAUAUUGACCCGAACGGUUAUAUACAGAUAAAAUAAAAAACAACUGUAUUGGUCUUCAACUGUUCAUACCAGUUACUGUUACUAUCAAACACUGUCAUUGAAAAAUCAAGAGAACUACAACAGUAAUAUCAAGUGCACGUGCUCUGAUUUGUUAAACCCAUUUGCAUCCAAACACAUUUACAGCAUCCGAGCUAUAUUAUUCCUUCCCCAAAAAUCAAAAACACAGAUGUUGUAUUAAGAGUAAAAUUCCAAGGCAGUGAGGACAAGCUUUCCACUUGAGUGCAUACAAGAUCCUAACCUCAACAUCAUACAAUGUCCAGUACAUCUGACUGCUCAAAACAGCUCACCUAAGGAAAACAGAACUAAAGAGAUCACGUUGCAUUCUAAUUCCUACAUGAAUGAGGAAAACUGGUUUACCGGAACAAAGAGGAAAACCUUAAACCAUUCCUGGUUUCAAAAUUUUUUUUAUUUUUAUUUUAUUUACAUACAUGAUACAUCCUCCAAGGAACAAAGCUACAUAGCUAACAUACACUUACAUCAUUCACCAUUCCUUGUCUCGAGGAAAAUGGAGUUUUAUUACCUCUGCAAUAUUCUAGCUAGGCAUUAUUCAUUGGCAAGCUUUCAUUUACAAUCUGAUAACUAUAACCUGUAGUCUACAAAUAUGUAAACAGAAUGUAGCCUAUGCGACAAAAAGUAAACCUAGUAAUCUAGUAUCCCUGUGAAUCUUUCACAACUGGGUUAUCAAAUUCAAGCGAAACUAAAUUCCACAAAGAAAAAACCCAACAAAUUUGCUGCAUUAGUAUUACACUAACCAAACUCAAGAAACAACUGAAACUAAAACAGAGCAGAGGAACAAAACCAACUACCUCCUGAGAAUUAAACUCAAUGAAACAAUGACCCAAGGUUUCUUGGGUGGUGGGGUUCACAGGCAUCGAAAACCCAUCUUCUUUAAUAACACCAACUUCACUAAACACCACUCGAAUCUCGCUUUCAAGCUCCUGGGCCAUCUCUGCCUCAACAACAGGAAGAUUACUAACCACAAUCACACCCCCAAACUCAAUAUUGGGAAUGAAACCAUUUUCAUCGUAAAACACUUCUUGGCAUUCACUGUGAACCAUAAAAAAUAAAGCCGAAUCAAUUAUAAGUUUGGAGUUUGAAAUUUCUAAGUGUUGAGGAAUUGAAAAGGCAAAAAAGGAAGAGUCUUUGUAUUGAGAAUUGGGUACCUGAAAUUAAAGUGAGGUGGGUGUGAAGAAUUCAAGUCUAUGGAGGAGAACUGGAUACCGAGCUGGUCGGCCUUGGCUUCCAUGUCUUCCAUGGUGGCGCUGUCUACUGUCAUGUUUGGUGCUUCUGGUUUUUGGGAUGGAGACUAGUUCUGUUUGGGUUUUAUUGCAUGCCAAAUUGAAACUUGUUUGUGUAUUUUGGGAUAUUUAUGUAAAUUUUACAAAAUACAUUCUUUUGAAUAUGAAUUUGUACUGACUUUGCUAUACAGUGUAUUAUUUCUUUCACAGUGUUCGGAACUUUGGAUACCCCAAACACUCCAUAUGCUCGAAAGUAAAUUUCUCGGCACUACGGGCAAAACUAUAUACACUGCAAUUAAUGCUACGCAAGCCAAUUUGCUUCAAGUCGAUGGGUUGCAAGUGAAGGCUUAACCCCGUUUAAGAAAUUUCACAGUUCAUAAACUAAAAGAUAUGACCAGAAAGGCACCUUAUCUGUCAAUACAAUAGACCCCAGAGUUUGUAGUGAGAGGUCAAAACAUAUAAUAUUCAAAACCCCACUCAAAUACAUGAUCACGGUUUUCUGAAUCUAUAACAAGCUGAUCAUCGCACACAAACAGAUACAAAUGCUCUAUAUACCUAAUGCAACCUAUGACAUCUUUACAGUAAUCUGGUAAUCUCGUAGAGAGCCAUAUCUCAGAUCGAACUGUAGCUGUCGUCAUCGUCUGUCCGGAUGUAACACAUUAUGGCGAGUACAAAUACGAAAAAGGAUGAGAGCUCCAAGGCCAGGGCUCCCCAGCCAAUAACACCAGCGUGUGUUAAGAUGGCGGGUAUCGCAAUGCUUCCAAUGGCUGAAGCUCCAGUCAAGAACUUGGUUACGUUAACCCAGCUGUUUCAUUAUUUGUUAAAAAGAAAGUAAGAAGCUGAUGCGGCUUUAAUCUUCAGAAGAAAAAAUAUGUUUCAGUUAACCAGUUGAAAAGAAAAAGACAUACGCAUUAUCAGAUUCCAUGAAAACAGAAAAAUCUGAUCCCACAAAGAACAGCAACGGCAUGGGAAGAAGCACAUACAUUAUUACUGCCAGAGAACAAUGUGAUUACUAGGCCAUAUGAAAAUCGACAAUCACAAAGAGGGAGUUCUUGCAAUCGAAUUCUCUAGAGGGGAUACAGUUUUGACAAAUAUCAUUUUCUCAGUGACAAGAUAAAACUUAAGAGAUACAGAAAGUUCAGUUCCCUACCAGUUAGCAUCGGCCACCAAUUAUUGUACAAAGCACAUGCCUGCGUCAAAACACAAAACAUGAGAACAUAUAUUAAUAAUGACCUUGAACAAAGAAAAGCUUAACAGUUACAUUUAACUUGAGCAAAUAGAAAAUACAACAAGGACCCACCAAAAUUUGCAGUACAAUCCCUCCAGAUACCAAAAUUGCCAAGAAAGCAAGUUUCCCAGAUUGCAAGCAGAGACGCAUAUAACGUGGUAAGUCAGCCAUCAAGUGAUCAAGUACUUGCCUCACCUCAUAGAUCGAAACAACUGAAAUUUUGAAGUGAUUACAAAAAUUAAAGCGGAAAAGAUAUUCUGGAAGCAAGGAAAUAUAAAAAGCGGUCCAUGGAGAUACAAAGAGGAAAUGACAUUCGAGAGAAGUCAUAUGACUCCAUAAUGAUCAAUAAGAUUGAGGUUCAUUUACUUCAUAUCUAACCCAGACAUCCUAUUCGAGCCAUGUCUGAAGCAAAAUCACAGUAUAAGCCUUUAUUAAAGCCAUGCAGAACAGGAGUAAUGUCCAGUUGAAUACUUAAUGUCAAACCGAAGGUCAUGGCCGGAAAAUUACAUAUCACCACACUGGACAUAUAUUAUAAUUGUGGCAGCAGCAUGCAAAUGACUUGCUAGUCAUGCAUAUAUAUGAUACAACUUCAUACGACUAAAAACAUCAACACAAAGCAGGAUAUUCACUGCUUAAACUAUGACAAAGGGAAACAUUCUUCUUCUGUGUGCACAUAACAGUUAAUAGAUACUAUAAAACAAAUGUAUCAAUCUCGAGUACUAAGUGGAUUCUCCACCAUUAUCUAAAUAUGGUUCUUUUUUCUUGUUAAAUUAAGGUUGAACGGUUCCUCAUAUUAACAACAACUUGAGAGGCAGACCAGAUAACUAAAUAAGGUGACACGACUCAAGAAGGAAAAGGUUCAAAGACAUUUAGUGACAUAUAGGAAGCACCUCAGUCUAAAUACGCUAGACACUGUUUGGAUAUGGGUAAGGUAGUGCCAUUGUGGAGAAAGGAAAUAAAAAAUUCUCAGAAGCUGACUUCUUACACACUUUUCAAGUUAAAUAUUUGUAUCACUAAGCUGACUUCUGACUUUACUGUACCCUCCCUGCUAUUUGCUAGAGCUUCCCAUAAAAUUAACGCUUUGGCUGGAUGCCCUAGUGACCUGUAAAGUGGGUCGGUGUGAUUUCCAGGUACCAAAACCUAUUGGGGGUGAGGAGCUGGAAUCGACUGAGAGCUCUUCCAACAAAGUGGAUAAAGAUACAACUAGACCCAAGAUAAAUGGUAAGGAGUGAUUAAAUUUAAUUGGAGAAACUCUACAAGAACUGGUAUUUCACUAGCAAUAAUGAGCAAAAUGUUGGGAUAUUACAGAAAAUCUGCAUCCAUGUUUCAUGAAUGAGAAUGUUGAGAAAAAUGACGAGUCACUUACAAGAUUAACCUAAAAUGAUUUUAUCAUGGAAACAUAAAGGAAUUAAAUCCAAUUGACCAUUUAUGAUGUAGACAGCUGAAUACACCUAUAACAAAAAUUAGGUGGAAAAGACCCAAAGAGCAACCAAAAUUUAACGUGGGAACUGACCUGAAAAGACUAAAAUAUGAACGUAACAGGAGGUGUUACAUAUAAAGAACAGAGCAAAGGAAUCAGCUGAUUCCAUUUGAUUGAGACAUUUGACCGGGACAGUACGAGGAUGAUGAAGAUGAGGAUUAUAACUUCUAAGGUAGACUGACAAUCUUCCUCGAGUAUUCUGAUAUCUAAAACUGACCCUUGUGUAUUACUCAAUCUAUUCUUUCACUAUGAGCAUGAUUCCGAACUUGUCUAGGAAACAUUUCAAAAGCAUUUUGUAAGACCUAAAACACGGAUUGCAAAAUCUACAAAUACAAAAUCAAUUCUUGAUGUGUAACGCUGCUCAACAUCAUCCACAAUCAAACCAGAAUCUCAAGGAAUUCCGAUUCAAGUAGUUAAAUAACUAACUUGACUAAUAACAGCCCAACCUUUUAAGGACCUGAGCUCCAACUUUUCCCAAUUGAAACUCAAGACUCAGUUAGUAUCAAGUUACUUGAUCAACAAAAAGCCUUUCUUGGACUUUCCAGUGGUAAAAAGCCAUGGAAUCGAUUAGACAAUUACCCAUAUGAACAACAAAUGAAAUGAAAUCAAAGAACCAUAAAAUCCAACAGACCCAUCUGAAUUCCACUCCCAAACAAAGCAUUGCACAAAGUUUCUUUUUCCGAGUAAUAAAGAUUCAAAAUUAAUGGACUCUAAAAGCAAAGAUUUCAUCUUUCCGAAACAGAGUGUUUGAAUCUGAAAGAGGAAGGCGUACCAGAGGUGAAUUGGAGGUGAGAGCCCGAAAGGCGUGGCUGGAUCGGGAGCUGUUUGGGGGGUAGUGCUGCAAUUCUAUAGCAACAUGAAGAUUUCCAGAGGAGACUGGAGUAACAGCUAUGCAAGCAAGGAAACUAGAGUACCUGUAUUGUUAUUCUCAUUAUUGUAUUUAAUCAACAUAAAUAAAUAAUUGGAGGAAAAUAAUAAUAUGUGAAGCAUAGGAGGGAACUUGGGUGCGUCAUGGUUUAGGAUCUAGUUAUGUACGGUGGAUGAUGUAGAUCAUUUUUAUUCGAUUGUCUGAACAUUUCAGAAAAAUAAAAUCAAAUAAGAGUCUAAAAUAUCACACACAAGAGUUUGGUGUUGUAAUAUAACGUGCAAUUUAAGGAAAUCUUAAGGAUAAACUACUCGAUUAUAAAAUUUCAAGAAAAUGAAAGAAUACCGGCUAAAAAGACAAUAUUAUGAACGAGAAUAUAAAAUCUGAAGUUGUAAUGGGGUGUUGAAUUAAUACUACAUAGAUACUACUCACCACCCAUGUACAAAUGACGCCUACUAGGUGAUCUAAGCAUAGUACAUCGUUGAUUCAAUUACGAUCGGACUAUGAGUAUCUAAAAUGUUAGUAUGAUAGUAUGAUAUGGUAAAUUUUAGUUAAUUCUUGUAAAAUGUUGAGCGGAUGAUGGACGAUUGGGCAUUAAUUGUGUGGGAGAUGAACCGCAGCUGCAUGAAAUCGAUAACUUGUGUAAGUAAAUUCUGGUGGUAUCGAGUUUGAAGGACGAGUUCAGCGGCCAGUCAAUCAUGUAUGAGACCCCAACAACCCUCAUUUCACAAGUAUCCAAAUUUGAGGGGGAAGGAGCAAAUAAGUGAGAAAAAGGGAGAAAAGGUACCCAUUCUGCACAAGGCACUUAUGGCAAUUUUAAACUGGUCAUUGAGAAAGCAAAUACGACUUCUUCAAUGGCAAAAUCUACUAUAUUCUCCAAGUAACUUACCUUGAACGGUAAAGAGAGCUCUACUCUAUCACCAUCUUGGGGUCCUUUUCUGUAUCCAAGAGGAAACUGCUACCUUGUGGUAUCACUACCAAUGCGAAGUCGGCAUAUCCGUAAACGACAGAAUAAAAUGCAGUGUGGCUUUCGCAACUGACUAUGCCAUAUAAAAUAUCAGUACCUAACAAAAGCAGAUAUACCAAACAAGAAAAUAUCAAACCCAACUCAAUUCUGUCAGUCAAGAAAAUACUCAUCCACAGAUACAACUUUCUUUUAACUAAUAGUUCCAGAUAUAUAUAUAUAUAUAUAUAUAUAUAUAUAUAUAUAUCAACUGGAAAUUUAUUCUGCAUAACUCUGCAGUGUUCAUAAAUGUAACAUAACGUUGCGCAAUCCAUUUACCUGAUCAAUACUUGUGGCAGAUUCAAGAUUGAGUUAUUGUGUAAUUUAAGAUCCUGCGCGCACUGAACUAAACACAACAAGACAGAAAGAAGUUCCUGCAUGUAUAUAUGGAAGGGCACACUUCCAUGGUGUUGAUGCAUUCAUGCACUGAUUGCAUUCAGAGUCUUACCACAUUUCCAGAUACAUGUCAAGAAUCUCAUUUAUGAGAGAAUGCUACGUUUCUCAGAUACCCACAUUUUAGAUACAUGUCACGAAUCUCAUUUCAGAAUGGAUUUGUUGUACAAGGUUCAUAUUAAAAACCAACUAAUGCCGAGAGAAGCACAUACAGUCCAUCAUUUAUUCUGGUUAGAAUCAAACAUCUGAAUCCAAAUGAUCAGACAAUCCAUUUUAAUUAAGCACUUUGUGCAACAACAAAAAACAGUGAUUGAGUACUUGCAUUCAGAUUCAGAUACAGCUCGUCUAAAAUUGCAUAAUGGAACGAGAAAGUAAGAAACUGGUCCACGUUUGGGAAAUUUAUACAGAAGACAACUGUAUACAUAAAAGAAAGUCAUAAAUAUAAUUCAGAAGAAUGCACCAAAAAAUCUGCCUGGUCUAAAAUCUCAAAGACAAAGGUACGUCCUCAUGUAAUUUGAUUUGAGUAAACAAAAGAUGGCUUCCUACCGCAGCAACCAACCAAAGCUAGAGCCUCUGCAUUUUUUGAAUUAAAGUUUCUUCCAACAUGUAAUGCGUAAUUAUAUUAAAGAUUUUCCAAAUCCUUUUAGCACUGAAUUUCCUUCUUCAAUUAUUCUCAAAAAAUAAAAAAAUAAAUAAAAAAUCCUUCUUUAAUUAUGGAAAUUCUUGUAUGUACGACGUGUAUUUACACGACGUAAUAUUAACCAUUUAUAACAAUUCAUACGUUUGACCAUAAUGUUUCUAUAUUAUUUUCUCUAAUCCUGACAAUCCAUGUAUGUAUGUGAAGAUACACGCCGUGUAUUAAAAAUACUCUUUAUACUCUAAAGUUGGCGCAUACCUGAGCAGGUGUAUAUAGGACAAGAAACUUACAAUACAGACCCACACCAUACAAACCCUAGCCGCCUCCGAUGGCUUUUGACCCCAAAAAAGGUUCUUGGAAGGCUAACCGGUCAGGUUUAUGCCUAGAUGUUCUUGUGUCUAUUGCCAAUCGGAUGGAUUUAGUAGAGGACUUCAUAGCCUUCGGCCUAGUUUGUAAACCGUGGAGAUCAAUGAUUCAUCAAAGUACCUCCUCAAUUUUGAAUAAAAAAAGAUCAAUUGAUGACAAAAAAUUCAAAUAAACCGAAUGGAAAUAUGGAUUAAUCAAAACUAAAACCUCAAAGUUUUUUUUUAUCCACAAACAACUAAAAUGCUAAAACGUGUCUAAAGUGAGUUAUUCCCACUUGUAAAAGGGAGAUCGAUGCCACUAAACCAAAUGGUACUAGGCACUAAAAUCUCAAAGUUACGAAACAAUUCCAAAUUAUCAGUUUUUGAAAUGAUAUUCAUGUCAGGGGUAAAAUAGGAAAUACAUUUUUUUUACAAACAUUGAAGGAGGUAACCCCCCUUCUCCCAUAAUGUAGGUUUUUGAGGUUCCGUUUAGUAAUGGAAACUGGCCGGACUCGGAGGUAACAGACUUAGGGAGCAGAACAUUGUUCUUAGAUGGAAGGUGUUUAUUUUCUAUUGAAGCCUCCGCCUGCUCUAUUUGCGAGAAGAAUUGCAUAUACUAUACCAGUCAAUCUUUCCGUGGAACAGAUGGUAGGGGCUUUGAUAGAUUAACUCUGCCAUACAAAAUAAUCAAAACGUACAUAGGCGAAUACUCAGGUUCGCAAAUUCCACAUUUAUGGAUUCAACCAAGUUUAUAAAUGUGAAAGUAGCUAGCUAGGAUAUGCAUCUCCUUUAUUCUCCUUCUACUCUAUGGAGAAUAUUUGUAUCUCAAUCUUCCAAUUGCAUAUUCUAAGAUCGAUGAUAGGAGACAUUACUGUUGUUCAAAAGAGAUAUGGAUUCAACCAAGGGUUUGUUUUUAAUUUUUAAAGUGUACAACUCUCUUGUUUCAAAAGAGAAUAUAUACUAGUGUUGUUCUAAACUUGUUUCAAUCUUGUAUAGCCUUGUUCUGGGCAAGAGACAUCUUUUCAAUUUGCAGAGAAAGAAAAAAGUACAACUUACAUGAAGGAUCAUGAUAGUUCAAGUCAAUGGAAUAGAUAACGCUCUUGACCAUAUGACGAGUAAGUUAGAAACAAGUCCAUGUUUCGGAACCUUCAUAGCCUGAAACUCGAGGACCAAAAUUCCUCUUCUAGUUUGAGUUUACAAAAGAUUGUUCAAUGUGCGACUACAAGGUUCAUAUGGAAAGCCAAGUAAUGCCGAGAGGAGCUAAAUCCGUCUUUACUCAUCAUAAAAACUGAAAACAUUGGUGGAGUUAAUAUAACUGAAAAUGUCCUAUGGCAUGAUGAACAAGAUCCAUAGUAUAAUCUAUGUCAUUUUCCAAUACAGCAUGAGUUUAACUAGAACUUACGGAAAUGACUAAUCACUUAUUUGGAAAUGACUAAGAAACAAAACCUCAAACUGUUCCAUGAUUUGGGGAUUUCAAGUUCUCACCCAUGUAACAUUUUCUAUGAGACUGACAGUCCUAAUAUAACCACCAUGACAAGUGCUCUUAAGAAAUGAUUAUUUAUCAUACACUGCUUGUAAGUUCCUCCAGCUUUAGGGAAAAGCACAGACCCCGAGAUUGAAAACCAUCAAAGUAUAUACUCUCCAUUUAUUCAUUUAAUAAUUUUGGAUGAAACAAUAUGAUCAAAGUUGUCUCAAUGCAUGUAACUUGAUUUGUAAUUCUGAUGUAAACAAACAUAAGAACAACAUUUCAAAGUAGAACAUUAAAUCUUCCAUGAUUUUAAUAUCUUUCACUAUUUGUCAUCGAUUAUACUACGAAACCACCUAUUACCAACUCAAACAAAGACCCUGAUCUCAAAUUCCACCGAAACAGCAAAGAAAUCAAAGAUUCAUCAGUGUACCUCCUCAAAAUUGAUCAGCCGAUCCCACAUUGCUUCACCUACUCAUCCGUAGCAGCCUUAGCACUCCGAAAGCCCUUCUUCAACUCCGCCACUCUCUUCACACAAGCCGCCUUGGUCUUCCCCGGCACAGCAGCUGCAAUCUUCUCCCACCUCAUCGGCACCUCCUUGGGAAACGCCUUCAACGCAUUAAGCAACGCAAUGUCCUCACUAGCACCCCAACUAACCCCACCACCAGCACUCUUGCCCUCAGCAUUGCCCUCCUCCCCAACCUCCUCACUCCCACUCUCCAUUUUCUUCUCAUUAGGCUUCCUCUUCCUCAAAAACUCGGCAUACGAAUCCGAAUCACUCACCUUCUUCUCCCCCAACUCUUUCGCCUUCUUGAUCACACUCUCCACCUUAUACCUCCCCCCAAACGCCUCAGCAAUCACCUCCCACCGCCUCGGUUUCCCCACCGGGUUCUUCACCAGCUGCUUCUUCAAAACCUCCACAUCCUCCUCAACCCAAUCCCUCUCCUCCUCCAAAACCCUAACCCCAUUUCCUCCACCUCCCAAAGCCUCCACCUUUCUCUCCUCCCUCACAUACCCAUUACCAUUUCCGGCCAAAUCCACGCCAGGAUCUUCAAACCGCCGCGGCUUCUGCCGCCUCCUCUUCGCUUCAUCCUCCACCUCCGCCGGAACCUCCGGGAAGUCCACGACUGGGCCGUGGCCGACCCUUACGUCACCGCCGGUGACCGAAGGCGGCGCGAAUGGGCCGACGAGGAUUGACAGCGCUACCCAGAUGAGCAGCGAUUGGUAGGGCUCGGAUUGGAGGAAGAAGAAAGCGAGACCCAGUAAAACCAACGAGACCAAAACGGUGAAGGCGAUCCAGGGCUUGCUGAGAUUCUUGUAGUGAGGCUCGGUUUCUGUAGCCGAUGACGUCACCGCUUUGGAUUGGAAGAGGAACCUUGGCCUUGCGUCCUCGUCCAGAAACUCCAUUUUUGAAUCUGGGUCUGGAUCUCAAUCGCACCCAGAAGCUUAAAUAGGUGAAGGAGACGACGUCGUUUGGAAGCAAAGUCAAAGCUUCUUGCUUUAUUUAACCUCUGGCUCUUUUAGGCUUAAAAGGUGAAGGCUUUGUUUUGAAAACUUACUUAUUUACUAAUGCGCGCCUUGUUUUUCAGACCCACCAAGUUUAUACUGUUCAAAACUGUAAUUAGAUUUCGAUUCUAUGAAACCCAGAUAGCAAAACUCAGUUGUGAUGAUUCAGAGCUGCUUUGGUACUUAUCAAAAGGUUUGGUUAAAGAUGCACGCCAGGUGCUUGAGAAAAUGCCUAGCAGAAGAGAUGCUCAUGGCCGCGUUGUUGAUUGGACUUGUUUGGUUACCAAGUACUCGAGAGGCGGCUGGGUGGAUGAGGCUCGGGUGCUGUUUGAUAUAAUGCCGGAGAGGAAUGUGGUUAGUUAUAAUGCGAUGCUGUCGGGGUAUUUGCGGUCGGGGAGGUUGAGUGAGGGGUGUAGGUUUUUUGAGGAGAUGCCGGAGAAGAAUGUGGUGUCGUGGACUUUGGUGUUGUGUGGGCUGGCUGAUGCGGGGAGGGUUGAAGAGGCGAGGCGGUUGUUUGAGGCAAUGCCGGAGAGGAAUAUUGUGUCGUGGAAUUCGAUGAUUGGUGGGUUGGUUAAGAAUGGGGAUGUGGAAGGAGCGAGGGAGGUUUUUGAGAGGAUGCCGGUGAAGAAUGUUGUUUCAUGUAAUGUGAUGAUUGGGGGGUAUGUGGAGCGGUGUAGGAUGGAUGAGGCGAGAGGUUUGUUUGAUGGGAUGGUGGAGAGGAAUGUGAUAACUUGGACUAGCAUGGUAUCUGGUUAUUGUAGGUCUGGCAAUGUGGAUGAAGGGUAUGCUUUGUUUCGGGAAAUGCCUGAGAGGAAUGUUGUUUCUUGGACAGCCAUGAUCGGUGGCUUUUCUUGGAAUGGAUUUUGUAAAGAAGCUCUAUUGCUGUUCCUUGAAAUGAAGGGGGACUAUGGGACAAAACCAAACGGUGAGACCUUCAUAUCGCUUGUGUAUGCUUGUGCCGGUAUUGGGGUGCCUCAGCUUGGAAUGCAACUGCAUGCUCAGUUGAUUGUCAACAAUUGGGACCAUGAUGAUUAUGGUGGCAGGCUGUCAAAGGGCCUGAUUCACAUGUACUCGGCCUAUGGUAUCAUGGAUUAUGCAGACUUUCUGUUUAUGAAGCACUCAAAUACUCAUAGUGUUCAGUCUUGUAAUUCUAUGAUCAAUGGUUACAUACAUAUUGGGAAACUAGAACAGGCUCAGAACCUCUUUGACAGACUACCAAUCCGAGACAAGAUCUCUUGGACUUCUAUGAUCACAGGGUAUUUUAGUGUUGGGGAAGUAUCAAAGGCUUGUUAUCUGUUCCAAAUUAUGCCAGAUAAGGAUGCUAUUUCAUGGACAGCGAUGAUUUCAGGGCACAUCCAAAAUGAGCUUUUUGCAGAAGCCACUGAUAUCUUCUUUAAAAUGCGUUCAGAAGGUGUUUCGCCUCUGAGUUCAACAUAUUCAGUUCUUCUUGGAGCAGCUGGUGCAAUGUCAUAUCUUGAUUCUGGAAGACAGUUCCAUGGCCUUCUGACAAAAACACAUUAUGAACUUGACUUGUUUAUUAGUAACUCACUGAUCUCAAUGUAUGCCAAAUGUGGGGAAAUAGAUGAUGCUUACCGUGCAUUCUCUAACAUGAGUUUCCGGGAUUUGAUUUCUUGGAAUUCCAUGAUCAUGGGGUUUUCAGACCAUGGGCUUACAGAUAAAACUCUGAAGAUCUUUGAAGCAAUGGUGCAAUCUGGAACACAGCCGAACUCAGUAACUUUUCUGGGCAUCCUGUCAGCAUGUAGCCAUGCAGGGCUAGUCCAUAAAGGAUGGGAGUUUAUUAAUGCCAUGAGUGAUGUUUAUGGAAUUCAGCCAGCUCCGGAGCAUUGCAUCUGUAUGAUUAAUCUUUUGGGCAGAGCUGGGAAGGUAAAGGAAGCCCAAGAAUUGGUUAGGAGGCUACCUUUCAAACCAGAUCAUGCUGUUUGGGGAGCAUUGCUUGGUAUUUGUGGGUUCGGUAAAACGAAUCCCCAGGUUGCUAAAUAUGCUGCAAAACAACUCCUGGAGAUGGAUCCUUUAAAUGCACCAGCCCAUGUGGUCCUUUGUAACAUAUAUUCAGCAAAUGGUCUGCAUAUUGAGGAAAAAGCUCUGAGAAGGGAGAUGGGGUUGAAAGGAGUGAGAAAGGUUCCUGGCUGCAGUUGGAUUCUAGUGCAAGGGAGAGUUAAUGUAUUCCUCUCUGGAGAUAUAUUACACCCAGAUGUCGGUGAGAUGCUGUUAGUGCUAUUUGGCAAUAUGAGUGAAUCACAAAAAGAGUCCAGUACAGUUCUUUAUGUUUAGGUUAACUUUCACUGCACCAUUGCAUUUGAACAAGACAUUAUCAGAUCCUAAAAAGCACAGACUUAACAAGCAAAGGAGAAUCAGAAUUGGAUUCCAUUAGUACUCAAGGUUUUGCCUUUAUGUUGAACUAGUUUGUGCAAAAUGCUAUCACAUGUACAUUCGAAGAAGAAAGAUCGACGUGACACAGAAUUGAUCCCACAAUGGACGGUAAACUUGCUCACUUUUUUGUUUUCAACUAGUGUGAUAGUAUAGUAUAUCUUAGAUAUAAUAUCUAUCCUACUUUUGCAUGAGUAAAUUGCUCGAAUUAGAUUUAGUGGAAUCAGUCAUUCCAAAUGUAGACUAUAGUUAAGAACUGUAAUUUAGUUAUAAAAAAAUAAAAAAAAUAAAAAUCUUUCUGUUUUUCUUUUGGAUGACAACAAAGCAUGUUCAGGUAAGAUUUGGAUUCUACAUGCAUACACAGAAACACAAGCAUUUCAGUUGUCUUAUGCCCAGCAGGGGUAUUUGAGAUACCUAUUGAUUUGGAUGAUUAUGGUGUGUACUAAAAUUUAUGAUCUUAUAGGCCUGCUGAUGAGAAUGUUUAGGAACCCUUCCUAUACCAAGUGCCUCUUAAAGAUUCUGGAAGGAACAAAUCAUACUUGGAAGGAAUUAUUGGAUUCUAUAGCUAGAGAGGUUUGUAUUGAUGCUCAAUUGUUUAUUUACUUCUUGAGUUCACGUUACACCCACCAGAAAACCAGUGCUGCAUCCUAUAUUAGUUCCAGUAGCCUUCAUUGAUCUCCCAAUUGUUGUCACUUUUUUAUCGUCUUGUAUGCUUAUAAGUUAUAAGAACUCAUAAUUAUGUUCAUAAUGUUAUUUUCCGAGCCUUUUACUUGCUUUAUAACUCAGUGGGAAAUCAUUACAUUUUGCUCGUUCCUUGUUGCAUCAAAUUACGGUUAGCACGUAGGACUUGGUCUAUAUAUAUAUAUAUAUCUCAAAGCGCUUCUUUGAAUAGGAAAUUUUAAAACUUAAGGUGGGCAUUUUGUUAUUUAGAAGCAUAUCUUGCUAGUAGAGUAAUUGAUAGCUCAACUCUUUGAUCUCAGAAGUUGUUUAGUGAAGAUUUUGUCAGUGGAUACCUCACGAGAUCAUGAAUCUAAUGGCAGUCAUAGUCUCAAACAUUUAUAAAUUUUCCUUCCAGUUUUCACAUUCAGAUCAGAAGUCAUCAGUGCUAUUUAAGCAGACACGUAUGAAAUCCCCGCAGAGUGAGUUAAGAAAUCUUUAACUAGCUGUAGUAAAGAUAGGGUACUAAAGAAUAGGAAUCAUACAGCUAGCAAGAAUGAUAAACUAAGAAUUCUUAUUCUCUAAGUAAAGUUUGCCAUUUGCAGAGGCUAUGCAUCAUUCUGAAGUAUAGAACUAAUAGAAGGAAGUUACUGUAUUAAAUAACUUAAAGAAAUUAAUAAUAAAAUUUAGGUCGGAAGUUACAAAUUACUGAUUACAGUAAGGAAUGAAUCCUGCUAAUCUGUUAAUCCUCUUAUUCAAGCAUAUUUCUAUCUGAAAAGAAAAACAUAAUGAAUAAAGCAUAUACAUAAAAGAAAUGACCCUUGUACUCAGAAAUGAAGAAAAAUUGAAGACAUAAUCUUUUGCAUGUUUAUAAGUUCACUUGAACUCCCGAAUCAUAGGUUUGUCCAACUUCCCAGUCUUGUGGUAUGUUAUUCACAGGAACAACCCAAUUCUCAUCACCGUCAUCAUCACUGAAUAACAUCCUUAUUUGCAGGGGUCCAGUUGGAGGUGAGGUAGUUGUCCAAACUGCUCCAUAGCUCCGGUCCAGUAACUUACAGACAAAGUUUUGUGUCUGCAAAUAUUCAAAAAUGUUCCAGUUAAAAUGAAGAUGAUGACAUAAGUUUAAUAAACAAGUGAUGCUGAUAAGAACAAUAGGCUAAAAGGUAAGAAGAUGUUGAGUAACCAGAACAGAAACGUUCCUAGCUUGUUUUUCUUUUCCUGGUUUAAACUUUAAACUAUAACUGUGCUUGGGCUAGAGCAUGCAAGUAUUUACUGUGUUAUAACAGUAACCAAUGUAUGGAAAAAGUCUAAGUUGUUUUGGUUCAUAUAAUGCUUGGAUGAAAGUACCAAGUAUUAUCAAAUAUUAAAGAUUGAAUAAAGUAUAAACGAGUAUUAUUACUUGUUAAUAUUCAAAUUAAAUACCUCACAUAGCUGGACAGCUGUGAUAUCUUUCUUUCCUUGUUGGUACCAUAUUACAAAGGCCAAAUAAUAAGGAUAGUUACUGUUCUCAUCAAUCUUGAUUGUUAUAUUUUUGUUGGGGUAGCUGCAUGAAACACUGUUUGGGAAGAGAAUCAGAAAAGCAAUACUUGAGUUAGAAUCCAUCAUCCUAUUAAGUCUACCACAAACUAAGAACCAGAAGUUGAUAGCUAGAAAUGUUGCUCCAGUCUUUAGGCUCUUACCGUCUGUAUUCGAUAUCAACUAUACCAAGAGAUAGUAGAGAAGCAGCUGCAUCAGUUGUUUGAGCCAUCCUUGCAAACGCUCGUUGGCUGAGGAUAAAGUCUGUGCGAUCACUAGAGCCUGAAUCUGUUAUAACUACAGUUACUCCUUUGUCUGAGCAGUAGCCGCCAUUUGUGCACCUCACCUUGUGAUUAUGAAGGAUAAAAAGUUAUCACCUCAAACAGUACACAUACCGUUGAGACUUUAUAAUAUAAAGACCAUACUUUGGAAAUUUGUAGCCUUGCAUCACACUUUAUUAAACCACUGCAAUAAAGCACACACACAAAACCAAAUAUUCUGAUCUUCGUAGUUUAGCAGUCUUACCUGGUAACAAGCACCACAUCCAACCCCAUUGCGAAAGAGGUCAGAGGCUGCUGAAACAUCCCCACCAUUGAUUGUUGCUCCGAAUGUGCCGAACCCGCAAGCACCGACUACAGUUCAAUAGAAAAGGAAUUAAUAAGAAGCAUCAAAAUAUGCUGUUCAUUUCUAUCUUUGUUUUUUGUUCAAAUGAAAGUUAAAUGCUUCUUACUUUCUGUUCCUUGUGUUUCAGAAUUUGGAUAAUAAGCUGCUCGAGAUUGAACAAAGCAGUCAUUACACGUUGCAGCCUUACCGGCCAGUGUUUGUAAGAAAAGAAAAACGAUGACAAGGCACAAAGGUGAUCGCAGACAGAAAGCCAUUGUGAGACAGAAGAUGAGCAAAUUCAAUGAGAGGUAUAGCUGGAAUAUUGCAUGAAGCUAAAUGGUUACACAGGUAUUUAUAGUAACUAAGUGUAUCUUCAAUUUGGUAAACCUCGCCAACUUUGACAUUCUGCAAUUGUUACUGUUACUAUUGUUCUUUCAGCUUGCCUUCCUUGCUAUAGGCUUGUUUACCUGAUUUAGAAUAUUAUUGUGGAAAACUUGUUUACGACUUUUAAAUGUCGUUAUGAAUGUGAUUGUGAUAUUUUUUUCCCCUUUUGAAUCUCUUAUUAAAACUAGAAAAAGUCAUUACUUAACCUGUAUUCAAGUGUGAAUCAUUAUACUUACCAACUCCUAGUUGCAAUAUCCAAUGAGUGCGGUCUAUCUUUCUCUAUUAGGCAGUCUUGAUAAGAUAAUCUCUACUUUCUCAUAUCAUGGUUGCUCUUCAUUUGAUUUUUUUAAGUAAUUAAGAAGCAAUAAAGCAUGUCUUCGAUAAGAACUUUUAGGUAGGAAACAUUUGAUUCUUACAUCUAAGUUGAUUUGUGUGUUGCUAUUUGACCGAGAUAGGCAUAGUUGGAAACUGACUUUCGAAAACCAGAGAGAGAGGUCAGUAUAUGAGAUUGAGACCUUUGAAUGAAACGAAACGAAUGACUAUGCAAUGUGAUUUACUUGAAAUAGAAUUAGGAGUUAGAGUUAGGUGUUCUUGCACUAUGAAACCUUAUGUUAGGCAUCUAUAAUGUUCCCACCUUGGAGAAGUUUCUGUUAAUUAUGACUUCAUUGUGAGAGCAUGUUUUGUUCAUGAUUAUUGGACAAAGAUGGCUCAAUCUAUAAAAGGUGUCUGCCAACCACAUCCAGGUAAAUUUCCCCUGCAUAACUAUAUCUUAAUUUAGUGUAGAAUAAGAUAAAUAACCACAGUGGGUCACUAUUCAAUUGAUGGUAAUUAUUGGAUAUCAAACAUAACAUAGUAAUUUGUACUUGGGCUCAAAGCAUGUUCAAGUGUUCAACUACUAAAUGUCAUUGUUUCUUGAAUUUGACUCCAAGCAUGCCCCUAAAAACGAACUUUAUGAAUUUUUCUAUGCUAUAGGGCAGGCAUGGCAUAUAAUCUAUGAAACCCAGUUUGAAAUGCAUAUACUCAUGAGGGAGAAUGUUCUUCAUUUUCUCGGAAGUUGAUUAUUUGAUUGGCUGACCAGCACUAGCUUUAUAAAUAUUGUGACAGGCUAAUUGUGAAUAUGCUUUACAGUAGCAUGCCGAGGUGGACUGCCAUUGAAGAAGAGAAAAGACAUCCAUUGAACCAAAUCAGCCAUGACAUGGAAACCACUUUGAGGGUUUCAAAGUCCCUCCAAAUGACAACUCCUCAGGCUCAUUUUGCUUAGCGAAGGAAGAGGUAAGAGCUGGGAAAUGGGAAUUGCAUCAUAUGGUAUGGGAAUAGCUUUGAAACGUACGCGUUGCAUCAUAUGGUUGCAAAUUGCAAGGAAUAUAUUCUAUAUAUUCUGCAGACCUGCGGUUCCUUUCAACUGGUGGUUUAGCCUUUGAAGAAACUGAAAGUGAGAUUCUAUGUACUGGAGUUGACACCCUUACAAAUUGCUCACCAUACGUUCUUUCAUAAUUAUAUGCAAUUUUUAAGAACUAGAAAAAAACACUUUACUGAGAUGGUCCAAACUUCUUCAAAUCAAGUUAAGAUAUUUAAUUAAGAGAUUCAACAGCUAUGUAUUAUUAUGAAGCUGCAACAUAUCAAAAGCAACAGUAAGGCCCAGAACGUGAUUCUCCAACGGGUUGGAAGGCCAAGCAACACCACAUUCACUCACUGAGAAGAUUUGAUGAAGGCCAUGGAGAGAUGAAAGAAAGGAAAAAAAAACACAUUUGGUAUAUUGUUACAUUCUGUGAAGGGUUUCUUUCUCUGUGAUGUCCAAAAUACUCAAGUAUUGAGGUCAUGAUCGAAGUCAUCGCUCGUUCUAAUUAAGCUAUCAAUAUACCAGUCCAUCUGUUUGAUGCUCUUGGCAAUCAUGUUCCAAUAGGACUUAAAACAAACUACGUACUGCUCACACAGAAAGGAAUGCAACGAGCUUGGAUGCCUGUGCAGUUGUGGACCAGCAGCUAGCGAGAGCUACACAACCUAACCUGAUCGUUGUUCAUAGCUAGUUGGCCGAUUAGGGCUCACAUAAUAACCUAGCUGUGGCAACUCCAUCAAUUACAUAUGCAUGUACAUAACUACAUAUACAUCAGUCAUAUCAGCCAUAUGACAUAUGAGGGGAUCGAUCAGGUUUCCAUCCAAACACAAAAGGUGAAGAAGAUCGAUCAGCACACAAGAAACUACUUACACACAGUUGUUAGCUUGUUAAUUUGUUCUCAAUAAACUGAGCUUAGAACAAUUUUCUACGUAUGCAAUUGAGGUCUGGAGCUUUGUAUUAAACUAAUGCAGAAUGAUUCUGGAUAUGUAAAUAACAAUAUUCAGCCCUCAAGUAGUGGAUUGAGCGCAGCGCCAAUGAACAGAACCGUUCCCGUCAUGUCUUCUCUGAUCACGAACAUGAAUGGAUGAUCAGCCACAAAAUCUGUCUGAUAAGGCGAACACAUCAAACGGCGCCCGGGAGUAGCAGCUGCAGCUUUGGUGCCUUUUUCAUCAACUUCAACGACGGCUUUAUGAUAGAGGCUAGGAACAAUAGUGGCUCACCCACUACUCCACUAGUGAUUUCAUCACCUCUGUCAAACCUUUCAGAAGCCCCAAAUCCUUAACAACAUUGGGUUCAAAGCCGAAAGAAAACUUGAACUUUGGGAUUCUCAAGUCACCAACUCUUACUCCCCAAGAUGGAAUAUUAUAGUCAUCUAAUAAGCCAGGAUCGGAACCAAGUGUGUCAACCAAAGCCGGCAGACCAUCUUUUGCGUUCGGAACAAACAAGCGUAUGGAAUACCGCCGCAUGUCUUUUCCUUGUCGGUACCGGAGUUUCAAGACUUUGAAUCCGUCAAACUCGGUUAUGUACGUGCUGCCUCUCAUCGCUGGUCAUGUAAGGCACUCGUUUAAUUAGGUUCCCAUCGAGAAGUUGGAAGUCAUAUUUUUCGGUUUUUGACGCAUCAAACUCUUUGUCCCAAUCUCCUUUGAAGUACAAUGCAUUAGCAAAUAGGAGCCUCGUUAGGGCAUCAACUGAGCCCGGAGAAAGAGCACUAUUGAUGAGGCCGUUAGCCUCCUUGUCCAACCAUGAAUUCACUCUAGUUGUCACUUCCUCGUAGUCAGUCUUGAAAUCCACUCGGUUCAAAGCCGCCUUGUAAGCAUUGCCCCCUGCCUGUUCCAGAGAAGGCUCCAGAUGGACGGACUCAUCCACCCAGAGGCCAUUGGCACAUGAGAGGCGGGGCCCACCUUUUCGGGACCCGUCUGCAAACACCCAAGCCGCGAGCUUGGGGACCAAUAAACGGUCGUCUAGGGUGGAGUUGGUUUUGGAGUUGAGAAGAGAGACCACUGUUUGCAUGAAAAGCGGCGUGCAGACCAGGUUUGAGUCCUUGGCUUCGUUUAGAAGCAGCUUCUUUGUCAUUCCAAGUGCGAUGUUUGUCUGCUUUCUAAAUUCUAACGUAUUCUCGCAUAGGCUCAUCAAUCUCUAUUUCCUCAUCAUCAGAGGAAGAAACAAUUCCAUGGAGGGAAGGAGAGGUGGAUAGAGCUUUGGUGAAGGUUGUUAUUGGGGUCUGUAUGUUGUUAUUGUUGUUGCUGCUGGGUACGAGAGAGUUGGACCGAAGAAGAGGAAGACGAUUUACAUUAAAGGCUUAAACAAAGAAGUUAGGGUUCUGCUUUGAAACGCUUUCAACACAAACGCCAUGUUUGAGGUUAGACUGUUUAUCUCUCUAUAAGGGAAAUUAUUAUUUGUACCCGGAACACCACGUAGCACAUUAUAUAUAGUAGGGCCAGGCAUUUAAUCGAAUGUGUGCGAAAAACCGACCUAACCGAACCAAAAAAUUAAAUCGGAUAACUGAAUCGAAACAUUUGAGUCAAAACAAGUAAUGAACCAAUCCGAACUAGUUUAAAUCGGAUCGGAUCCGGUUCAAGCUCUUAAACAUUUACAAUCGGAUCGGAUUGGAACCAGUGUUAUUUGGUGGCUAAGGUUACCUAACUUCCAUACAGGUAUUUAUGGGCAUAAUCUAUCAUCAUUUACAAUGUUAUAUUUCAUAGUUUUUGUUCGAUCAUUGCAUGUGUUGACUUAUUGUUAUUACCAUGCAUGAAUGAAACUUUAUACGGAAAAUUAUUCACGAAAAAAAAAAAUUAACAAUAAUAAGGUAGUGUUGCGAAAUUUUAAUUAAAACUCGCAAGUGCACGAAUCGGUUGUAGUAUAGCUUAUGCAAGUACGAGGUCAUUCCAACUGAGUAUUGAUAAUUAAUCUAAAUUCUUACUCAAUUAAUAUAAACAAAUGACAAAAAACAAUCAAGAUUCGAAGAUAUGGUUUUUAGAUUUUCAAACAAACAAACAAACAAACAAACAAGAAAAUAAGUUGAGAAAACAAAGAUGGUAGAAUAUAGGGUGUCAAAAUCAACCACUAACAAUCUUAUUCAUGUAUCGAUGCAAUUAACACUCUUUCAUUUGUUUAGAUGACAAUUCUCGUAUGUAAGUCCAGGUACGACACUUAGACCAUAGUUUUCUUUAGUGUAUGAUGCUCUCCCUCUCGGAUAAAGGUCGAAUAUCCUAGCUAUGCAGUCUAUCCUUCUCAAGUAAUUUAACAUGCAUGCAUGACUCGUUACGUUUUAUAAAACAAAGAAAUCAAGCAAACCAUUAUUCUUUCUCAAACAACAAUCUAAUUCACCACACUUAAUCAUAAGAAGCUAAAUAAAUUAUAUUGUAUCUCUGCUUCAAAUUUAUCUUCCAAUCACUACAUGCAAAUUAAGUUCUAAGGUGAUCAAUCAAAGAACUUAAACAAAACGCAUAUAACCAAACAGUGAUCAAACAUUCAUCAUAAAGAAACUAUAAAUCAAUCAUAAAAAACAUAAACAAUCAUGUUAGGACAUCAUCCUAACCCUAGAAAAGGUUUAGCAAAACAUAACUAAAGGAAACAUAACGAAAACAUUAAAAGAAUGGAAAGGAAUGAAGGGGAAGAUGGAUGAAUGGUCUCCGCUACUUUAGGCGUCUACAAUGUGCUCUCGAGACCUCCCUUUCAUAUGAAAUUCGUGCUCCAUUAUAUAGAGAAGUUUCUUGCUCAUAUUGACUUCAAGUUUCCUCGUAGGACUUGGAUUCGUACUCCUUUCUUGAUUUGGAAUAUGAAAACCUUGAAAUAUUUCUUAUAGAAGUAAGAAAACAUGUACUCUUUGAAUCCUCAUCUGCAUCAUUUUCCUUGAAGCAUUAGGGUUGACGAUCUUGUGCCAUGGAACUUGAGUCCUCCACAAAUGCUAGCAAAUCCGAGCAGAUUUUCUGACGUGACUUCUUCACUCAAACAAUCAUAACUCAGUCUAGAAAUAUCAAAAUCGAGAUCCGUAAAAUGCUACAGAAAGUAGACAUCUGAAGCUUUUCAAUGAUAUAAUGUUCAUAGUCCGACUCGAUCUGAGUAAUUUCCAGUAAUUCGGCUAAGUUGGAUGUUCUGCACAAACAAAUUCUGACACUCUAGAUUGCAGUCACCUUUCGAUCAUUGUUUGCACAUUUUAGCUCAUUUUCUUCCCGCUACGACACAAACCUACAAAAACACUAAACUAACGUAAAUCAACUACAUAUAAGAGAACUAAACAUAAAUACAAAGAUUAGGAGGUAUAUAAAUAUAGGAUAACAUGAGCACAUCAUGUAGCAGAAAAUUGCAAAUAACUCAUCAAAGUUCAAGAAAAACUAAAUAUAGUUUUGAUGGGGCUAAGUUAGGUUACAGAGAAAGACAUAUUCCUAAUCCCUGGAUGACUAAUCGAAUGUGUGAAAUCAUUCUAUUAGUGAAUCAACUGUUGAUUGAUUAACUAAACCAUGCAUCGAUAUCCAUUGGGGCUACUGAAUCAGAUUCCAUAUAUGCAUUGUCAACCCGUGGAUAAAAUUCUUUGUACUCUUUAUAUAGCUUAAUAAGUAGCUCUUUAACUUGAGAAGAAAUCUGCUCAAUAUCCUCUUGCUUAGUUCCCACAUCAGUAUAACAAUAGGUAAUGUAGUCUAACUUCCAACAGGGAUCAUCAAGAACAUUAGCUACAAGCUUAAGCUGAUUUACUUUCUCAAACUUUCCCGAGUACUUGUCAAAUCUCAGCUUGAUGACUUUUGCAACCUUACACAAAAUUGCAUCCUCCUCAUUCUUAAUGCAUGAAUCCAAGUGCACAUGAAUAUAUAUCAUGAGGUAUUUGAUUUGAUGUAAUUGAUUUUGAUGCACUAAGAUUUAGGGUAGCCUCAUAAUAUAUAUAUAUAUAUAUAUAUAUAUAUACACUCAAUAAACGCUUCCGCAUUUUCCCAAUCAUCACUUUCAGGAGGCCCUACCAUCUUUUGAGUUCCAGUGUUGACAUAGCCUACAUCUUCAUCCCCUAAUCUUUCAAACACCUUUUGAUACUUCUAAGCUUCUACCAACAUCUAAUAAGUAGAGUGUCAUCUUGUCACCACAUCUAAACCCACACUGGCAUGUGGAUCCAUUUUUUCAAGAACAUCUAUUUCUCGAAACUUGUCCAACCUUUAAGAUGUGUCUAAUGUACCAAAUAGCAUUCCGGAUCCUUUAAAUAGACUCAUUCAACUCCUUUAUAACAUCUUGUACGAUUAAUUGAGAAUGUGACAACAACACCUUAAAUGCAAAUAAUUGCUACCAAGCUGUAAAGUCUUCCAAGUUGCCAAUUGCUUCUUCAUGAACUCAACGAAAGCUCGUCUCUUAUGAUGUAUUUUACACAAAUAAGCUUAGCUCUGUCCGGGUUAAAUUUUCAUGUCUUCAACUUAACAGCUCCAUCUUAUGUUUUUGCAAAAGUUAAUUAAGGUGCUCGAUCUGCCUUGUGUCUUUCGCCUCAUAUAAUGGAGAUUUUUUAACAGGAUUAUUUGAGAUGUUUACCGAUGGCACUAGUUCCAUUCUUCCUAGACACACACAUAAUUGUUGUACGACAAUAGUCACAUAGUCACAUAUGACUCUUUCAUCCUUAUUAGUCACACCAUCCUCCUUCAUCAUUUUAUAAUGUGUCCAAGCUUCAUAUUUUUUUUCUUCUUAUUUGAGGCACUGACAUCUUGUGGGACUAGAACUAGAGGUUGUGUUGAAAGAUUUGAGAUUGGAACUAGAACUGGAACAUGUCGAGCAAAGGUUGGAUUGAGAUUAUCGACCGGUUCCAUUACCUUUAUGAAAGACAUAGAUUAAAGAAUUGAGACGGAUUCCAAAGAUUAAACUAUCAAGGAUUAAACAAAUAAAAGGGCUGAGAUUAUCUAGGAUUAAAGGAAUCAAUUUGUGCUUUAAACUAAAGAUCAAUUAAACUAUCUAUCUAUUUUUCUGGUUUCAAAACAACUUUGUAGAUUGAAUCAUGAUGUGUGCUAUGGACAUCUUGUAGUUUUAUUGAGUUUAGCGUCAUGUAGACUAUAGUAUCUAUCAUAGGUUUUUAGAUUUAGGUUAGAGAAGAGAAUCAUGUGUGUACAGGGCUAUGAUAGGAAAAUUUCCAACCAUUAAGAACAUGACACAUAUAUUAAAAACUAUUAAAAUUAAUUAAAUAAAGUCGGUCUCAUUUGGUUAGCUCGGUUUUUUGGGGACAGUGAACCACAAACUGCCACAACAGUGGCUGGUUCUGUGUGGUUUCCGGCACCGAUCAACCGGCUUUGUCUAGUUCUGGUUUCCUUAGGUUGGUCUAGUGCGAUCAUUGCCGGUUUUUGGUUUUUCGGUCUCAAAAGGUCCACUCUACCCACAUUAAGGUUAGCCAUAGUCGGCAUUUUUUCUGAGUUUCUAUGUGUCUCUCUUUUGGGUUGGGAGGCUUUGUUUGUGUCUAUUAAAACUUAUUUUGAGCUUUUGUUGAAUUUAAAGGGGAGGAAUUGUUUGCAGUUUCUUGAUUUCACUUUCCAAAAAGUUUGUGCUAACUUCUUUCAACUAUAUAAAAUAACAUAGAACUUUAAUAGCUAGUGACAAACCUCAACAUCAAUCAACAACCCUUCUUGAGAGUUUACGAUACUCUUUAUCAAACGAUGAGUUUUAAAGGUAUGCAAAGUAACAAGUUUUAGAGCUUCUUCUUUAUCCAUCACUUGAGCUUGAUAUAUAGAAUAUUCGCACCAAGUUCUUUUAGCAAAUGUUCAUCUUUUGUUGUUAUAAUGACAUUGCGUCCCAUACCAAAUGAGUCAUGGUCUAUUUGUUAAUGCCUUCAAUUGUUCCACUUGGUCGACAUCAUCAAUUACAAAAAUUACCUUUCUACAUCCGAGUUUUUUUUUUAUCACAUUGACCCUGCUAUCAACAUGACCUACCUUUGCGAUGCUUGUUUUACAAAUAUUAGACUUGCAAAGUAAGCAUUCCAUUCUUUUGCAUAGUUUCUCUUACAUUAUGAAGAAAACUUGAAGUUUCAAAAGGUUUGACGAAAUUUUUUGGAAAGAUGAAGCGUCAAUUGGGGAAGGCGUACGACUCACUGGAUUUGAUAAGAUAGUUGAUUCAUUCGUUGAUGAAACACUUCGACAUUCUAUAGAGAACAAUUAGAAGAUGUCACAUCCCAGGACCAAUUCCGCCGUAACACGAUAUUGUCCACUUUGGGCCCACCGGCCCUCAAGGUUUUGUUUCCGGCAGCUCAGGAGCAGCUUCCCAGUAGGUCACCCAUCUUGGGAUUGCUCUAGCAUCAUCAUGCUUAACCUUAGAGUACCCAUCCCCUCCGAAGCCGCUGAGCCACCAAAAAGCCUCGUGUUAGAUUGGAGGUGGGCAUGUACAUAUACAGCACAUAACCUCUCUCCGUUUGGCCGAUGUGGGAUAUUACAAUCCACCCCCCUUGGGAGUCCGACACCCUCGUCGGCACACUCGCACCACACGGCAGAGUGGCUCUGAUACCAUUUGUAACACCUCAGGACCGAUUCCGCGGUAACACGAUAUUGUCCGCUUUGGGCCCACCGGCCCUCACGGUUUUGUUUCCGGCAGCUCAGGAGCAGCUUUGACACGACCCACCCCGAAUUUCACUCUGAAACCUAGAGUAAGUCGUGCGGGGACCACCUCCAAGGAAAAUUUACUGAAAAGUUUAAGAAAAUCUCCCUUGCAGAUGGACAACCCUAACUCGAAAAUUUCAUAUUACACUCUUAAUUUAACACUUCUGAACAUCACAUAAUAUACAAAAAUUCUAAAGUAUUCAGAGCUACUAAACAACAAGCGGAAGACAAGAAAACAACGAGUAGGUUGNNNNNNNNNNNNNNNNNNNNNNNNNNNNNNNNNNNNNNNNNNNNNNNNNNNNNNNNNNNNNNNNNNNNNNNNNNNNNNNNNNNNNNNNNNNNNNNNNNNNNNNNNNNNNNNNNNNNNNNNNNNNNNNNNNNNNNNNNNNNNNNNNNNNNNNNNNNNNNNNNNNNNNNNNNNNNNNNNNNNNNNNNNNNNNNNNNNNNNNNNNNNNNNNNNNNNNNNNNNNNNNNNNNNNNNNNNNNNNNNNNNNNNNNNNNNNNNNNNNNNNNNNNNNNNNNNNNNNNNNNNNNNNNNNNNNNNNNNNNNNNNNNNNNNNNNNNNNNNNNNNNNNNNNNNNNNNNNNNNNNNNNNNNNNNNNNNNNNNNNNNNNNNNNNNNNNNNNNNNNNNNNNNNNNNNNNNNNNNNNNNNNNNNNNNNNNNNNNNNNNNNNNNNNNNNNNNNNNNNNNNNNNNNNNNNNNNNNNNNNNNNNNNNNNNNNNNNNNNNNNNNNNNNNNNNNNNNNNNNNNNNNNNNNNNNNNNNNNNNNNNNNNNNNNNNNNNNNNNNNNNNNNNNNNNNNNNNNNNNNNNNNNNNNNNNNNNNNNNNNNNNNNNNNNNNNNNNNNNNNNNNNNNNNNNNNNNNNNNNNNNNNNNNNNNNNNNNNNNNNNNNNNNNNNNNNNNNNNNNNNNNNNNNNNNNNNNNNNNNNNNNNNNNNNNNNNNNNNNNNNNNNNNNNNNNNNNNNNNNNNNNNNNNNNNNNNNNNNNNNNNNNNNNNNNNNNNNNNNNNNNNNNNNNNNNNNNNNNNNNNNNNNNNNNNNNNNNNNNNNNNNNNNNNNNNNNNNNNNNNNNNNNNNNNNNNNNNNNNNNNNNNNNNNNNNNNNNNNNNNNNNNNNNNNNNNNNNNNNNNNNNNNNNNNNNNNNNNNNNNNNNNNNNNNNNNNNNNNNNNNNNNNNNNNNNNNNNNNNNNNNNNNNNNNNNNNNNNNNNNNNNNNNNNNNNNNNNNNNNNNNNNNNNNNNNNNNNNNNNNNNNNNNNNNNNNNNNNNNNNNNNNNNNNNNNNNNNNNNNNNNNNNNNNNNNNNNNNNNNNNNNNNNNNNNNNNNNNNNNNNNNNNNNNNNNNNNNNNNNNNNNNNNNNNNNNNNNNNNNNNNNNNNNNNNNNNNNNNNNNNNNNNNNNNNNNNNNNNNNNNNNNNNNNNNNNNNNNNNNNNNNNNNNNNNNNNNNNNNNNNNNNNNNNNNNNNNNNNNNNNNNNNNNNNNNNNNNNNNNNNNNNNNNNNNNNNNNNNNNNNNNNNNNNNNNNNNNNNNNNNNNNNNNNNNNNNNNNNNNNNNNNNNNNNNNNNNNNNNNNNNNNNNNNNNNNNNNNNNNNNNNNNNNNNNNNNNNNNNNNNNNNNNNNNNNNNNNNNNNNNNNNNNNNNNNNNNNNNNNNNNNNNNNNNNNNNNNNNNNNNNNNNNNNNNNNNNNNNNNNNNNNNNNNNNNNNNNNNNNNNNNNNNNNNNNNNNNNNNNNNNNNNNNNNNNNNNNNNNNNNNNNNNNNNNNNNNNNNNNNNNNNNNNNNNNNNNNNNNNNNNNNNNNNNNNNNNNNNNNNNNNNNNNNNNNNNNNNNNNNNNNNNNNNNNNNNNNNNNNNNNNNNNNNNNNNNNNNNNNNNNNNNNNNNNNNNNNNNNNNNNNNNNNNNNNNNNNNNNNNNNNNNNNNNNNNNNNNNNNNNNNNNNNNNNNNNNNNNNNNNNNNNNNNNNNNNNNNNNNNNNNNNNNNNNNNNNNNNNNNNNNNNNNNNNNNNNNNNNNNNNNNNNNNNNNNNNNNNNNNNNNNNNNNNNNNNNNNNNNNNNNNNNNNNNNNNNNNNNNNNNNNNNNNNNNNNNNNNNNNNNNNNNNNNNNNNNNNNNNNNNNNNNNNNNNNNNNNNNNNNNNNNNNNNNNNNNNNNNNNNNNNNNNNNNNNNNNNNNNNNNNNNNNNNNNNNNNNNNNNNNNNNNNNNNNNNNNNNNNNNNNNNNNNNNNNNNNNNNNNNNNNNNNNNNNNNNNNNNNNNNNNNNNNNNNNNNNNNNNNNNNNNNNNNNNNNNNNNNNNNNNNNNNNNNNNNNNNNNNNNNNNNNNNNNNNNNNNNNNNNNNNNNNNNNNNNNNNNNNNNNNNNNNNNNNNNNNNNNNNNNNNNNNNNNNNNNNNNNNNNNNNNNNNNNNNNNNNNNNNNNNNNNNNNNNNNNNNNNNNNNNNNNNNNNNNNNNNNNNNNNNNNNNNNNNNNNNNNNNNNNNNNNNNNNNNNNNNNNNNNNNNNNNNNNNNNNNNNNNNNNNNNNNNNNNNNNNNNNNNNNNNNNNNNNNNNNNNNNNNNNNNNNNNNNNNNNNNNNNNNNNNNNNNNNNNNNNNNNNNNNNNNNNNNNNNNNNNNNNNNNNNNNNNNNNNNNNNNNNNNNNNNNNNNNNNNNNNNNNNNNNNNNNNNNNNNNNNNNNNNNNNNNNNNNNNNNNNNNNNNNNNNNNNNNNNNNNNNNNNNNNNNNNNNNNNNNNNNNNNNNNNNNNNNNNNNNNNNNNNNNNNNNNNNNNNNNNNNNNNNNNNNNNNNNNNNNNNNNNNNNNNNNNNNNNNNNNNNNNNNNNNNNNNNNNNNNNNNNNNNNNNNNNNNNNNNNNNNNNNNNNNNNNNNNNNNNNNNNNNNNNNNNNNNNNNNNNNNNNNNNNNNNNNNNNNNNNNNNNNNNNNNNNNNNNNNNNNNNNNNNNNNNNNNNNNNNNNNNNNNNNNNNNNNNNNNNNNNNNNNNNNNNNNNNNNNNNNNNNNNNNNNNNNNNNNNNNNNNNNNNNNNNNNNNNNNNNNNNNNNNNNNNNNNNNNNNNNNNNNNNNNNNNNNNNNNNNNNNNNNNNNNNNNNNNNNNNNNNNNNNNNNNNNNNNNNNNNGCGAUCUCUAAAACCUAUGAAAUUUUGACAGAAUAAUCUCCUCAACAUGCUCUACAACUUUCAUGACCAACACAUCACCCAAUUCCAAGCCUAACUAGGCUAAUCGAACGAAAAUAACUUAAAAGCCUAGAAAUUUCAACUCCACAUUUCUCCUUACCUAGCUCAAGAGGGAGAGAGCUGCUUGGAGGGGUUGUUGCACGGGAGGAGGGCUGCAAAACCGUACCAAGCUUGCCCGGAUUGGUGGCCGGAGGAGGAAGUUCCGGCGAGAAAACCGAUUCGGCAGUCGGAGCUUUCGGGCGGCGUUUCUCCCUCACGACGGCGCUAGGGAGGCUUCCACCGGUCUAGAAAUGUUGCUGGGAGGGAGACCGACCGAACGGGACCGGUCCGGCGGCGAACGGAGGCCGGACGGCGGCCGGAAACUUUUCUGGGUGUAGAGAGGGGAAAACCGGGUGAGAAGAGAGAGAGAAUCGGGAGGGAGAGAGAAAAAGAAAAGAAGAAGAAAUGGGUUGGGCUCGGCCCAGCCGACCCAACACUCCUUUUAACCCAAAAUUCCAAAAUUCAACACCCCGAAAUAAAACCCCAAUAAAAAUUACCUUUUACUAGCUAAAAUUUACCAUUUUUACCGUCGUCGAAAUUUCCUCAUACUAAUAAUCCUCCGCACAUAAUCGUCCCCGAAACCCCUCUAGGGACCAAUUAAACUAUUUACUCAAUGAUCGAGACGGUAAAAUUCUUAUUAUAAUCACGCUAGUAAAUAAGAUAAAAAUAUAAGGGUCGGGAUGUGACAAGCUUCCCAGUAGGUCACCCAUCCUGGGAUUGCUCUAGCAUCAACAUGCUUAACCUCGGAGUACCCAUCCCCGCCGAAGCCGUUGAGCCACUAAAAGGCCUCGUGUUAGAUUGGAGGUGGACAUAUACAUAUACAACACAUAACCCCUCUCCGUUUGGCCGAUGUGGGAUAUUACAGAAGAUGUGUAACUAGAGAUACGAUGACAGUUUUCACGCCUCUUAAUAAGACAUUUUUGGAUGUUAGAAAUAAUAAUAAACCUAUAGGACAUUUUUUGAACAUCAUAUCUUAAGAUACUAAAUAAUGUUUUUUAAGUUAUAAGAAUGUUUUCUCAAAAUUCAAGAUAAUAUAGGACGUUUUUAUAAGGAUAUGAGGAUGCUUUUCACAUCCUAGUAGGACAUUUUAUAAUGUUUAUUCUAAUGCACUCAUCAAAAGGCACCAUGCAAUCAAAGUUUUAAAUAUAAAAAAAAAUGUGUAAGGCGAAACGUUUUAUUUCCAUCCUUGAAAUCUUUAAGGCUUCAAGGCAUAACUUUUUAUGUUGUAUCAUGCUUCAAGGAAUUCACUACCCCAGUUGAAGGAAAUUCUUGAACUCCUCUGUAUAUGGAUUUUCUUGUGGAUGAAGCUUAGUGGACAACUGGAACAAGCUUUCAGGAUUCUUGACCUUAAACUCAUAUUGUUUUCGUUGGCUAUCCUGUUGAUGGUAUAUCUUCCCCAGACAUUGAUAUUGUCAAUGUCUAUCAAGCUGGUAGUAUCCUCAUCUUUCAUUAUGUUUACACAUUGCCAAAUGAGAUCACUGUACGUAAACAAAAGGAUUAUGAAUAUUUUUGACCUUAAGUAUUUUUGUAAAAUAAAUUUAUGAUUUCAUUUAUUUAGAUGAAAUAUGACCACAAAAAUGCAGAUAAAUUGAGCUUAAAUCGAUGAUAACACAUGACUGUAGAAGAUAACUGUAUCUGCAUGUGUCAGAAGGUUACUUAUAGAAUUAAGAACUAUUUAUCCAUCCUUCAUAUCAGUACUCAUGUUGAGUUGAUUAUAUGAUUAACAAUAUGUGUAUUCAUUAUCUGCUAUUUUGAAGAAUCUUUAGUAACCAGUAGUAUGAAAAAAGCUAACCUUUUUUAACUUGAACAUAUUUAUUUAAGUAUAUGUACUCAGAAUGUCAGUUGACAUUUUCAAUAUAUAUGUCAUCUGAAUAAAACGUUGUUUGCUGAAAUCGUAUUUAUACUAAAGAAUGUAACACUAUUCUCUUCUUUCUCUAUGUUUUUUUGGUUCUUUUUCUAUUGUCAAUUAAUGCUUUUAUUCAUCCUAAAAUGUGAAACUUAAAAGCAUGCUAGUAAAGUUAUAAAUUGUUCUUGUGCUAAUGACUAACUAAAUUUUUUCAUCAAUCAUGUACCUCGCAGAGAGAUGGCAUACAGCUGAUCAUGGAGAGAGUUACAAAUUUGUGUUUUUUCUUUAUUUGAAAUUGUAUACUAAAAAUGUAAGUUCAAAUUACCUGUUCAAAUUACAUGUAUUGUCCUUGGGGUGUGUUUGUCUGGAAAAAAAAAAACAAAACAAAAAAUGCUUUUUUUUUUCGUUACAGAAGGGACCUAAAAGGCCCAAACAAAAGAAAAACAAAAAAAACUACAGACUAAAUACUGGAGCAAAGUCCAGUUCUUCUUGCUCUAGUAACACCAGCAAGAUCAUCUAAAACAGCUUGAGCAGCAUGAGCAUGGACAUUAGCAAAAGUGAUCAAACCAAGAUCAUGGCUGAUACUAUCCUUAGCCAAGGCAUCAGCUACCAUAUUGCACUCUAUGAAAAUGUGAUUAAGUUUUGCAUUUUGUAAAUUAGCCAUCAUUGCAACACAACCAUCAAGUAAAGAGCCUAAUUAAGGGAUGAAUCCCAUUAUCAGAUUUAAGCAUGAGUUGAACCAGCACAGCAAAAUCUGACUCAAUCUCAAGGUUGACAAUUGGGUGCUUAAACACCAGCUUAAGACCAAAGAAGAGCCCCCAAGCUUCAGCAUCAAGGAUUUCCCCAAUACCAAAAAAAAAAAUAUAUUUUGAUCAUUUAUAAAGGAGUGGUUUUAAAUAUACAUCCCAAAUAACUUAAUACACAUCCUUAUUAUUUGAUAUUUCAAAUCAUAUUUGAUUAACCACCACAGGUGGUCGAGUUGGUAAAAACCUAGGUGUGGAACCCUCAUACCCAGGUUCGAAUCCCAGCCGACGCUAAAUAUUGGAGUUAAAUCCCAAUUUAUUCUUGGUGGCCAAGGAGGAGGAAACGUUCUAACAUGAUCUCUCGGCGCAGAUUAGUCUGGAAAGCCUUUGAGGAUACCGUCGUUGAUACUCUAAAAAAAAAAAAAAAAAACAGAUUUGAUUGGUAUGUUAAAUGACCAAAAGAGGCAUGUGUAAUACAGUAAUACAAUUUAAAUACUAAAAACAAACUUAUAUUUGGAAACUAAUAAUGUGAAAUAUAAACCAAAUUAAAAUAUUAAAAACGAAAACUUAUUUUUGGAAACUUAUAAAGUGAAUUAGAACAAAUUAAAUUUUUAAGAUCGAAAACUUAUUUAGGGAAACUAUUAAAGUAAACAAAAAAUUUGCAAGGAAAUUUGGAUAAUAAAUUAAUUUCUUUUUUGUCCUUAAAGAUUCAUAAUUUCCAAGUUUAGAGUCCCAAAGUGUUAAACGAUGUAAUUGUUAUGCGUAUGAACACCUAUUUCGUUAUAUUUCAUAUAUUUUUUCUUUUCACCCAAACACACUAUUCAAAUAUGUAUUUUUCAUCUUGUUUAUCAUCUUCAUGUUUAAGAAUUUGAAAUGAACAAUGAAUUAUAAGGAUUUCUCAAGAAAUAACACUAGUAAUAGAUAUGAACAUCUAUAAAAUGUUAAUUUAUAUAAAUAUAUACUUAUUAUACAAUAAUAAUGGUGUUAAUAUAGUCACAUAAUAUUAAGGCUGGGCAUUUAACCGAAUGUGUACAAAAAACCGACUGAACCGAACCGAAAAACUGGAUCGGAUAACCGAACCGAAAAAUUUGGGUCAAAACAAGUAGUGAACCGAUCCAACCAGUUUAAAUCAAAAUUGAAACCAGUUCAAGCUCUUAAACAAACCGAAAAUAACCGAACCGACCCAGAUUAUAUAUAAUGUGUGUGUGUAUAAUUUAUACACAUGAAACGCUAUUAUAAUUAGUUGAUUUCAUCUCUACUGACAGUGUACUCUCCCACACUUAAUAUCUCCGUAUAAAAGACAUUUUAUCAUUUAACUCAUUUCUUGGAAAAAUUUGUUAGUGUAGAAAAGAUUGGGAGUGUAUUUGAUUGUUUGUUAUACUUUAAGCAUGUUACUCAAGUCAAAAACAUGAAAUUCAACUUUACAGUAAGAUACUAGAUCGAUGGGCUAAAAGUUUUUCAAAUAUGGAUCAAAACCGAAACAGACCCGACCCGAUCCGAAAAUUCAGAUGGGCCGAAUAUUCGGGUCAAAGGUUUUAAAAUCUAGUUUCGGUUGGAAAAAACCUUAAACCGAAUUAUUUGGAUUAGUUUUGGUUUUGUCCUAAAACCGAUCCGAACCGAAGAUGCCCAUCCCUACAUAAUAUGAUAUUUCAUGGAUUUUUAAAUUAAGGGUAUUUUGGGUUGUGUAUUUAGUAAAAUAUCUGAAUGAGAAAUUAAAUAAGUGAUAUAUUGAGAAAGAGAUGUGUAUUAAGUUAUUUGGGGUGUGUAUAUAAAAUUUCUCUUUAUAAACGUGUAGUAUAUAUGUAAGACAUCAAAGCAAUAAUAAGUUCAGUGUUAUCCUCUAAAAAAAAAGUUAAAUGUUAUAGAAUAUUUACAUGUGUGUGUCAUUGGUCUUAUGCUAGUCCAAUAAAAAAUCUUUAUUCUGUGUAGAGAUUGGUUUUCAUCUUUGUAAUCCAUAUAAAUAUGACACCUAUCAGUGAAUAAGAUGAUAAUAGUUCCACGACUAUUUUUUUUAUUCUCUAUUUCAUCGCUCAUACUUAAUCAUUCACUCACCUAAUUAACUUAAAUAUCAAAAUUAAGUUAACCUUUGUGCCUAGCUCUUUAAAAUUAAAUUAAGUUAAAUUGUGUGCUUCAUGCAACGUUGGUUGUCUAGUCUUAGUUUUCAUGAGUUUUCUUGCAAUAAGUUCAUCUUCGUGCCUCUUUCUUCUAUAUUAUUUCAUUCUUUGACCAUGUUGUCUUUUAUGUGUUUGUAAUUUGUGUGAUUCAUGCACCGCUUGUCAUUGUCUUAUUUUCAGUUUUAUUCAGUUAUUUGAAACAAUCUUUGUGCCUCGAUCACUACUCUUUUAUAUUUUUUCCUUUUUUUGUGCCAUGUUUUCUUUUGUGUCUAUAAAUUGUGUGCUUCAUGCACUACUUGUUAUCUUAUCUCCAAUUUUAAUAAGUUUGAUCUCUUUUGCAAUAAGUCUAUCUACAUGUCUCAUUCUUCUAACCCUAUUUCUUUGGCCCAUGUCUUCUCUCCAAUUCAGUCAAGUUCUUUCGCACAAUAAGCUCAUCUUUGUGUUUCAAUUUGUUAACGUUCAAGUUGUUGGCUCAAAAAUAAUUUAGUUGCAUGGCUUAUUUUUAUUUUGUUGUUGUUGAGAAAAUAGACAAUUUUAUUAACUUGUCCAUGACCAGAAAAUGGUUAAAUCAAUUUUGCUACUCACGACCAAUAAGUCUAAUUAACAACAAGCACUAACAAAGAGACAAGUAGCCUUCAUUACAAAUGCGCUCAGUUAAGCCUAUCACACCUAACUUCCAACUAUUCAUAUCUAAAUUCUAUGUAGCGGUAAUAUCCGUCGCCUACAGACCUCAAUUGGUGUACAACAAACAACAAUGUAAAACUGAAAGCUAAACAAGAAUAGUCCUCCAUCAGAUGUCUAGGUAAGAAACAAGGAAAUUAAACUACCUCCUUACCCUUAUUAUUAGGGCUAGCCUCUGCCCGAUCAAACCUCGAGGAUGUCAUGUGAGACGGAGCAGACAAAUUCUAGGCAAGGUUUGGCUCAGGCCCACCUAAAACCUUACAUAAAGGAAUAACCCCAAAUCCAAGCCCAUACCUUAGCAACACCAAUCCCUUCUUUCCUCUAGGCCAAUAACACCACUCUUGCCAGCCACCUUAUGCGAACCUCCGGUUGCCAUAAUUUCUUGUCAUCAACAAGUCUAAGCGGCGCCAAUGGACUAGAACGGAGCCCCAAAAGCGCUGUCUUGCAGCCCUCAUGUCCAAGCGGUCCCGUCGGAUAGAAAAAGCAGCCCCGCCAGUAGCUGAAGCCAGAGGCAACGAAACUUGCUGAGGUAGCAUCAAUAGAGGCCAUGGAGAAAGUGAGAUGGGUAGGCUAGGUUGAAAAGUAGAGAUUUGUGUAGUUUUGGCGUGAAACAGAGGUCGCAGCGCUAGGGUUUUGGGAGAAAAGUAGGUGAGUGGAGGCUCUUGGCUUCUCAGAGCAAAAACCGAGUCCUUUUAGUUGCAUGGCUUAUUAAAAUUUCGGAUCGUAAAUGUAAUUGGAUAAUUUUCUUAGUAGUGGUACCACCCUCUACAAAAUCCAAUCUAAACCCAUUUUCAAGAAUAAAAGAUGGAAAUUCGAACAACUGAAUAAAUAGAACUUUAUAUAUAUGUACAUAUUUUAUACCAAGACGUACUUAUAUGAACGGCACGCAGGAACAUACACAGUUCAUUCUUAGUCAUUCAAAACCAUUUGCAUGUAAAGACUACGAACUAUGUAUCUUUAUUAUGUCAUCUAAUUUUGAUCAUUCACAUAUGUAUACGUAAAUACACGCCUUGUACUGUAUUAAAGAUGUUCUAAUUUUGAUGCAUGUUUACGAAAUGUUAUUUAAAAAUAAUCGAGUCAUUUUUCAAGAAAACAAGUUAUCAGAUCAUUAAUAAUAUUUUAGUGAAAAUCAACAUAAUAAUAUCAAUUAAACUCUAAAACCCAAAAUAAUAAUUAAUUUUAAAUAUCAGACUUUCUGAAAAAAGGAAAAAACGAAAAAUCACCACCGUUUUUCCGUGAAUGAUAAGAAAGUAAAUCCCACAAGAAACGUGUUUCAUGACACGUGUUUAAAUACUAGAUUACCACGUUGUCAUGGCAGUAGAUUUGGUUACCCCUUUCAGUUUCCUUUAUAAAAGCUUUUCCUUUUGAUCAUCAACCAACAUAAUUUCUGUUUCUCUCCCUCUGCCGGUGACCGUGACCGUGACGACGACGGCAAGUUCUUCUCACUCCGUACGUUAUUUUUUUUUUUCUUCCUAGACCUUCCCUUUGAUAUUUGGUGGACGUUUGGAUACCGCUUGAUUUGAAUGGUGCUGCAUGCUUCAUGCUUGUCUCUUCAACUAUCAGUUUUCACCUCUUUACUAUUGUUUGAAUAUCAGUAUAUAAAGUUUAAACAUGAAACAUUGCUUCUUGAACUUUGAGAAUUAGCAAAUUCAGUUUAGGGUAGUGAAAUGUUUUCUUCCAUACAAAGUGAUCAAAGGUGUUACAAGACUACCAUAUUAUUUAGUACAUUAGUUUUCCUAACUUAUCAACUAAGACGAUUAAUGUAUCGAUUGUAAUGUGCGGAACGGAGAAUUUCGUCUAGUUACAAAGGAAGUUUCCCCAUAUUUAACCAUGAAAAAGAAAAAACCAAAUUCAAUUUGAUUUGGAAAUUAUGAUUCUGGUGGUGUUACAGAUGUGAGCAAUACACGAAAUGGGAAAUUCCCGUGAAAUUGUUCUAUUCCCCAAACGUUGGGAAUGUAGGAAAUUUCCUGCAAGUAUGAAACUGAAUAAUAAUAUUAAUAUGGCUGUGGAUAAAGUCAGGUCAUCUUCAUCAUCGAAACCGAACCCCACUACCUGGUGCCACUGUCCUCUAUCUCUUUCCUUCUCUUAACUUCAUCUUCACUCUCCCUCCCCCCUCCCUUUGUUUCUUUCUCUAUCUCUAAGUAACUAAAUUUUCCCUCACUCUGGUUGCACCUUAUAUAUUCAAACGCUUUCAAAAGCAGCAACUACCACAUGAUAUAUGCCUAUGCUCACAAGCAUCUCAUUCUCUUUCACUUUGAGUGAUCUUCACAACCUUUCCCAUACAACUCAUCUCCAUUUUGGUAUAUAAAGCGGGUGUUGUUCUGCUUCUCACUUGCUAAUUUCUUAGCCAGAUUGAUCAAUGGAGAAGUCAAUGAUCGAGAAGUCAAUGAAGCCUAAGCAGACGAGUGUUCAGAGGCUGUGCUGCUCUGUUCAGAACUAUGAUUGGGGGAAGAUAGGCCCGGACUCUGAGGUGGCCAGGCUCUAUGCUUCCAAUUCCGGCUCUGAAAUCGACCCGGAAAAGCCUUAUGCUGAGUUUUGGAUGGGAACUCAUGAUUCAGGACCCUCAUUCUUGAUUCAGAAGGACCUCAAUGGGAUGUCCAUGUCCCUCAAGGAGUGGAUUUCGACCAACUCGAAUGAGCUGCUUGGUCAUAAAGUCGUCCAGAAGUGGGGCUCUGACCUCCCUUUCUUGUUUAAGGUACUGUUACCAUAACUGUCCUAAUUCAGUUAUGCAUCAAAAUCACCUUUUCAAUUCAAACAUUGUGAUGGUUUUGUUCUUGUUUCGGAAUUAGGUGCUGUCUGUGAGGAAAGCAUUGUCGAUACAGGCUCAUCCGGAUAAGGAUUUGGCCAAACUUUUGCACAAGUUUAUGCCGAGUGCUUACAAGGACGAUAAUCACAAGCCUGAGAUGGCCCUUGCUAUAACUCAUUUUCAGGCUCUUUGUGGCUUUGUCACUCUUGAGGUACAUAUCCUCGUUCUGUCACUUUCUCACAUUUUUAAGAUAUGAACAAUCGACACCCUUUGUUUUUCUCAGCAUAGAUAUUCCUGCUAGCUAGCCAAAUUGUUUGUUUCCUGAUUAUCCGAUCCUUUUCGUGAUAAUCAUUACUGAUUUCGAAUGCUUACGUGCUUUCUCUGUUAACUUUUGGUUUGGUCAUUAAACAAGUAAUUGACUUGUAACUGUGAUUGCCUAAGUUUGGGUCCCAAAAAAUGUCAUUAUGCCAGAAAUUUGACAUAAUGCUAAAAAGGUCAAAAAAGCUUGGUAUGCAAAUUUGAGACCACAGAUCACCACCCUUUAUUAUACAAUAUUCCAAAUUUUAUUUUUAUGAUUAAUUGAGUAAUAAUAUGCAGGAGCUUAAAGGUGUGCUUGAUAAUGUCCCUGAGAUUGUACAAGUGGUUGGUAGUGAAGUAGCAAACCAAGUGUUUGACACCACAAAUGAAGAUGGGGAAGAUAAAGUCAAGUCUGUUCUGCGUUUAAUUUUUACCCAACUCAUGUCAGCAACCAAAGAGAUUGUGACUACAGCAACGACCAAACUGAAAAAUCGCUUACACAUGGAAAAUCAGGUAAGUAUUUCCAGCAUUGAUCGAUCAAUCAUUUUAUCUUCAAUAGUCGAUGACACUGUUUGAUAUUGACUUGAUCAGGUGAGGCAGUUGACAGAGAAGGAGCAACUGGUGUUGGAAUUGGAAAGGCAGUAUCAUGAUGAUGUUGGUGUCAUAUCUGCUUUCUUUCUCAACUAUGUCAAGCUUAGUCCCGGAGAAGCAUUAUACCUCGGAGCAAAUGAACCUCAUGCCUAUAUGUUUGGUGACUGUGUCGAGUGCAUGGCAACUUCUGAUAAUGUAGUCAGGGCCGGCCUCACUCCCAAGCAUCGGGAUGUCAAAACCCUUUGUUCUAUGCUCACAUAUAAGCAGGGCUGCCCUGAAAUUUUGAAAGGAGUUGCCUUAAAUUCUUAUGUGACAAGGUACCUCCCACCUUUUGACGAGUUUGAGGUCGAUCGGUGCCAUCUUCCCCAGGGAGAAUCAGUGGAAUUUCCUGCAGUCCAAGGUCCUUCCAUUUUCGUUGUCACUUUUGGGGAGGGAAUCAUAUAUACAAGCGAUUUUACAGGAGAUAUAAAUAUCACACAAGGAGAGGUUCUUUUCGUGCCUGCAGGUACGGAAAUUGGCAUAACAAGUGCAUCUGAGUUGCACAUAUAUAGAGCCGGAGUGAACAGCAUGUUCUUUCAACUCCCAUAAUUCCAGAAUCCAUGAGCUUCUUGGGAGAUACAAACAAGCUGUUGCUAUAGCAUGUUUGAUAUUAAGAUAGAAAACUAUAAACUAUAGAAUUGUCAUGUAAGUGUCUUUGCAAUGUAUGUAGUAUAUAAGAAUCGAAUAAGAAUUGAUCGAUCUAGUUCUAAAUUAUUGGGAAAGAAAAAUUAUAUCUAUCAUUUAAUGUUCUUCAGGAGAGCCACAAGUUUAAACCAGACCACAACAAUCAAAGAACCAAAGAGACCCCAUGGACGAACCAGAAGGCAGAAUAGUUAGACUCGCAGGCACAUGAGCACCAACAAAAACACAGUAUCACACUAGCAGGCUAAACCAAGUGAGAGGGUCCAUAGAAAAAAAAAAUGUUCCAAUUUGAAUGAACAAAUCAAAAGUCAGGAUCACAAUAAGAGGUUGGCAAGGAUUUAUCCUAUUAUUUUUUUUCCACAAUGUGAACUAAAUAACCAGCAGCAGCAAAGACAGAUUUUCUUUGUGAUUGGUGAGAGGGGAUUAACUUCCAUCCCAAGGAAAUCAGACCAAGGUUGCCUGGAUGGACCAACUUCAUUCUUAUCAAGCCUAAAUCUUUUGAAGCUUCAGUCCGCAUUACAUUAUUGGUACCCCAAUUGUGCAUGGGAGUCUUAGACAUCUUCUACCAAACAUCCCUCUUCACUCCAGUAGUAUUAUUUGCUUAAGAGAUUUGCAAGUAAUGACUAUGACUUUAAUUAAGCAAGGAACUGCACAGCAUCUAGCAUUAUGAACUAGGCACCACUCAUUCUCCAUUUACAUGGUUCGAUUAUUUAUGUACACACAUUGUUUAGCAAAUCACAUUGGGGUGUUUCAAGUAAUCCAUAACCCUUUUACAACCAAGUAUACAACUUGUCACAAUGAAUCAAUUUCAUUGACCGAACGGCAGAGAACAUAUGGGAGAGGACACGGCCUAUGUUGAUCAUCAUGAAGUCCCCUGAAAUCUGUCCGAUUGUCGCUCCAUACCAGCUUGAGCCCUAUUUUAUUCACCUCCACAGGUGACACACUGAGAAAAGCCGAUCCGACUUGUACAAAAACCUCAAAUAGGUCACCUGCCUCCAAACUGAGCUCAUUGUUUGGUAUAUGACCCAGCCAGAGAUAGUACACACCACGAGUUACAAAGAAUGAAGAUGUUGAAGGGUGGUAGAAACGAGUUUGUUUGGUAUGAUUAGUAACAAAAAAGCCAUCGAAUGAAAGAGAUGUUGCGCUUGUUGCCAAUCUGUCAAAUGCUGGAGAAUAAGCAACGCAGAGAGUAAAUGCGAUUACAUCUCUACCAGUAAGUGGAGGCACUAAAAAGAAGCCUGUGUCACCCCCACAUACAACCGCGAACCACUCAGGAAUAUCAUUUCCAGGGAGAAAAAUGCCAUCAGCUGCUCCAAUGUGAUUCCAUUUCUGUAUCAUGUAGAACAGGAUUUGAACAAGCAAUGUAUCAGUACUCACACACACAUAAAAAAAAUUAAUAUGAGAGAGAGAGAGAGAGAGAGAGAGAGACCUGUAGGAGGCUGUCCCUGAGAGUCGUAGUCAGAGUAGUGCACCCUUCCAUUCGAAGGACUUCCAAGGAGUUCAACAAAGAGUAUAGGACCUUAUCAAAUCCCCAAAUCUCAGUCAGUUUGGUAGAAUCACUUAUAUACAGUUUCUUUAAGGACAGUUUUGAAAGACCUGGCAAUCUUUCCAAUGCAGGGCAGUUAUCAGCAAUUAGGCUCGUCAAACUUGUUGGUAAAUCUGGGAUUGCAUGCAGGCUAUAGCAAUGGUACAGAUCUAGAUACCACAGCUUCAAAAGGCCACUGAGGCUAGGAAGACUAUGGAAACUAUUUCCUGCAAGACGCAGCAUUCGUAAAGAAUAUAGACUCCCUAGAUCAACUGAAUCAUCUCCUAAACUACAGCCUGUAAGAGAUAAUUCUGUUAAACAGUUUAAGCCUCUCAAUGAAGGAGGAAAUACUAUUGUAGUUCUAUUAGGUUCGAGGCCACGCAGAGAAAACUGUACCAAGUUCUUCAAUCUCACAAUGGAAGAUGGUAUUUUUCGUAUGGCUGUGUUACCAGCAUCCAGCGUGAUCAAUGAUCCCCAAGUCGUCAUCCAACUUCUCAAAUCUUGUACAGUCAGCAAGAACAAGAGUUCUCAUUGAUUUUAUCUGAUAGAAGCUCCUUGGAAGAUCCUUAAGCAUAAUGCAGCCUUUGAGAUUUACCGAAGAAAGUCUAUCAAGAUGUCCAAUGGACUGGUGAACCUCUGACAAAUUUAUAGAGUCUUCAAGAACAAAAUUCUCAAGAUUUGGGAGUCUCGAAAGGUCCUGUAAAUGUGAUAAGUAAUGGGAAUGACUAACAUUAAGAAUCUUCCAACUUCUCAAGCAACUGUCAGACAAAAGCAAAAAAAAAAAAAAAAAAAAAAAUAAUAAGUUCAAAAGAAGAGAAAUUAAGUUGGCAAAUAGGACUGAGCUAAUCUAGUGUAUACCCUAGGUUAGAAGGAAAUGAUUUACAAUUUUGUUGAGUAAAAUAAUAUACCCUAGAAUCCUCCCAAAGGUGUAUCAGUUUGCUGUACUGCAGGUCCAUUGCAACUACAUUUUGUAGACUAAAGUCUUUAGGUACUGACUUUAAAGGGAAUCCAUGCCAGCAGAGCCAACAUAGUUUAUUGGAAAAAAAUUUGUAGCCUCCACUGAGCUGUACGUGAUUGAGUUUGAGCAAUCUCAGCCUCUUCAUCUUUGAAAAUGCUUUUGUACUGAAACUAGCUUUGGCAUCAGAUGUCAACAUUUUCAGAGUGAGUCCUUCAAUUGCUUCAGAUCCCUGUUAACAAAACAAGUAAGAAAAGAGAUAUUUCGUUUGAACAAUAAUUUUCAGAUUCAUUCACAUGAACAUAGUCAUGAAUGCAGAUACAUAUGAACCCCGAAAGCAGUAGACGGCCUAUAUAUGGGAUCUUGUCACCAAAGUAUGGAUUGUUUCAAUAAAUGCAUUAUUCAAUAAUAUUAGAAAUGAAACUGACUGAAUUACAUGCAUUAUACCACCCCCUAUAAUUCACGCAAAAUUUGAUAAGGAAGGUACUUACAGAUUUAUCUCUCAAUACAUCUGUAGCAUCUGCAUCAUCCCACAGUCUACAACGUUUUCCAGGGUCCUGAGGAGAUUUUGACCAAACAAUUGCUCUGCCCAUGUCUCGUAUCAAAUCAUGCAUUCCCAUCUCGUUUGUUUCACUAACAGUUACAAGGCACCGUUGAAUGAGGACCUCAAUGCCUGAAUCUGGAAAAAAACCACAACCUUCGAGUAUUUGUUUUACAUGGUUUACGUCCAUUCCAAUAAAGAAACACGAUAUCAAGGAAUAUAUCCUUCUCUGUCUCGUCAUUCAAACCAUCAAAGCUUAAUUUGAGCUUUUCUUGAAUUUCCAAAUGAGGUAUCAUUCCCAAUUUUUUAAUUGUGCUUUCCCAAAAAGAUGUGCUUCUUCUAAACAGAAAAGAACCCAAUACUUUGAUUGCUAGUGGCAAACCUCCGCAGUAAUCGACAACGGUUCUUGAGAGAUCAGCAUAUUCUUCAUUAGGAAAACGAGUCUUAAAGGCAUGCAAACUAAAGAACUCGAGACUUUCUUCUUCAUUCAUUUCUCUAGCUGCAUAUAUUGUAUCCACUUGAAGGUGCUCUAGCAAUUGUUUAUCUCUUGUCGUUACAAUAAUUCUACUUCCUGGACCAAAUAAAUCGGGAUCUAUACCUAGGUCAUGUAGCUGAUCCAGUUGAUCUACAUCAUCAACUACAACAAGUACACUUCUGCAUCCAAUCUUCUCUUUUAUCACAUUGAUCCCUUUAUCAAUAUCAUCUACUACCGUCUUGGUUUGACUUGAGAUAUCAGAAAGAAAUUUAUUUUGCAUAGUGACCUUACCUUUGCUUUCCUUUGAAGUUUCCCUAACGUUUGCAAGGAAACUUGAGGCUUCAAAGCUACGAAAGAUAUGAUUGUACACAGCCUUGGAGACCAGUGUCUUCCCAAUUCCACCCAUUCCCCAAAUUCAAACCAUGCGAACAUCAUCCAAUAUCCCAACACCUAAAUGAAAAAUAAUACCUUGCAUGCGAGAAUCUAUUCCAACUUGGUGCUCAGCUACAUGUAAGGGUGUUCUGUUCAAAAGAUGCCAAGUGAUCUCAUCUCUAAUCUUCCUGACAAACAAUCCUUCAUGCCUGACAAUCAAAAUCAGAAGAUUAACUAGUCAUUACGCCAGACAACUAAAUUGCAUUAAUACAUAGGUCAAUAAUUCAGACGACUACAGCUGCAUGCUCAUAACUUAUAAGAUUUGACUACAAUGCAGCUAAUCAGAAAUUCGUGAACUGCCCAUAUACAAAAGUAAAAGUUUUGAUGAAAUUUAGUACUCAGUAAAUGUAUACAUUAAAAAUAUUGCUGGCUUCAAACCUAAAGUUUAAAGCUUUGAGGGUAAUAACAUUCAUUCUGUUUUCUUUGUUGACACUUGUUUCAACAAAGGCCUAAGCAAACUAAUGCUUAGUUGUCUUAGAUUUCUCCAUCCUGUAGCAAUAAUACAAUCAAAAAGACCUUGAUACAUUAGUAAACACUAAACAGAAAAACAAAAACAUUAAUUAUUAAACAUUACCCAUCAGCAGCAUUUCUAAGAUCCCAGCCAGACAAAUUUGCAGCUUCAGUAAGAGCAGCUCUCCACCUCUUCACCUUGUCUUCAUCUUUAUCUUUAUGUUUCUGAUCAAAUGCCUCUGCUAAAGUACCAGUCUGUUUCCUCACAUCUGAAGGAUCAACAUAAUAAAAUAUUGGGAGAACUGUUUGCCUGAGUGUUCUUCUACACUCCAUGAUCUUCACCAGCUCCUCCAGACACCAUCUGGAUUCCGCAUACUUCCUUGAGAAGACGAUGACAGAGAUUUUGGACUGUUGGAUUGCCCGCAUCAGUUCCUCAGCUAUAUUUUCCCCUCUUCUUAGUUCAGUGUCAUCAAGAAAGGUGUUGAUUCCAGCUUCUUUCAAUGUCAUGUAGAGGUUGUCUGUGAAGCCAAGUCGAGUGUCUUCGCCUCUGAAGCUCAAGAACACGUCGUACGUCCAAUGUUUGGAGGAGGGGGAAGACGAUGAAGGGGAGGCUUCAUCAGCUGUCCUGGUGGUAGCCAUUGCUUUCUUUUACUGCAAAACAGAUACCAAUAGGCUCAAGGAAGACAGGGUCAACCUUACAAAUGUGACUUUUGAGAAUCAUAAGCACAAUAAUGCACAUAUAUAUAGAGGGUUGAGCAGUUGGUAUGAUUACUAAAUCACAAUUUCAUAGAAAGAACAGAUGUGUAGCGGGUCAACUAGCAUUGCAUAAUAUUAUAUGAUAUGCAACGAUGCAGAAAAGGAGAUUGAUGCACUAACAGGCUUAACUACGUUCAAAGAAACUUCCUUUUUUUUUUUGGUACAGUACGUUUAGAGCAACUUUGGUACAGCCUAUCUUUUCAAAAGAAAAAUUCAUAUUCAAAUUUCAAAUUAACAUGUCUGAAGAAAGACUCAUUAUUUUCAUUUUUUGUAGAACUACCCACUCCAUUUACUAUCGAUUUCUCCAACUUAUUGAAGCUAAUGUUAUUGGUUUGAUAGCCAUCUGAUCUCAAUGAGAUUUCUUUCGAGACCAUGUUGUACCGUAUUCAAUUUAGUUCAAAUCAAAUUCUGAUGUAUGCUAGUAUCAUUUGUCUGCAGUGAACAUAAAAAUACUGUCAUUCCUUCUAUACAAAACCAUCAGUUUCGAAAGCAUAAUGUACUUAGACUGGGUCUAGCUGAAAUUUACAACAUCACACCAAACAAUAUUGUGCAGUGAGUGAAUUACACUAUCACAAGAUUAAGCAAUGUCUAAUUUAUUCAUUUUUAAAUCCAAAGUCUUCGCUGAGAUGAUCACGCAAGAAAAUAAAACACCUUGAAAGUUUGGAUUAAAGAUUAUUAAAGGAAUGUGCUAAGAAAUUCAGGAUGACAAUCAUCCCUAAUAGAAACUAGAAAUUAAAAAAAAUCAACUCACAGCAACAGUAGAGAAGAUUUCCCAAAAUGAAAAUGAAAACAAUGACAUACCUGAAGCUCCGAUUGUUGCCUGGGUUUGAUUCUCAUAUAAUUGUUAAGCUGACAGAUCAAGGGGAGACAGAACAUGCUAAAAAUCAAGGUCAUGAUAAAAACUUGAAGAACAACCAUGGAAAAUGGUAGAGAGAAAACAAACUGAGCCACUGGGAUUGAUAACAUCAUAAUUGUACAAAAGUUGGUUUUUAGCUUUUUUCUCUAUUUAUACUACUUAGCUAUUAUAAACGUGGACCACAAUUAGGCUUAUCUGUUGUUCAACUGGGCCUUCAUCAUCUUAACAUUUUCAUCAUCUUAACAUCCCCCCUCAAACUAGUGAUUGGGGCAUCAAGAAUAGUGCUGGGCGUUCGGGCCCAAAAAUUCAAAAAAACCGACCCAAAAGCCCAAUCGGGCCCAAUCGGUUCGGUCCAAAAUGGGAGGUGUUCGGUCCGGGUCAUAAACCGGUCCAAAUGCUCUCAGUUCGGUUCGGUUUCGGGUUCGGGCUCGGUCCUGAACCGAAAGCCCGUUCAGGCCCGAUAUACAAAUUUUUGCCACACGUCAUAAUCUUAUUGGUCCUUAUAAUUUUUUUAUUAAAAAAAAAAAAAACCCUAAACUAAAAUACCUGCGCCUCUCUUCUUCCUCUCUUCUCUUAAACUCUCUUCUCUGCGCCUCUCUUCUUCUUCUUCUCUUCUUCCGAUUUUGUUGUCCAACACAACGGUGAUGGAGGGAUGAUGAAUAAGGGAUUAAGGGAUGAUGAAGAAAAAGCUCUAAUUUUCGAUUGUUUGGAGAGUGGAGGCAGAUGAGUUUGAGUUGGGUGAUGUAAAGUUGGGGUUUCUGAGUUUUUCAGCUUCUGGGUUUGAGUAUUCACGCAUUUCAGGUAUAAACCCAACCUGGGUUUUCUAGGUUUCUCUCACUUUCUUUGUUUCCUAUGCUCUUUCUUUGAAUGUUUUCUUACCUUUCUUCGUAAGAAUAUGAAAGUGAUUAUUACCAUGAAUAUGAAAUCGUAUUUUGAAGAUUCAUGGAUUGUUCUUUCUUUGUAAGAAUAUGAAAGUGAUUAUUAAACAUGAAUAUGAAAUCGUAUUUUGAAGAUUCAUGGAUUGUUAUAUAUAUUUAUGUUAUUAUGUUAUCAUCAUAGAGGUGAAUCAUAUGAUGCAUCCUAAACUGUAUAUGUAUACCAUGUAUUGAAACUCUGUAUAUUAUGCAUUAUAUCAAUUGAUUUCUCGAUUUGUCGAUAUUUGGUUAUGCUUCCUCAACUUGUGUCCAUUAUAGCCACCAGUACAUUGUUCUGUUAUAGAUGUGAUCGAUUUUCGGUUCAGCUUCUUCUGAAACUUCAUAUAUAAUCGCUUUUCCAUAGCUAUUGCACUGUGUCACAAGCUUUUGUUAUUAUAUGUUCUCUUUGAUAACCAUGUAAGCCAUCAAUCUGCAUGUAAGCCAUCAAUCUGUUGUUUCAUCUUAUUAAGCAAACACCUAUUCUAUACAGCUCUACAUCAUCUCUGCUCAGUGAUCCUUAUUUUAUUCAAACUACUUGUAAUAGUGUUUUGGUUUAUAUAUACUGACCACUUUAAUUAACAGUUAAUAUUUAAGCUAACAUGGUCAUUCUUAAAAUAUUGGGGAUGAUAUGAUCCUAAUAUAUAUAAUAGGAUGAUAUGAUAUGAUCAAAUUUAAAGUCCAGAAAACAUUGGCUCCUAGGUCUCCAAAAAUUGGGUAUAACCUAUUUUGAGUCUUGAAGUCAGGUUUUCUUUCACUCGUCAGGUUUUCUGUUCCAACUUCUUCCUACAAACCAAAUGGUUAAAUCUUACUCCCCAAAUUUUGUCCUGCUUUAUCUAUUGAUGUUCUGUUUUGCAGAUAUUUAUAGCUUAGCCAUGUGCAAGAGAGAAAUGGUACAUGCCAAGCAUAUGUAUUGUUCCAGCUGAUACUGGCCUUAGAGAAAGCUUCUGGCACAGCAUUUCUAAGUGACAUUGGUUCUUAGCCUGGCUCUUGUUCCAUCUACUUAUUAUCAUGUUGGGUCUUUGGCAGUUGUACUUGGCCUCGGAUUGAUCUAAUGAAUUAGCUUUUUCUGCUGUAAUAGUUUUUAGUUGUACCUAUGUAAUUUCACUAAGUUGGGUUCUGUUGAAUGUUGCUUUAUAUUUGUCUGCAAUAUUGAUGCUUUAUAUUUGAUAUGCAAUGUUUGAUGCUUUGAAUUGGUUUUCUAAAGCUGCAAUGAAGUAAAUGUAUAGUAAAACAAUCAAAUCUUGUUUGGGCCCGAAAAAACAUAAUCGGUCCGGGCCCAAUCGGGCUGAAAAUUUGAAAGGCCCGGCCCGACCCGACCCGAGAUUUUCGGGUUUCGGGUCGGGUUUUCUAAAAACCCGAACCGGCCCGACCCGAGCCCUGCCCUAAUCAAGAACUAGUUUGCAGCAGAGAGAGUAUUGAGCCAAAAGCUUGUAAACAGAGGAGGCCAAUAACUUGUCUCAACCGGGAGGAAUGAGAAACAGUGAUCGCCAUAGCUUCAUAGGAUGAGAGGCUUGAAGAACAACCAUGGAAAAUGGUAGAGAGAAAACAAACUGAGCUACUGGGAUUGAUAACAUCAUAAUUGUACAAAAGUUGGUUUUCAGCUUACUAUUCUAAAAAGAGAUUUUUCUCUAUUUAUACUACUUAGCUAUUAUAAACCUAGACCACAAUUGGGCUUAUCUGUUGUUCAAAUGGGCCUUCAUCAUCUUAACAUUUUCAUCAUCUUAACAGAACACAGGUGGCCGGCGGCUGUUUCGGAAGAAAACAACAGAUUGAAGUACACGUGGAAAGUCAUUGCCAUGUGGCAAAGUGGUGAAAUCCCAUCUUUCGCCAAAAAAAAAACAGAGAUUUUACUCCGAUCAAUGUUGGUAAAAAAUAAAAAGAAACUUAAGUUUGAGCUUUUACAAAAAUCUUACCUUUUAAUUCUCUAUCUUUUUUGUCACGCCCCAAUUUUUAAAAGAUAAAAUUUAAAAAUUUUGGCAUGAUAUAACCUAAAAUAUUAAUAUCCCAAAACCUGUUUCAACAUAAAUCAAGGAAAAUAAACUCAAUGCGUAAUGUAAAUUUACACACAACACCAAAUUGAGUUAAAUUACAAUUCCUUGUUUAUAUAACUUGAGAACAAGAAAAAGAAACUCUCACAUGAGUUUAAUAAAUCCUAUCCCAGUGUAUAUAAAAAUAAUAUACAAUGAACAUCCAAAACCCGACAAAAAACCCUGCCACUAAGCCUCCACCUCAACCCUGCUGAUCCUCACCUGCAGGUCUAACCCCUACACCAAAAAUAGUGCACCGGGUUGUAAACAAUAAACCCGGUAAGCUAAAAAGCUCGUAUGAGUAAACUCAAAAACAACACAACAUUUAAUCACAUCCAAUAUUCACAAGAGAGAUUGGAUCAAUAAUUAAAAACCACACAUCUAACACAUUACCCAAGAAAUGUACUCAUGAGUCCCAGAUAUUUAAAUAAAUACCCCUCAUGACCUACAACAACACUAUGUGUAUCCAUGGGUCCCAGAUACCAUACAGUAUCUCCCAUGACCUACACUGACAGACGGACUAGAGCUCUAUUCCUAACCGCAACUAAUCAUCCGGCCAAAGGCUUGGAACCCGGUUUGACUGUCUAAUAUCAAACACAAAAGUGAUAAAUAGCAUCUUAACCGCAACCAAUCACCCAAAAAGAGCUUGGAACCCGGUUUGGCUAUUUAUCCAACAAUCAUAAUAAAUUUCACAACCUUGUCCUCAACAACACAAUAUCACAAUUAUUAUUCUCAACAACAUAAUGUCACAUCAUUAUCCUCAACAACACAAUAUCACAUCAUAAAUUAAAUCCUUCCUCAUGGAUAUAUUUACAUGAGAAAAAUAUAGAUAUUCCACAAGAAUAAUCUAUCAAUUAUUAAUAAAAUUAUGAUCACAAUGAAUCUCAAAAAUAGCAUAUAAGAAAACUUGUUUUAUCUUACCUAUGAGCCGUUGACGAUCAAGCUCAUAUAUUUUUAAAACAAUUAAAACCUAUGAGCCGUUGACGAUCAAGCUCAUAUAAUUUUAAAACAAUUAAAAGCAUAUUAUUAAAUUCAACAUCAUCAUCAUUAUCAUCAUCACAUGACCCUAAUAAUCAUUCGGUUCAAAAGUGAACCUUAGUGAGAUUUACUCACCUAGAUAGCCCGCUGCGUUUCCGCAAAACAGAAGAGCAAGCCAACUCACAAUUUCACAAAUCACCUAAAAUAACACACAAUUAAAAACCUUAGAAACCAAGGUAUUAAAGGAUAACACAAUACCCUUAAACUAACCCUUAGCUCAAGGGAGGACAACUUCCUAAAGUCGUUGAACUCAACGACACAAUAGAGCUGUCUCAACUCCUUAAAACCUAAACUCUAACCCAACCAAACCAACACCAAUAAACUUAAGUCCUAGCAUGCCAACAUUUCUUAAAAACUAGCCACACUACCACUCAACAAGCUCACAACAGUAAGGACUACCUAACCACAGGAAACUAGGGCUGCAACUCAACCGGACGCGCUGCCACGCGCCGCCACAGGCGGCGGCGAGUGGGCCCCACGCGCCACCCCAAACUUCCGAAUUUGAGAAAACUCCCAACAGCAAAGUUGAAGCUUGAAGCAAGGGGAACAACUUUCAUACCUGAGACUUCAACCAAAAAUUGCCAGAACCGGCCGGAAACCGNNNNNNNNNNNNNNNNNNNNUCGCCGGUUUUCCGGCGGGACAGCAGUAGUUCCGCCGCUUCGUGGCGGCUUCCAGGCGGCGGGACAGCCGGCGGGACUGCUCCAGAAAUGAAGAGGGCUGCUGUGGGAGUCGAAUGGGACCGGUGGCGUCCGGUUUGGUGGCCGGAGGAGGAAGAACUCGGCUGAAGAAGGUGAAGGCUCGGGGAGCUCGAGUGGGAGGAGAGAGAGAGGAGGGAAACUGAUUUUUAGGGUUCUAAUUAAUCCCACACACAUUUUUUCUACUUAUACUCUUUUCAAACCCGAAAACAAACUUCCUCUGAACAUAACUUCUUCAUACGACAUCCGUUUCAGACGUGCCGCAUGUCUACGAACUCGUAUCGACAAGCUCUACAACUUUCACGAAGGAAGUUUUCGAAGAUAACUUACGGAAAAUAAAGUCAACUUUUGGCCUAUUAAAAGUCAAGGCAACUUAAAUAAACUCCCGAAACUUCAACUUCGCAUAAACCCAAGAAUUUUCAUGAAUAAUCCUUCAUUAAAUAAGGGAAUAAUACAAGGAAAAAAAGAUAUGAAAAUCUAGGGUAUUACAUUUUUUAACAUUUUCAUAGUAUAUAAUGGCGACGUUUUUAUCAUGUUUGUGUAAAAGUAAUGGACAUUUUUAUUUAAAACCCUAAAGCUCUCUCUUUCUUCUUUUUGAGUCGGCAACCAACCACAAGUCCCACCCUCGUUCGAUGGCGGUUUAAGACAAGGUGGGCCUUUGAUCGCGCUAACGCUGUAUGACUCUGCUUGCCGGAUGAAGCCGGAUGAAGGAUAUGUCGGCAACCCAUUACUUUGAGAGGUAAUUGACCAAAAGGUUUUAAUAGCUUUUGAUCAACAUGGUUUUUCAUAUCGGGUUAGAGCUCUGCCACUACCUCUAGCCAUGCCGUCUCCUCUGGUCCUACCUCGGCCACUAACCCUGCCUCUCUGAAGAUCCAUCACCUAAGAAGCAAGCAACCUUGGUUAAUAUAUGCAUAAAACUUAAACCAAGGUAUAAGUUUAAUACAAAAGUGUAUUAACCAAGAUUCAAACACAAGGAGGAACACAAUGUUCACCCUAAUAGAGUAAAUCCAUACUCUAACAAACUGAUGUUCCUCCGAACGUUACCUAAGAGCAUCUCCAACAACGUAGUCUUUUGCAAGAUGGUCCAGCGGCGUGGUCUUUUGCCAGAUGGAGAUGCAACGAUAACAAAAAGACUCUUGCAAUUCUCUCCAACCUAAAUGUCAAAUCUAGAUGAAUGACACGUGGUUGACUAUUCUUAAUGUAGCUGUCAAAUUUGACAGUGCCGAUUGAAAUUAUCUUUUCUUUCUUUAUUAUUAUCUCUCUCUCUCUCUUCCUUCUCCCUUUCUCCCUUUCUCUCUUCUUCCUUACAAAUUUCUUUCUCUUUCAUUAUUUGAUAUGCAUCUUAGCAACACUGAAAGAUCAAAUGAUCUCCAUAACCUCAUGUCAUCAUCCAUCAAUUGCUGCACAUAAACCCAUGUCUUUCAAACAGAAAUUAUUCCAAUUGCAAAAAGUCAAAAAUACAUAGAAGAGAAAAAAGAGAGUUGGAGAAGAUGGAGAGAGAUUGUGGCUCAU